GAAUUUACAUGGAGAUUGCAGUUGGAGAAGCAAUUAAGGGUAGUGUAGAUAUUUUUUCCCUCUUCAUAAAUGUAUAUAUUAUACAUAUAUAGUCCAUCAAUUAGGGUGUUUAGAGUUGUUGUAGAUCAGCUAGUCCCCUAUGUUAACUAAUGGAACUCUAGAAGGGAGGAAGUCCACCACCAAAAUUUUGCUCACAUAUAAUCUGUAAUAUUUUCUUGAUUUUCAAUUUUAAGUUUUAUUAUCCACAAUUGUAUUUUGUGUCCCACCAUCUUUAAAAUGUCUCAGGAUUCAAGUCUUGCCAUUUCUUCUCCACAAGAACCUCAAUAUGAGGAAAAGCCCCAGAAAUCUCUCAUUGAAAAGCAGCAAGUGGAUAUUCUCUUUCGGUCUUCCUUUUUCUUCAUGCUAAUCAUUUUUUCUGGUGCAGGAAAACCAAAACCUGCUAAUCAAGUUUAUUUCACAAGAUCUAGGAUUCUCUGGGGGCAGGCCUAUUGCUGCUUGCCUGAUUUACAAAUCCCUCCUCCAAUGGAGGUCAUUUGAGGUUGAAAGAACCAAUGUAUUUGAUCGUAUCAUUCAGACAAUAGGUGCAGCAAUAGAGGUAUAACUGACCUCUGUUUUACUUGGUUUCUAUAUCUUGGAUGUUUGAAAAUAGUGACUACUGUCAAUUCCCUUGUUGGACCUGGUAAACUAAAUUGAAUUUGCUUAAUGGGACCAAGAUAUUUCACUAGAAGAAUGAUUGAAAAUUAAUAGGAGAUCAACAUCAGCUUCUUUAUUUGGGACCUUAUACCUUCUAAGAGGAUGCAUACCACAGAUGAUAAUACAUCAAGUACUUAAACAAUCAACAAGUACCCAUCUUGGAUGACAGAGAAAAACAAGAAUUUCAAAGAUGCAUAAAAACUUAUAAUAAGAACCUGCCUUCACUCCACUAGGCACAUAUCUACAAUGCAAGAGACAAAAAAAAAAAAAGAAUCAAUAGCCGCUAAAAAACACUAGGGUUUCAAUAUUAAUGAAUUCCAACACAUUGAAGUAGCUGGAAUAAUCCAAAUAAACAAACAGGCUGUAAUCCAAAUGAAAAAAAAAAAAAACAAAGUCUAUUACAAUUCUAUAGUGCCGAAACUUUGUGAAUUUAGCAUCAAUCUUGAAUGAGUCUUCAAAUUAAGCUCAAAACAAGCAAGUAUUGCUAUGGAAAUGAGCACAAAAAUCUUCAGCUCAUCAAAGUAAAUGAGGAAUACCAAUAAUAUUAUAGAAUAUCAACAUGAACCAUACUGAAAUAUUGGCCGAAAUAUUGAUAUUGAUUUGUCCAAAUGUAAGUUCAGUAAGAUUUCAGAAUUGACACACAUUGAUAUUGACGGUAAAUAGGUGUAUCAACUUAUCCUACGACCAUGUAACCUAUGCCCGGACAAUCUAGUAAGUGGUGGCAUAAUUCAAUUUUUUUUACACAUGGAAGUUGUCAGUUACCUCUCAUUAAUAAGCCAGUCCAUGUAAUACCACAUCAAUGAUCCAUAAAACCAGCGAGAAAAGAAAGAAAGAAAGAAAGAAAGUUGAAGUACUCAACUGAUCAGAUUUUUUGAAGUAAUCCGAGGAGCUUUGAUGGCAACACCAAUUAAACUACUUGCAGUUAUAUAAAUUCCCUUAAAAAUGCAGCAAUAACGCAACCAUCAAAACAACGAUCCAACAAAAAAAAAAAAAAAAAAACAAAUAUAAUGUAUCAAUUUAACCUAAACCUCCGCUGGUUUGACAAGAAUGCAAAAAUUUUAGUAGUUGUUUUCUUUUAGUGGAUUUUACAAGGGAGGAAGGGAAGAGAAAGUACCAAGUGGCACCCAAGACGGAAACGCCGAUGGUGGAGAAGGUGUAAGGUGAGAUCUGAACCAGUGUGCGAGACCAUGAGCUUGAUGCACCCACUAUUGAUUUCGAUCACCAAUUUUCCCCGGAUCUGAUCUUCAUUUCAGAAAUUAGGGUUUCUGGAUCAAGUAAUUUGGGAACAAAAAGGAUAUCACCUUUCCUGGUUUCCUCCCGUAGUCCCGUGUCUCUUCCUUCUGAUUCGUUUCUCAUUUACCAACACAUCCACUUGAUAAAUUCUUCUCAUCCGCAGCAUUGUAACUUUUUUUUGGGAAAAUUAGGUUUUGGGCUGUUGAUGUUUAUCAACAAAAUGGGAGACGAGAAUGUUACAGAAAUGAAAGAGUUUAGGUUUUACAGCAUUUUGGGUUUCUGAGAUUGAGAAUGGGAGAGAGAAGAGGAAAAACAGUAUAUGAGAGAAAUAUUGGCUUUGUGGCUUUUCGGAGGGUUUUUUCUCUUCUGAAUUUUCAGAUGUGGAACGCUUAGCUGGCAAGGUGAAGGGUAUUUUUGGCAUUAAAAUACACAUAAGCUAAAAGUGCAUGAUUCUCCAAAUAUUUUCUAAUUACAUUAUUAAUUUUGAAAUACAUAAAAUUGGGUUAUCAAAAUCAUAUAUUUUCCACAUCACCCACCCAAAAUCUAACUUUCCCUAGAAUAUUUGUUCUCUAUAAAUUAGGAAGAAAACUCUCACAAAUUUCAUCACUUUUACUUUCUCUCUCUCUCAAUUCUCAAACCAGUUUCAUAUACACUGAUAGAUCUCACCACUAUUUUUCUGCAUCAGUUUCUUAUCAGCUUCAGGUAAAUCCAUUUUUAUUCACUUCUUUCUUAAAUGUUGAAUUGUAGUUGAUAUUUACAUAAGAGCCAUGAUGGUCAAUUUUUUAGUGUUGAGUUAGCUAUAGAUGAGGUUCAAGCAUCAAUGCACCAACCUCAUCAUCUUUAAAGAUGGUAAAAGAGAAAUACAAUUUUUGAAGUAAAUUGAUUAAAAACAACAAGAAAAUGCCAUGCAGAAUUGGGUUUGAUGAUCCAUUUAUGCUUGGGUUGGAGAGGAGUGGUGACUUUUCUAAUUUUAUUUUUUUGAAAUAUAAUAACCACUAGCAUGUUCUAUGUCUGUGGUUUAUUCAUGGUUGCAUCAAAUUAAAUCAAUCACCUUUGUCUAAUCUUGUGACUGUGAAUGGUAGCUCCCAUGGCUGCAACCGAUGUGGCAGUGCAUUUAUAUUGGAAUGGAACAGCGAAGACCGAGAAAUACGAUGUUGUUUACGAAAGUGAUGCCAUGAAAGUAUUAAGCUCAACUAUGGAACUACGUAUGCUGGAUUGUUGGAUAAAAUCUACGCAACUACGAGCAUUAAGAAGAAGGAUUUUGAGUUGAACAUCAUAUGCAGAUACCCUAUAUCUUCAAGGGAAUAUAAGCCCAUCCCAAUAAAGAAUGACGAGGCCGUAGAACUUAUGUUGGAAGUGCCAUGCAGAUCAUCUAGAGUCUAUUGUGUAGAGAUAUAUUUGGAGAAAGAAGCAAGGCAAUGUGUGAAAAUCACGUUUCUGUGUAGAUCGAUCUCUGGACUGAUCUGCUCUCGACAUUGUAAUUUUAUUGUGUUGAAUUGGCUUCUAUAUCAAAUCAGUGAGUGUUAAGGGCUUGAAUUAAGUUUGGUAUGGCAUGAUAAUAUGUGAUCAUGGAGGUUCUUUUCGUCUACUCCCUGAAGAAGGGUAAAAAUGACAUUUUUAGCAUGGUUGCCCACCUGCCCUUUCUUCAAUUGGUGAUUGAGCUACCGGAUUCGACGAAGGGAGGAGCCAAGGGACAUGUGUUGGUCCGGGGUGCCUGGGCAGGGCUACUGGAGCAUUCAGAGAGGCCAUUUUCCCCAAACCGCUCGCUGGUGCUUCCGGGUAAGUCAGCUUGCGGGGUUUGUUCGACAUUUGUCUUGUUGUUCUUCUUGCUGGGGUUAUCAGAUGGCUUAACAUCUUUGGUUGCUGAUAAUGCAGGUUCGGACAAGAGGGAUCGCGUAGUCGAGUGGGUAGAAAAAGCGUCGUUCGCUCGACUGAACAAGUUAUUUGAGAUUACUGCCAUUGAGAGGCAUCAUGAGAUACUGCUCACUGCGCGAAACCUGCUGGUCGUUGUCCGGGAGCCCCAAGCGUACGACAUCAAUAUUCUCCCCAGGAAGUUGCCAAAGAAGAUAGUGUCUGGGGAGCAUUACGUUUUGAAAGAUCUCCCUUUCUACAAGGAGGUGCAAAAGGCAGACGCUCAGAAACGCCAAACACGCCUUGACGAUCGGGAGGGGAGGAGGAAAGAGGGAACUUUGAGGAAGGAUCCUGGUAAAAAACGCUCCGCACCCUCACUUCCUACUGGCGCCCCAGCGAAAAAGAAGAACAAGAAGAAGUUGGUUCUUAAUAAGGGGAAAAAAAUAAAACUUCCAACUCCUCCUAAGGAAGUGGUAAUGCCGCCUCCAACUUUUGUGAAGGAAAUAACAAUAAGAGAGCCCGAGGUCCCCCCCUUGCCCUCUGUCUCUAACGGCUUCGGACGCCUUACGGGUCUGAACCAUUCGGGGCCUUCAUUGUCAGUGGCUGGACGUCUGACUCUUCUGGCUGAGGAUAUGACUUCAAUAAAUCAGCCCGACUCUCCCCAUCCGGAUGCGGACGCAGCCGGGGCCUCUUGUGCUGCAGCAUCGCCUCCUAUGGCACCCCCAACGGAAGAAAUGGGAGUAGAAAGUCAAGGUUUGCCUCCUUGCGAGCCAAACCCCCUUGCCUUUGUACCGGUGAAAGGGCCAGCUACAAGGAGGUCUCGUCCGGCCUGUGACUUAAAGUUUGGCCUCGUCGGGCGGCUUCAGGAUCGUUUCUUGGAAACCAUCAAAGUCAGUUGCUCAUCCGUCCAGGAUGAUCAUCCUGAGGGCAGUGAGGUGGAGAUGGCAGAAGAGAACCCAGCUGCCCCGGCGCUGGUCCCGAAUGGGGGUUUACUUGAAGAGGCCCAGCCGGUCGAGAAUGAAGGGGCCCCAGACCCGGAGGGGGGGUCACUCUCUAAUGCCUCAUCAUAGGAGAGUUCUGUUGAUGAUGCAGCUUGCAUUUCCGCUAACUCUUUCAGCUACGCGGAGUUGGAAGAGAAGCUAAAACGGAUUCCACCCGGCUCAAAUGUUGCUAUGCCUUCAGCAAAAAUGUUCAAAGCGGUGGAAAUGGUAUAGUUUGCUUUCUUGAUUUUUCUCGCCAUACUGAUGUGUUUGUCACAUGGAUUGUAAAAUUUUUUUUGCUUUAUGGGUUUUUCUGCAGCUGGUGAGCGGUCUUCGCGGCAUGGCCCAACAACAUGACCUGUUUUCUGACCUGCUACGGACCGCUGAUUAUAUGAAGGCCUUCGCCUCUCAGCGCAGAAACAGUGAAGAGGAGCUGCGCUUGAGACUGGAGCGGGCCGAAGCCAGUUUAUCCGCUGCUCGAAAGGACAACGAGGCUCUCCGAGUAGAGCUUGCUGAGGCAAAGAGCCGAGAAGAAUCUGUGGACACCCGUCUGCAUGAGGUGAAGGACGAGAUGGCCCUUCUGAGAGGGGAGGUGAGGCAACUCCGGACGGAGGUAUCUAUCGAGAAAAAGCAGAGAAAGGAUUUGCAACUACGUUUAUCAACGCAAAAAGAAGAGUUGGAGGGUGAGUUUGCUGUGAAAAGGGAGGAGCUUAAAGCGGACUACCAGAAGCAAGUAGACGAAAUGUACUUUUUCGGCUACCGUUGCUGUAUGAAAAAACACAGUAUCAAACGGGACGUUCCUUCAAUUCCCUUGGGUGAAGAGGAGAAGCUGCGCGGCAAGCCUGCUUAAUGAGAGCUUUUCUUUUUGUAAUUUUUUACUACUACCCUCUCUUUGUAUCUUGUAGUCCGAAGAACUCUUUGUAUACAACUUCACAAAUAUUAAUAAAACAUACUUAGUCAUAUUUGUACUUGUCUUUUUCUUUCACUGGUAAUAUUGUUUCAAAUUAGACACAUUCCAUGGUCUAAGUAAUGGAGUUCCGUCUAGCUUUUGUAGAUGAUAAGCUCCACUUUCACUUGAUUUAGAUACUAUAUAGGGUCCUUCCCAGUUGGCUUGAAAUUUUCCCACUCCUAUUUCAGUAGUAUUAUCGAAAACUUUUCUAAGGACUAGCGUACCAUUUUUGAAGCUUUUGGGUCUUGCUUUGCGAUUGUAGUGAGCGGAUGCCCUUUGUUGAUAGUUUGCCAUCCGAAUGGAUGCAGUUUCUCUUUCUUCGUCUGCCCAGUCCAAAUUUCUUCCUAACUCCUCAUUUGCAUCAUCAUGCGUUCCUAUCUCGGUCCAGAUAGUGGGUAGCCCUAUUUCAAUAGGAAUGAUUGCAUCCAUACCGUAUGCGAGGGCAAAGGGAGUGUUUCCUGUCGGGCGUCCGGGUGUGGUUCGAUAAGCCCAUAGGACGCCAGGUAGCUCCUCCACCCACUUUCCUUUUGCUUGCUCGAGCCUUUUCUUUAAGGCAGUAAUUAACGUCUUGUUUGUGGCCUCUGCUUGCCCAUUACUUUGAGGAUAACGCGGUGUGGAGUAUGAAUUCCAGAUGUUUAGUUCCGAACAGAAAUUCCGAAAUGCGAUGCUAUCAAACUGCGGACCGUUGUCGGCUAUAAUGAUUUGGGGGAUUCCGAAGUGGCAGAUGAUUUUUUUCCAUACGAAUUUGGUGACAUCUUUGUCUUUGAUACUAGCAUACGCUUCAGCUUCUACCCAUUUACUGAAGUAAUCCGUGGCGACGAGCAGGAAUUUCUUCUGGGCGGGUGCGGUUGGGAGGGGUCCCACUAUGUCCAUGCCCCACUGUGCGAAGGGCCAGGGGCCUGAAAUUGGUUUCAAUGUCUCCGACAGCACAUGUGGUAUGGGGGCAUGCCUUUGACAUUUGUCGCAUUUUUUGACAUAGGCUGCCGCAUCCUUCUUCAUCGUGGGCCAAUAAUAUCCUUGCGAAUGAGCCCUAUGCGCCAGAGAUCGUCCUUCAAAAUGAUUUCCACAUACUCCCUCGUGCAAUUCAGCUAAUACAUACAGGGCCUCCGAAUGGUUUAGACAUCGAAGGUAGGGACCUGUGAAGGACUGUUUAUACAAAUGCCCCCCAAUCAGGGUGAAACGGGUGGCUUGCACCCAAAUUUUGUGUGCUUGCUUGGGAUCUUUGGGCAGAGUGCCUGCCCGAAGGUCUUAUAAUGUCGUUCGUCCACUCUUGGCCAUCUGCCUGCUUUGCCUCAAUGGUGUUGCAAGUGAAAGCUUUCGCGACGGAAGGGUUGACUUGCACAUGUAUAGGCAACAAUAUGGCUUCUUUGAUAGGGAGGGAGGCAGCUAUGCCUGCCAAGGCGUCGGCGCGCCCAUUUUCAGUUCGUCUGAUUUUUUCGAUCGUCCACUCGGUGAAUCGUUGUAAGGUGUCUCUUACUUUAGUUAGAUAUCGCGCCAUGCAGGCAUCCUUAGCUUUGUAUUCCUUCUGGACGUGUCUUACCACAAGUUGGGAAUCACUAUAGACCCGGAGCUUGGAAACGGAUAGAGUCAGGGUGAGGUCCAAUCCGGAUAGGAUGACCUCAUAUUCCGCUUCAUUGUUAGAGGUGGGGAACCCCAACCGGAUGGCUUGCUCCAGAUGUUCUCCUGUUGGGGAGUGUACCAGGAGCCCUACCCCGGAUCCUGACGAUUGGGAGGCUCCAUCGACUCGCAAAGUCCACCAUUCUUCUUUGCUUGGUUCUUUGUGUUGGAUGGGCCUUCGGGAGUAUUCUAGCACGAAGUCAGCCAUCACUUGGCCUUUCAUGGACAAUCUGGGUUGGAACUCGAUUCCAAAUUCACUCAAUUCUAUGGCCCAUUGAAGCAUUCUUCCGGUUAAGUCUGGUUUGUGCAGAAUGUUGCGAAGGGGUUGGUCAGUUAGCACGAUCACACGGGUGGGCUUGGAAAUAGGGGCGGAGCUUCUGGGCGGCACUUCGAAGAGCUAAGGCAGUUAGCUCUAUCUUUGAAUACCUGGUUUCUACAUUCGCCAAUGCUCUGUUGACGUAGUAGAUAGGUUUCUGCUCCUUGGGUGAGGAGCAGCGGAAUAGAACAGCGUUGAUCACCCACUCUGACACAGCCAGAUAUAUGUAUAAUUUUUCUUCAGGGAUGGGGCUGCUCAGGAUGGGCGGUUGCCUAAGGCAGUGUUUAAUUCUUUCAAAAGUGUUUUGACAACUGUCUGUCCAUCCGUUGGCUCCAACUUUUUGUAUUGCCAAGAAUAAUGGUCGCAGUUCAUCAGUGAAGCGGGCUAUAAAACGCCCUAGCGCGACAAGUUUGUCUGUGAGGCGUUGUAAGUCCUUUUUGCUCCUGGGGGGUGGUGUUUCUAUGACUGCCUUGACUUGAUCUGGGUUGACCUCUAUCCCCCUUUGGCUGACCAUAAAUCCCAGGAAUUUGCCAGCACUUACGCCAAAGGCGCAUUUAGAAGGAUUCAACUUCAUGUCAUAUUUCCUUAAGAGGUGGAAGACUUAUUGCAAGUGGAAAACAUGCCCCUCUCGGGUUUUGCUUUUAACCACGAUAUCGUCAAUAUAUACCUCUACUGUGCGGCCGACCAGAGGUUUGAAGAUCUUCAUCAUCAGUCUCUGAUAAGUGGCGCCAGCGUUUUUGAGUCCGAAUGGCAUGACUUUAUAGCAAUAGAGACCAUGUGGCGUUAUGAAGACUAUUUUUUCUUCAUUAGCUGGGGACAUGGGGAUUUGGUGGUAUCUGGAGAAGGCGUCCAAGAAAGAGAGCAUCCCUUGCCCAGCAGUGGAGUCCAUGAUUUGAUCUAUUCACGGCAAAGGGAAAUUGUCUUUUGGACAUGCAUUAUUGAGGUUGGUAUAGUCGAUGCAUACCCGCCAUUUGCCUUCUUUUUUGGGUACCACUACUAUAUUUGCCAACCAGUCCGGGUAAUCCACUUCUCUGAUGAAUCCGGCUUCUAGCAAUUUGUCUAUCUCAUUCCGGAUAAUUUUUUGUCUGUCCGGGUGAAAACGCCUAACCCUCUGCCGGAUGGGUUUGGCUGUUGGCAAGACGUUAAGUCUAUGAAAGGUAAUGGAGGGAUGAAUUCCCUUCAUAUCAGAAUGUGCCCAUGCGAAGACGUCAUGGUUUUGUCUGAGGGCGUUCUGUAUGUUCUGGGUCUCUUCUGGUGUUAGGAGGGAACUGAUAUUCGUAAGGUGAGUAUCUUCUUCCGAAAUUUGGAUUGCUUGCAAGGGAUCCGCUGUCGAGGGAUCUUUGUCCGCCGGACCCAAUAAUUGCUAUUGGUCGCGUGCAUGGCUGGACUCAGGGAGGGAUGCAUCCUCCUGGUUGGUCCCUGCUUCUCGUGCUAUCUGGUAGCAUUGGCGAGCGGCUAACUGGCUGCCAUAUAGGUCAAUUUGCCCAUCCUUGGUAAGGAAACUUACCAUUUGAUGAUAUGUAGAGGGGAUGGCUUUCAUGUAAUGUAGCCAUGUGCGCCCCAAGAUGACAUUGAAGGGUGAUAAAUCUUGUAGCACCGAAAAUUGUACGUUGAGAGUGACUGGGCUAGCUUGGACCGGCAGUAUAAUGUCUCCCAAGGAAGUAGUUGACGACCCGUUGAAUCUGGAUAGGAUUCGCCCAGGGUUUUCGAGGCCUGUGAGACUGUGCCCCAUGUGGUUAAUGACCGAUGCUUGCACAAGAUCGGCCGAACUGCCUGGGUCAACUAGGAUGCGUCUCACGUCGAAGUCUCCUAUUUCUAGGGACAUGAUGAGGGCGUCGCGGUGCGGCUGCAAUAUCCGGGUGGGGUCUACUGGUGGGAAAAUAAUUGUCCCAUCUAUGGGGCGAGGGCCCCCUCCAGUUAUCCCAGGCCAGAUGGAGUUGAUACGCUCGCACCGAUGCGGCCCGCAACAACUUUUGUCUCUUUCGUUUGGAGUCAUACUCCUCGUCAGAUGGGCCUCCGUUAAUAUAGUUUAUAACGACCUUGGGGACGGUUGGGGCCCUAGGGGCUCCAGAGUUGUGAUUUUGGGAAGCAUCUCUACCUUCGGCAUCUGAGAGGAGGUAUUACUUUAAAUGUCCCGCCUUGAUGAGUCUUUUAACCAAAUAAUGGAGGCACCUGCAUGUCUCUAUUGUGUGACCAUGUUCCUUAUGGAAGGCGCAUCUCUUGCUAUGAUCUCUUUUGGAUGGGUCCGUUCCGAGGGGUCUAGGCCACCUGAAGUCGGACAUGUCUCGGAUCAUAAGGAGAAACUUCUCAUAUGAUAUGGAAAGGGGUGUGAGGGGUGGCAUUUUCGGGCGACUCGGCCCUUCCUGCCUUCGAUCGGACGGCCUUGACCGGUCCGGAAGUUUGACACUUCUUUCCGCGCCACUACUAGAUGUCUGUCCAGCAACUAAGACUUGCUAGGUGGCUGCUCGCAUGUCAUCCUCGAGCAUUGAGUAUUUGUUCGCACGCCGGAACAAGUCGUCCAUCGUUGCAGGAGGCUUUUUAGCGAGUGAUUCAUAAAAUGGGGUGCCUGGACAGAUGCUUUGCUUGAAGAUCUAUAGGACAACAUCCAUGCUAUAAGCCUCUACCUGCAGUAUGGCUUGACCAAAUCGCUUCACGAAUUCCCUUAAGGAUUCGUUAUCCUGCAUUUUUAUGUUUUGCAGAGUGUUGAUGUUUUGCUUAUGUCGAGCGGAGUACAAGUAUUGUCCCACGAAGGCCUCUGAUAGGUUUCUGAAAUUACCAACAGAGUUGGGAGGUAGGUGAUGAAACCAUGAGAGGGCCUGCCCUUGUAGGCUGGCGGGAAAUACUUUGCAUAGCAGCGCGUCGUUGCCUAUAUCGAGAGUCAUGAGCUGUCGAUAAUGCAUGAUAUGAUCGAAGGGGUCGUUGGACCCAUCAUAUGUGGAGAAUUUGGGCACGAGGAAUCCCCUUGGGGGCUCGUAAUGAAUGAUAUGAGAGCAGAAAGGCGUGGAGAGCAUGUCGUCCAGCCUUUUUGGUGAUGGAGUCAAUGGGUGGCUCAUUUGGGAGGUUUCUCCCAGAUUGUCGUACCGUUAGGUGCGGUUGAACGUUCUGCACCAUAGGGGUGACCAUGGGGUCACGGUGUGGGAGAACGUUUUGCACCAUAGGGGCGACCAUAGGGUCAGGAUGCGCUUCCCAGGUUGUGGCUACUGGUGGCCUUGGCCUCCUAGGAUCCUGUGGGCCAAGUCUUGCGCGCAUCAAAUUUGACAACUGGGGCCUUUUGUCGCGUUGUCUUUUCGCUGAAAAAUGAGUAGAGUCUGAGCUUUCCUCAUGAGGAGCUCGGUUCAUGGGAGUGGGUGGCUCAUGUGGCCUAACGUUGUAUGCUUCUGGGAUGGCUCCUGCUGUCCUAGGGUAUAUUGACUCUAGCUCUGGUGGCCUUGAGUUUGCUACCUGGCCUUUUGAACGCUGAUGACGGGGAGGCCCCGUCGACGAAGCCUGGAUGCGUAGUACCGCGUUUUCUUCUCUUAACCUUUCGGUCUCCUGGAGGAGAGCUUGUAGUUGUCGUUCGUUUGCCAACUGUCUUCUUUCGAUGGCUUGACGCCAUUCAAAAUUAUCUUCCUCUCCUCUACCAGAUGAACGGCUUCGGGAAGGUGUGGUCAUCUUUACCGGUGACUGAAUCAGCGAAAUUUCCCACAUACGGUGCCAAUGUUGAGGCCUCGUGUCCCUGGUGAUCCACGUAGUUGCCAAAUGGAUGGACGCACGAUUUCAACCAAUAUAGAUUCCUGGUUCAGUUGUUCCUGUAAAAGGCGUCCGGACAGGGUGUCCGGACACACCCUCCGAUGGUUUUGUCAGCCAUGGUGAGAGAGAAUAAUCAGUUGGCCUUUUACUAGGUAUAGCAAGCUUACCUUCCUCUUUGUGUGAAGGUUCAUAUAUAUAGUACCAGAAGCUUUGUUUCCCUCUUUAAUGGUAGGGAGAUAUUUUGGCUUGUCAUGAUGCCACUAGGUGGUGGCAGGGCCAUCAUCACCCUACGGGUGGCUGACAGAGAUCGUGGGAGGCACCGUGGCUGUCAGAGAUCGUGGGAAGUGACUUGCCGUCACUUCAUUCCUGUCCUUUCACUCUACAAGUGGCGGAACGUGGGCCAUGGCAGGCUGUUAUGAUGACGUGCAAGACUUGCUUACUUCAGUCAAUGAUCCGGACAAACAUAUCCGGAUAGUAUAUGUCGGUCGUCCGGAUGCGAUGUGGCGGUCGUCCGGAUGUUAUGUUUGUGAGUGUCGUGUGCCUCUCCUAGAGGGAGUCCGAAUAGGAGAAGCGCGCCACGUGUACUCUUGGGGAAAUCCGGAUGGGGGUGAUCCGGAUGAGAAUGCGUGACACGUGUCAUCAGGAAAUGUGUGCCACGUGUCAACAGGGGGAGGGGUCCCUACAUUCACAUCAUUGAGGUAGGUCACACUACGAAUGUAACAACUAUGUGUUGCAAUUGUCCAAAUGAAUUCCACGUUUUCAUUUGUGAUUGAAAACUAAGUUCUAGUUUGAAAGGAACUAACAACUACAAACCUUUAUACAUGCUUAAUGCUAUGUAUCAUGAUAUUUAUAAUCCGAACUUUGAGUAAAUUAAUACAUUAUCCAUGUACAUGUACCAAAAUAGAUAAAACCUUUUCAAGAUAUACAAUGAAAUUCAUAAUAAACAAUUUUAUUAAUAAGAUAAAAUAUCGAAUAAAGUGACUUAAAAGAUACAAUCCUAACAAAGAACUUGAUACAAAAAAUAUUAAUUGUGCCUGAAGUUUUACUUUUGUUCCUACUUUUACCUUUUUUUCUUUCUUUUUCUAACUUUUUCGUUCCCUUUGUUUUCGAGCCAAUCUCAAAUGAGAGCUUAAGCACAAAGGAAAAUUCGUCCUGUCCAAAUUCCUUGGAGCACAUGGUGGCAGUCCUCAUUAAAUUCAUCAAUUACUUAAGCACUAAGUUAAAAAAGAAUUAGAGAAAAACAACUGGCCACUUGUUUCAAUGAUAAUUAAUCACUAAGAAUUGAUAAGAAAAAAUGAGAACGAUCUCAGGUAUGAAGACCAAAUUUAGAACCAAAUAUAUUAAUUUUAAUUUAUUUCUUUAUAUGUUUGUACCUAGCUUUAUAUAAUUAUACUUUUAUUUCAUAGUUUAAAUUUUAUAAUUAAAUGACUUAAAUUAAAACAAGGAUGUGAUAAAAAAUUAUUAAAGUUUGAAUAGUGGGUGGAUGGAAAGACCAAUCAUUUUAUUUUGUAUGUUGAGCUAUCCCUAUUCAGUUUUAAGUCAGCAAAGAGAACUGAUUCUAUAUCAUCUUCACCCUCUCUCUAUUUCUCAAACCCUUUCUUCUCAUUACUCUUGCGGCUUCAGUGUCUCAUCAGCUUCAGGUAAAUCCAUUAUAUUACGUUUCUUCCUUUCUCUCAUUAUCUAACAGAAGAGACCAAUGCAGAUCAUUUGGGUUACGAUAAUUUAGCUGAUAAAAUCCAGUCGAAGCACGACAAGUGUAAAUUUUCUGUUAGCUUGAAUAACCUUCCAAUGCCUUCGAAUUACUAUAUUGGAGAGACUUCAUCCAAGCGUUCAAAUAAUGGUUCUAAAAGUGACCAUAGCAAGGUACUGGUAAAUGCUAUUAGUAUUUUUAAAUGCAGUUCUGUCUAAUUAAUUCAUUUCAUAAAGAAUGGCAUUUACUUUUUGCAUGCAAUUCUUUUUGGAGGGAAAAUAGUCCUAUUCCUUCUUUCUAAGUUUGAGGCACUUAGACUCAAACUAAUCAUACCAGCCUUGUAAUAAUCUGGAGCCCAGGCACAUUAAUGUCUUCCAUGAAUGGCUAGGGAAAAUUCAGAGGAUGGGGAAGAUUAUUUUAUGUCAAGAAUAUAAUAGAUCGAUUAAUUAAUAGUAAUCAUAAUAUCAGUUUUGAUUCCAUGAUAAAUUUAGUCGCACUGUUCUUUUUUUUUCCUUUUUCAUUUGCUCAGAUGGAGGGACGAAAGUGGGAGGAGCUAAACAUGGACUGUUUGGUGAAUGUGUUUCGAAGAGUGGGAAUGGAGUCGUUGCUCUUGGAUGUUCCCUUUGUAUGCAAGUCAUGGUACAAAGCAAGCCUUGAUCCUAAGUGCUGGGAGCAUCUGAUUUUUCCAAAAUACAUCAAACCUGAUGGUAUAUGGGACACCAGCCCCUUGGGAGAAAGGUUGAUGAUGCAAUAUCGAGAAAGUUUCUCUGUCACUGCAUUCAUAAAGUCUGUGGUUGCCCGUAGCAAGAGACACGCUACUCUACUUAGGCUCCCCAUCUGCUGCACCAAAGAGGCAUUGGAGUACGCUGCUAACGAGUAAGCCACCUUAAAUUAUCUAUCAAAUUAUUUCACUUCGGAAAAAUGCUAUUUUUCUGCUGUUAUUCUUUUUCUUUUUGGCUUCUGUAAUUCCUUGCUCAAGAUGCAGUUUUAUAUUGAUUUGGUAGCUUUUACACAAGAUUUGCCAAUAUUGUGGUUUCCAUUCAUCUUAACUUAUUUAAAAAGACUGCACAAUUAAGAAAUGGGAGAAUGAAAUCAAUUUUUAAUAUGCAUAGUGAUUUUGGAUACCUUGUUAGACUUCUAUAAAAUGACCCCAUGCCUACAAGUUCAAGGGAUUGAUGACAAAUUCACAUGGUCCAAUAUCAUUUUACCAGGUGUGGUUUUCUCUAGUCAUUCCAGGUGUGAGGAAAACCACUGGCUACAAACUAGCAUUUUUUGGCUUUUACAUGCAUUGUUUAAUUUCCUGCUUCCUUGGUUUCUUUUUACUUGUUCCAGGUCUCCCACAUUGAAGACUUUGGAUUUGGAUGCUAUUCUACUUUUGAAACAAUCAACUAUUAUUCCAAAACUGAUAAGCAAGUGGAAAAAUCUGGAGAUGUUGACAUUGGGGAGCAGACGAAACAUGGUGGAAAUCCUAUCCCAAAUCAGUCUUCACUGCAACAACUUCAUUAAGCUAUUUGCUCCAGGAAUAUAUGUUGGGAAAGAUGAAGUAACAGCUAUGAUCACCUCAUUGCCAAACCUUAAGUACUUGGAUCUAAAGGGAUCAACGAUUGAGCAGAAAAAUCUAGUGAUGAUAUUGCAAGGCUGCAAAGAGCUCCAACUUUUAGACGUCAGGGAUUGCAUUGGAUUUUGGGAGGGUAAUGCUGAGAUAUUAGAGCUCGCUUCCCAUAUUCCUAAAUUCAUGUGUGAAGGUUCUAUCUAUGAGGAAUAUGACACAUAUAUUGAUGGUGAUGUCGAUUCUGAUUACUAUUCUGGUUAAGAGUUUGUGAGUUGAGUUUGUUAACCUAAAGCCUCUAUGAGAAGUUCCCUUCUGUAUGCCUCUAUGUAAUGAGUUGAAUUAUUCAUGACAAUAAUUGAUCCAUUCCCAUGGACAUUAUAUAUGUAAAAAAAUUGUAUUGGCAAUUCCAUUCGAGUUGUUUACCUAGUACUUCGAAAUAAAAGAUCAACUUGUAGUGAUCGGGUAUUUUAAGUCAUGUUGGAAUUUCAAGUUUGAAAAUUCUUCAUUUUGGGUGGUUUAAAAGUAAAAAUAAAAAAUAAAAAUAAAAAUGAAGAAUACGUGUCAAUUUUGGGUUGGCGAAAUUUGAAAGAUUUUAUUGGUCAAUCAAAUAAAUUAAAUUUUUGUCUCACAUCAACUUUUUAGUAGGAAAUUCAUUAGGGUUGUAGAAAUCAAAAUUUUCCAAAAAAAAAAGAACGGAAAUGAAAACAAAAUAAAAUAAAUAAACAAAUAAAAAAUUAAAUUAAAUUAGUAAUUAAUAAAUUAAAGAAAAUUAAAAUAUUUGUAUUCGUGUUUGAUAAUUUUUUGAUGAAGUGUAGUUGAAAAAAUGAAAGAAAAAAAGAAAAGGAAUUGAAUUGAAGAAAAAAAAACUAAAUUAAUAAUAUAAUAAAUAUAUAUAAUAUAUUUGGGUUGGGUUGGCUGCCACAUUUAGUGAUUUACUCAAUUAGAAAAGAAAAAGGGUGAAGAAGAGAAAAGAAUUAGAAAGUGGGAAAGGAAAAAAAAAAAGUGACAGAGAGCGGGGCGUCACUGAUAACUAUAGUGGGAAAAACCACAUUGCUCUUCCGGCCAUACCGUUAAACGAGUUCCUUUUCUCGUGAAAUUUUAGGGAAAUACUCUACUUGACACGAGGGACAUUUGUACGAUGUCAGAUUUUGUUUUCAACGGUUGAAUUGUUAGAUCUGUGGUAGGGAGACUUAACAUUAAAACUUUUAUUUAAUGCAUUUUUCUUCAAAAACUUACAAAUCUCAUUGUUGAAAGUUAAAUAGGCAAUAUUUGUGAUACGAUAAAUUUUAUUAAGUGAUUUAGGAAUUUUCUUUAGAAUUUUGUGAUAAUAAGGUAAUUUAAAUUGUAGAAAAUGAUUGUGUUUGGUUAUUAAAAAUUAUUGGGAUUAUUGUGAAUAAAUAAAAUUAUGGUAGAAAUUAUGUUUGAUUAAUAUUGGGAUUAUUGAGAAUUUAUUUGGAUGUUUUUGAUAAUUUAAUUGUGGAAAAUGAUUGUGUUUGGUUAUUAAAAAUUAUUGGGAUUAUUAAGAAUAAAUAAAAUUAUGGUAGAAAUUAUGUUUGAUUGAUAUUGGGAUUAUUGAGAAUCUAUUAAGAUAUUUUUGAUAAUUUAAUUGUGGUUAAAUGAUUGUGUUUGAUUAUUAAAAUUAAUGGGAUUGUUUAGAAUAAAUAAAAUUGUAGUAUAUAUUAUGUUUUAUUGAUAUUUGGAUUAGUGGGAAUUUUCUAUGACAUUUGUGGAGGACGAUAUGUAAUUUCAUUACAUUUCAUAUGCAUCAUGGUUGUGUGAAGGAAAAUAAAAAUUUGUUGUAAGGUUGCAUGAAAUGGAAAAGAAAGAAAAAUAAAAUAAUGAUGAAAAGUAAAAGCCCAUGAGAGGCAAAUUAAGAAAGGAGUAAGAUCCUUAAGGUAAAAGACCAAAAAAUUUACCCCAAGAAGACUUCGAAUGUGGAGUGUAUUUGAGUACAAACACGUAUCUUUCGGUGAAAGCCGGAGAAUGACAGUACAUUGUAUGAUUGUGUCACAUUCCCACAUGCAUUUUAUUUAAUUGUUGAAGUGUUACAAUUAGAGUGAAUGAAACGUUUGGGUUGUUGACUUUAUGGUUGAAUAUUUAUUUUGUAUAUCUUGAACCUUAGUAAUAUAAAUUAACCAUCUUGGGUGUAAGACACCCUACUGAGCAAUGUGAAAAUAUUUACCCAUUCUUUCUUAAAACUUUUAGAUGUAAAUAUAACCCCUGAGGAUCAACAGAUAGAGCAGGGAGGGCUUCAGGAUGCCCCAGGAGAUUUUGGAGUAGCCUAGUGAUUGUAGUGUAGUUGUUAUGUUGGUUUAUUUUGGAAAUUGUAUUAGCAAAUUUUGAAACUAUAUAUUUGUACUGAGACUUUAUUUUGAUUAAUUGAUUAAUUGUUCAUAUUGUGAACUUUCAUUUUUGACUUGAAUUGGAGAUCUUAUUGUUAUUGAACUUUCUUGUUGCUCUUGAGUAGUGAUUGGUAUAUUGAUAAAUUGAAAAAUUAGUUGGAGGGAGCUUUAGUGUGAUUUAAGUUUAAAAAAAUAAAAUAAAAUUCAGAACAUUUUGGUUGACUGCUAACUUGGAUUAAGAGGAACCCUUAGGGUUAAACCUUUGACCUGGGGUCAUGGGCCAAAUUUUAGGUCGCCUGGAAUUUGGGUCGUGACACAAUUAUUGACCAAUCUUUCUUGGAGCUCUUUGGCAUUGAGGAUUAAGGCCAAGUUUUCAUCAUAAGGGUUGCACGACUAAAGAAAAUGCAAUUUGGCUACUACUACGAAUUAUAUAUUGCACAUAUUUAAUGAUUAUGAAUGGUUUGGGGAAGUUUAAGCCUCAAUGUUAUCAGAGACUAUCCAUGCUUAAAGUAAUCGGCUAAGAGCACCAACUAGAAUUAGGUGAUUCAUCAACCAAUUACUCAAUUCAAAGUGAAUCUAUCAUAUAUUUCAAGUGUCAUGGUACGAGUUGUUGGAAUAUCUGAAAAAUUAUAUUCCAAGCCUUGGAUUGGUAGUGCACGUGCAUCCGUAUUCCUAGGGAUGCUAGAUCUAAGACAAUAUUAGAAGCAUUUAAUACAUGAAUGCUUAGAUCUAGGGCUCAAAAAUUUUACUUUUGAUUUAAAUGUUUUCUGAUCAAAUCUUGUUGGUAAAGUGGAUCUCGAAGACUUCCCAAUCUUCUGUUUGAUGACUUUUUUUUAGACCUUAGCAUUAAAGAAGAGCAAACUUUUCUUUUCUUAGGGCUGUAGAUUAGGGCCUUCUUUCUUAAAGAUAAUGAAUAAAAAUGUUUAACCUCAAUAUAAGGGGUUUAUAUAAACUUUCUUGUGGAGAUAAGUGACUUGAAUUUAUGGUAGACUUGGGUCGCUUAAGUAGUCCACUGAAUUUUAAUUAAUUAAUUAGCCUUAUUAUUGAUUUACCAAUAUUUUGCCAUUUUUUUUAGUUUUUUUGGAGCCACAUCAGCUCCUCCGUGCCCAACCUUUUUCCCCAUAGAAGAAGGAUUUAAUGCAUAAUAAUGGGCUUGAAGCAACACAAACUAGCAAGCAUAACCAAAGGAUGUGUUUUAGAAUUUACCAUUUUCUUCCUAAAAGUUUCCAAUAACAAUUGAAGGUGCUAUCCAAUGUUGAAGACGUUUGAUAUGAUAAUGGUAUGGAUAUAUCGACUAUUUGAUCUUUACAUCCAAUGACUAAUUUUUCGCCCAUUUGCUGAUAGUUUUGUAAUUCACUUCUCUAAUUUUUUCGGAACCACAUCAGCCCCUCCAUGCCCAAGCUCUUUCACAAAGGAAAAAAUUUAAUGUACAAGAAUUGCCUUCAAGUAAAGCAAACUAGCCAACUUGGUCCAAUUCUUACCAAAUUUUCCAUUAGAAGCAAAUGUUUUAAAUUUUACCAUUUUCUUCCUUUAGGUUUUUAGAAAAACAAACUAAAGGGUACCAUAAAAAACACUUUUUCACUAUUAGCAAUAAUAAUAAUAAUUAAUAAUAACCCGUUUGGUAGUAACUAUAUGAAGUGUUUUUAAUAUUUUUAAUACUUAAAAUAUUUUAUUAUUUAAGUAUUAGAAAAUACUAGAAACGUUUUUUAAAAUUACUCUCAAAUGCACUUUUAAAAUAUGUUUGGGAGUGAUUCUAUGAAGUGUUUAUAUAAUUUUUAAUGUUUGAAAAUUUUUAUUUUUCAAGUAUUAAAAAUAUUAGAAACAUUUUUUAAAGUUACUAUCUAACGCACUCUACAUAUAAUACCAUAAAAAUAAUAGUGCAAAACCUAGAUCUCCUUUCAUCCUCUCUCUUUUGUAUUUUUUACUUCUUACUCUACCUUUUUCUUUUUCUCCCUUCUUUUCAUUUUUCUUCUUUGUUGUUUAACCGAUCUCUAAAGCAGGCUUUAUCACUAGGGAGAGCUUUAUCUUUUUGGAACAGGAGGAGAAAUCUUAUCUCUUCAUAUAGUCCUUAGUCAUGAAGUGCACAGUACAAAUAAUAUGGGUGCUUUCUAAUCUUUUUAAUCUUUUUCCUUUCAUCCUUUUUCCUUUAACUUUUUCUCUCUUCUUUCUUUUUUAAUUCUUUGCUCUUCAACCAAUCUGGCAAGGAAGCUUAGCCACUAAGGAGAGAUUUACCUUUCUAAAUUUUAAUAGUGUAUCUGGGUGGACGCAAGGAGAAUUCAUAUUAAUUAUAGAGCUCUCUCUCCUUUAGUCUUUAGUGAAGUCAGAAGUAUGUAGAAUAUUUGUUCUCUAUAAAUUAGGAAGAAAAGUCUCACAGAUUUCAUCACUUUUACUCUCUCUCUUUCUCUCUCUCUCUCUCCUUCUCUCUCUCUCUCUCUCAAUUCUCAAACCAGUUUCAUAUAUACUGAGAGAUCUCACCACUAUUUUUCCUGCAUCAGUUUCUUAUCAGCUUCAGGUAAAUCCAUUUUUGUUCACUUCUUUCUUAAAUGUUGAAUUUUAGUUGAUAUUUAAUUUUUUAGUGUUGAGUUAGCUGCAGAGGAGGUUGAGGCAUCAAUGCAACAAUCUCAUCAUCUUUAAAGAUGGUAAAACAGAAAUAAAAUUUUUGAAGUAAAACAAUCUCUGAAAAAAAAAUAUUAAGUAAAUAAUGAAAAUUGAUUAAAAACAACAAGAAAAUGCCAUGCAGAAUUGGGUUUGAUGAUCCAUUUAUGCUUGGGUUGGAGAGGAGUGGUGACUUUUCUACUUUUAUUUUUUUGAAAUAUAAUAACCACUAGCAUGUUCUCUGUCUGUGGUUUAUUCAUGGUUGCAUCAAAUUAAAUCAAUCACCUUGUCUAAUCUUGUGACUGUGAAUGGUAGCUCCCAUGGCUGCAACCGGUGUGGCAGUGCAUUUAUAUUGGAAUGGAACAGCGAAGACCGAGAAAUACGAUGUUGUUUAUGAAGGUGAUGCCUAUUAAGCUCAACUAUGGAACUACGUAUGCUGGAUUGUUGGAUAAAAUCUACGCAACUACGGGCAUUAAGAGGAAGGAUUUUGAGUUGAACAUCAUAUGCAGAUAUCCUAUAUCUUCAAGGGAAUAUAAGCCCAUCCCAAUAAAGAAUGACGAGGCCGUAGAACUUAUGUUGGAAGUUCCAUGCAGAUCAUCUAGAGUCUACUGUGUAGAGAUAUAUUUGGAGAAAGAAGCAAGGCAAUGUGUGAAAAUCACGUUUCCGUGUUGAUCUCUGGACUGAUCUGCUCUCGACAUUGUAAUUUUAUUGUGUUGAAUUGGCUUCUAUAUCAAAUCAGUGAGUGUUAAGGGCUUGAAUUAAGUUUGGUAUGGCAUGAUAAUAUGUGAUCUAGUUUGCAUAAUUCUAAGGAAAAUGCAUAAUUCUAAAAUUUAUUUUUAUUUUUUUCUCUAUCUUGUAUAUGAAUAACCAAAUUCUAGAAAAAUUUUAUGAUUUUUGUUUAUUUUUUCUUUCUUUCUAUAAUUUUUAUUUUUUAUUUUUGUUCCCUCAUACCAUCUAGGAAUCAAAUGUAGUCUUUACAUGUCCACAGUUUAAUUAAGGAUUUAAAAAUAUAUAGAAUUUACAGUAGUGAAAAAAUUAAAAACCAUCCCGUGAAUGUUUAUCAUGCACCUCAUAUAUACAUAUCAUAUCCCAUAAUUACAUGUAAUCACAUUCACUAAUAAUAAUGUGUAAUCUAAUGCAUUAAAAAUAUUUAAACAUAAAUGUCAUAUAUGGAAAAUAUAUGUAAAUAAGUUCAAAAUUUUAUUAUUAAUUAAUUCCAUAAAGGUGUGGGGUAGAAUCCUUAGUUUAUCCUCUAAUUGAUCAAUAUACAAAAUAAAAUAACAUGACUUAGAAAAUUCACAUUAUCAUGUCUAAGUUUCUGAAAAUUUUGAAAAGAAUAGCUUAUGAACUAGCCAUUAUUAGUGCAUUCAUUCAUGAGGAUGAUCUAAAUAUUCAAGCACUUUGUGGGCUAGGCCCUAACUUCAAAGAUAUCUUCAUGCAUCCAUACACAAGGAUGAUCACCUAAGUGUAUCAUCUUGAGUGAUCCUAAAGAUAUGUGAUCAUGAAAUCUAAAGCCAUAAUAAUUUCUUAAGUGAAAUUUGACAUAUGCUCUUAUGAGUUAGAUCGAGUAUAUCGAUUGAUAACAUAGUAGGGGGAUUUGUAACUCAAGGAUUGAAAAGAUAAUCUUAAAAAGUUGAUAACAUAUAUUUCUUUAAAUUACACAUCAGUUUGUAGAGUUUGCAACGGUGGAUAGUAAAUCAUAAACUUAAGUUAUAUCUCAUUGUAAUUUCAUAGGAUAUUGGAAUGUAGUUGACUUUUUGUAGUAAGAUGUUGAAUCAACCUUAAAAUUGGAUUACGAGGGAACUGGUAUUUUUCUUGGUCCUAUUGGUUCCCAUUCAAGCUCUUAAUUCAUGGUGACACAAUUUUGAGGGUAUUUUUAAGUUUCUAAUUCAUAUGUAUGCAUAAGAGUAUUUUAAUAAAAAUAAAAAAUUGCACUUGAUCAUAUGAACGAUCCUUUUGGACUGUACUAAUUGAUUAGAGCCCAAUAGAGUUUGUUAAUUAAUUAGGACCUAAGUUGGCUAAAUAAGUAAGUUAAGUCCAAGCUAGACUCAAGUUACUUAAGCUCACAAGGAAGCCUACAUAAACCUCUUAAAGCUCCACUUUUGCACUCGUCUUUUAGAAUUCAAAGAUAAACCCCCAACCUCCCCCUCUAGAGAGAAGAUUUCCCUUUUCUGGUGUCUAGAUCAAUGAGAGUGAUAGGGCAAAAGGUUGCUUAGUUGGUGAGGCUUGCGAUUCACUCUACUUAACUUCAUCGAAUUGGAAUUGAUUUGGGAAUACCUAAAUCAUGUGUAUGAUCUCUCUUUUGUUUAGAUCUAUAUUAUUUAUGGUUUCAUUGCCAUGUUUUUUUUUUUGCUCCAAUUAGAUCUAGAGAACCCUAAGACUAGUAACAUGCAACUUGAAUGAUCUGGGGUUUGAAAUGGAGAGAUUCAAGGAUUCCCAAUAAUAAAGGUAUAAUUUUCUGCUUCUGUGUUGGAGCAUGAAACAAUGGGUUGUUUCUUGGAUUAUCAUGAUAUGUAGUUGCAACUAAAAGAUAUACAAUAUCCCAUUGCACUUAUUCUUGUGGUUAGACAACUAGCCUAGUCUACAUCGCAAAAACUAGGUAAUGUUAGUGCACUUUGAGCAGGAAAUUGUAAGCUAAAAGUUAAUGAGCCUUUGAGAUAAAUUAGCCACCAUCCCAUCACGUGCUAGUCAAGGAGGUAUCCCAUGUCCACAGUCUGCACCACCGUCUCUCGUACUGAUUCAUCUCCACCCAUCUUCAUCCAUGGCUAAGCAUUCUUCCAAAUAUAUAGUACCGGCCUAUUAUUGAUUUGGGUUGAAUUAUAUUAAUAUUGGGCCUCAAUAUUGUUUUUGAGUUUUGAAAAUAUUGGACUUGGGUUUAGUCUUGCACAAUUAUCUACUUGGUUUUAUUUGGAACUUUAGGUUAUGAUACUCAGCUAUAAUUUUUGGCUUUCUUGCUUCGGCCUAGUAUUUUGAGAAGUCGAGUUUGGGCAUGUUUUCUUAGACUGUAUUGACUUCUAUUGGGCUAUACCUUGUUUUAUUUUGCAUGGGUGUUGUUCAUUGGUUGAGGUCGUUAUUGGAGGGAGCUAUGAUGUGCACCACGUGUAGGGCUAGAUUUCAUGGAAGAAAGGAAUGUUCGGGAAGCUGUAGUUAAGGGCAUGGAACCCUAGGCAGCUAAGGGGAGGGGAGGACAACUCACCUACUCUAGGAUUUUCGCUAAGACUUUUACAAGGUGCCCUUUUUUUUUUUUUUUUUUUUCAGAAAAUGAUUUUGAAGAAAAAGGAUCCAAAAACUGGUUUUAAUAAACACUAGAAAAUUAUUUUUCAUUAAGAACAAUCCAGGACAUUAUUUUUUGAAUAAAAACAGUACAAUUUUUUUAUUAAAUAAAAAUAUUUUAGAAAAUAUUUUUAUUAAUAAAAAAUAUUCCAUAUAUAUAUUCUUUUAAAAGGUUCAAAAAUCAUUUUUCAAAUAAAUGUAAAGUUCCAAAAAAAUCAUCUUAGAAAGUUCUAAAAAAAUAUGUUUUUUUUUAAGUUAAAAAAUUGUUUUUUUUUAAAGUUAAAAAAAUUGAUUUUAAUAAAAUUUCAUAAAAAUCCAAAAAUUUGUUUUUAAUAAACUGUCCAGAAAUUUUUUUUAUAUAUAUAAUAAAAAUGUCCAAAUUUUUUUUAUCUAAUAAAAAAAUAAUUUUGGUAAAUAAAAAAAAAAUUUGAAGUUUCUUUUGUAAAUAAUUUUGAAAUGUCUUUGCCCCUAUUAAAAAUCUUUUUUACUAAUAAAAUUGAGUUGAGCAUAUUUUUUGUAUAAAAUUUGUAAAAAAAUCAUCUUCCCGAUAAAAUUGAAUUGAAAUCUUCUUUUAUAAUUAAGGGAAAAUCAUCAAACCAUACACCAAUUACAAAAAAUAUGAGAAUUUGGAACUUCACUUUUUUCUUUUUAAUUUUGGUGUAAAAUGGGAAAAAAUAUUGUCUAUUCAUGCACUCCAAUAGUGCUUUCAAAUUUAUUCCACAAUUACCCUCAAAAGUAAAGGACAAAGUACACACCAAUUUAAUACCACAUGUUAACAAGUACAUGUAUCAUUUAUUUUUUUAUUAUUUUUCUCAAAUCAAUAAAUAUCCCUUGCCACUUGUCACGUUUCCACUUUUUACUUUUUUCUUCUUUUUUUCCUAUUCUACCAUCAUAAUCCAUUGUCACCUAUUAUAAGUUUUAUUAUUAUUUUUCUUUUCUUUUUUCCUUUAUAUUCUUUUUAACAUGCUCGUGCAUUUUCUCAUAAAACUUCUUUAAUUUUAAUUUAUUUUUACUCUCUAAGUUAUCUAUAUUUAUUGAUUUUAAUUAUUUUUUUAACAUAUUAAACUUAAAAUGAUAAUAUAUAAUAAAUAAUUAAUAUAACAAAUUAAAUAAAAACAAAAUAUAUAAUGGACAAAAAUGAAAAUAUUAUCCCACAAAUAAUAAUGAUUUUAAAUAUUAAUUAUAAUAAUACAUUUUAUAAAUUAAGGUUUAAAUUUAAAAAUUCCAUUUUAUUAUUUAGAACUUUAUGAUAUAAGACUUUUUAUAUUAAUACUAAACAAAAGAUUUAUUUAUUUCGUAAAUUCUAUCACAUGUAAAAGUAAAAAUAUCAUUGCAAUACUAUUUUAUUAUUUACAUUAUUUUUCUUUUAAUUUUUAUUUUAAAUUUAUCAUAUAAAAAUCACAAUAAGUGAUGAUGCUUUUAUCAUUUUUCUUAUGAUUUUAAAUUGAUUGUGGAUCUAACUUUUUUUGGGUUAAAAUCUUUAAUUUUUAAUUAAAAUAAAAUAUAAAAGAAAAUCUAUUUUUCAUAAAAAAAUUGUAUUUAACCUUUUAUAUUAAUCUCAUAAAAAAUAGGUACAUCCUUAAAAAAAAAAAAGGUAAAUUAAUGCUUAGGAGAACCGGAAACACUAUCAUACUUAUCAUGAUGUAUAUAUUCCUUUGGGACCCUCGAUAAGUAAUUGGAGGUAUUUGCCCACCCCAAAAAGAACUUUGGGAUCCUAGGUAUAUCCAUUCUUAGAAGAACCAAGACCUCUAUUUUCAUUUUCAUGGUUCAUAUAUUCUUUUGGGGACCCUUGAAAAAGAAUUAGAGGUUAUUCCCCACCCUAAAACGGACAUUGGAACCCAAGGUACAUCUUAAAAACAAUUUGGUAUAUCAUUUAUAAAAUUUGGUACAUAUUUUAUAAAAUUUGGCACAUCCUUAAAACAAUUUUGUACAUCCAAUCCAUGAGCUACCAAGACCUCUAUAUUAUUAACCGUGGUUCGUUUUAUUUCUUUAGGGAUCUUUAGGAAGUAAUUAGAGGUCGUUCCCUACUCCAAAACGAACUUUGGAACUCUAGGUACAUCCUUAAGUAAAUUUGGUGCAUCGUUAAGAAAUUUUGGUAUAUCAAAUCCUCGGGCUAUCGAGACCCUUAUCUAUCUUCCCAUGGUCCAUAUUAUCCGUUGAGGACCAUUAGGCAGUGAUUGAAGGUCAUUCCCCACAUCGGAACGAACUUUGGCACUUUUGGUACAUCCUUUAAAAAAUUUGGUUCAUCCUUAAAAAUAUUUGGUACAUACUUGAGCUAUUGAAACCUCUAUCUUAUUACCCAUGGUCCGUUUAUUCCUUUAGGGAUCUUUGGGAAGUGAUUGGAGAUCGUUCCUUACUCCGAAAUGGACUUUGGAACCCUAGGUACAUAAUUGAGAAAAUUUGAUACAUCCAAUCCUUGAGCUAACGGAACACUUAUCUCCAUUUCCAUAGUCCAUUUUUUCCUUUGGAGACCCUCAAGAAGUUAUUGAAGGUCGUUUCCCACCUCAUAACAGACUUUGGCAACAUUGGUAUAUCAUUUACAAAAUUUGGUACAUCAUUUAUAAAAUUUGGUACAUCCUUCACAAAAUUUGGUACAUUAUGAAGGAUAAACCAAAUUUUGGGCAUGAUGUACCAAGGGUUCCAAAGUGCAUUCCGAGGUGGGGAUCGACUCUCAAUCACUUUCUUAUGGGUUUCUAAAUGAAAUUAUGGACAAUCUAUGUUCAGAUAGGGUUCUCAAAAGCGAUGGGAUCGAAUGUACCAAAUUUAAUGAAGGAUGUACCAAGCAUUCCAAGGUAGGGAUCAACCCCCAAUCACAUCCUUAUGGGUUCCAAAAUGAAAUCAUGGACCAUUCAUGUUCAGAUGGGGGUCCCGAAAACAAUAGGAUCGGAUAUACCAAAUUUAAUAAAGAAUGUAUCAAAUUUUGUGCAGGAUGUACCAACGGUUCCAAAGUACGUUCCGAGGUGGGGAUCGGCCCCCAAUCACUUCCUUAUGGGUUCCAAAAUGAAAUCAUGGACCAUCCAUGUUCAGAUGGGGGAGCCAGAAGCAAUAGGAUCGGAUGUACCAAAUUUUGUGAAGAAUGUAUCAAGGGUUCCAAAGUGCGUUUUGAGGUGGGGAUCAACCCCCAAUCACUUUCUUAUGGGUUUCUAAAUGAAAUUAUGGAUCAUCCAUGUUUAAAUGGGGGUCUCGGAAGCGAUAGGAUCAAAUGUACCAAAUUUUGUGAAUGAUGUACCAAGGGUUCCAAAGUGCGUUUCGAGGUGGGGAUCGACCCCCAAAUAAUUUCUUGUGGGUUCUAAAAUGAAAUUAUGUACGAUCCAUGUCCGAAUGGGGAUCCCGUAAACGAUAGGAUCGGAUGUACCAAAUUUAAUAAAGGAUGUAUCAAAUUUAAUGAAGGAUGUACCAAAUUUUGUGAAGAAUGUACGAAGGGUUCCAAAUUGCAUUCCGAGGUGGGGAUCGACCCCCAAUCACUUUCUUAUGGGUUUUCAAAUGAAAUUAUGGACCAUCGAUGUUCAGAUGGGGGUACCGAAAGUGACAGGAUCAGAUGUACCAAAUUUAAUGAAGGAUAUACCAAAUUUUGUGAAAGAUGUACCAAAUUUUGUGAAUGAUGUACCAAGGGUUCCAAAGUGUGUUCCGAGGUGGGGAUCGGCCCCAAAUAACUCUCUUAUGGGUUUCUAAAUGAAAUUAUGGACCAUCCAUGUUCAGAUGGGGGUCCCGGAAGCGAUAGGAUCGAAUGUACCAAAUUUUGUGAAGGAUGUACCAAGGGUUCGAAAAUGCGUUCCGAGGUGGGGAUCGACCCCCAAACACUUCCUUAUUGGUUCCAAAAUGAAAUUAUGAACUAUCCUUAUUCAGAUGGGGGUCCCAGAAGCGAUAGGAUCGGAUGUACCAAAUUUAAUGAAGGAUAUACCAAAUUUUGUGAAGAAUGUACCAAGGGUUCCAAAGUGCGUUUCGAGGUGGGGAUUGACCCCCAAUAGCUUUCUUAUGGGUUUUUAAAUGAAAUUAUGGACCAUCCAUGUUCACAUGGGGGUCCCGAAAGCGAUAGGAUCGCAUGUACUAAAUUUUGUGAAUGAUGUACCAAGGGUUCUAAAGUGCGUUUUGAGGUGGGGAUCGACCCCCAAACACUUCCUUAUGGGUUCCAAAAUGAAAUUAUGUACCAUCCAUGUUCAACUGGGGUCCCAGAAGCGAUAGGAUCAGAUGUACCAAAUUUAAUGAAGGAUGUACCAAAUUUAAUGAAUGAUGUACGAAAUUUUGUGAAGGAUGUACGAAGGGUUCCAAAUUGCGUUCCGAGGUGGGGAUCGACCCCCAAUCACUUUCUUAUGGGUUUCUAAAUGAAAUUAUGCACCAUUGAUGUUCAGAUGGGGGUUUCGAAAGCGACAGGAUUAGAUGUACCAAAUUUAAUGAAGGAUGUACCAAAUUUUGUGAAAGAUGUACCAAAUUUUGUGAAUGAUGUACCAAGGGUUCCAAAUUGUGUUAUGAGGUGGGAAUCGACCCCAAAUAACUUUCUUAUGGGUUUCUAAAUGAAAUUAUGGACCAUCCAUAUUCAGAUAGGGGUCCCAGAAGCGAUAGGAUCGAAUGUACCAAAUUUUGUGAAGGAUGUACCAAGAGUUCAAAAAUGCGUUCCGAGGUGGGGAUCGGCCCCCAAACACUUCUUUAUUGGUUCCAAAAUGAAAUUAUGGACUAUCCAUAUUCAAAUGGGGGUCUCAGAAGCGAUAGGAUCGAAUGUACCAAAUUUAAUGAAGGAUGUACCAAAUUUAAUUAAGGAUGUACCAAAUUUUGUGAAGGAUGUACCAAGGGUUCCAAAGUGCAUUUCGAGGUAGGGAUCAACCCCCAAUAGCUUUCUCAUGGGUUGCUAAAUGAAAUUAUGGACCAUCCAUAUUCAGAUGGUGGUCCCAGAAGCGAUAGGAUCGGAUGUACCAAAUUUGUGAAUGAUGUACCAAGGGUUCCAAAAUGCGUUCCGAAGUGGGGAUCGGCCCCCAAUCACUUUCUUAUGGGUUUCUAAAUGAAAUUAUGGACCAUCGAUGUUCAAAUGGGGGUCCUGGAAGCGACAGGAUCGGAUGUACCAAAUUUUGUGAAUGAUGUACCGAAGGUUCCAAAGUGCGUUAUGAGGUGAGGAUCGACCUCCAAUCACUUUUUUAUGGGUUUUUAAAUGAAAUUAUGGACAAUCCUUGUUGAGAUGGGGGUCCCAGAAGCAAUAGGAUCAGAUGUACCAAAUUUAAUGAAGAUUGUAUCAAAUUUAAUUAAUGAUGUACCAAAUUUUGUAAAGGAUGUACCAAAGGGGCCAAUGUCCGUUCCGAAGUAGGGAACGAUCUCUAAUCACUUUCUAAGGUUGUCCAAAGAAAUAAAUGAAACAUAAGAAGGAUGUUAGGUGUGUUGUUAGCUCGAGGAUUGGAUGUAUCAAAUUUUCUUAAGAAUGUAUCUAGGGUUUCAAAGUCUAUUUCAGAGUAGGAAACAACCUCCAAUCACUUUCCAAAGAUCCUUUAAGGAAUUAAUGGACCAUGGGUAAUAAGAUAGGGGUCCUGGUAGCUCAAGGAUUAGAUGUACCAAUUUUUUGGUAUAGAGAUUCAAUUGGUACCAUUUUAUAAUACAUAUUGAAAUUUAUGUGAAUGAAACAAAAUAUACUAGCUAGUUUCCUGUAAUGAGGUAAAUAAAAAAAGUAGUUAAAAAUAAAAAAAAUAUAAAUAAAAUAAUAAUAUAGAUUUAAAAUAAAAAAAUUUAAAAAUGAACAAUUUUUUUUAAAUGAUAAAUAUUUUAAAAAAAAAAUCUAUGAUUUUAAAUCAACAAGCAAUCAUUUCCAUUGCUUAUUUCAUAUGAAUGUCAAGGGCCAACCUUUCAAGCUAUCAACAUGCCUCCAUUUGCCUUACUACCCAACCCACACUUCAAAUCUAGUCAUCCUAAAGGCAUGCCUCUGACAAAGAGUCAUGCCUAUAUUUUUUCCUACUGCACAUAACUUAACAAAAAUAAGUUUUUCACCCACAUUCAUGCAUCUUCCAUGAAGCUUGUGCUCUUGACUAGUGCACAUAGCCUACCGAUAUAAUGGUUUCAGCAAUAGGCAUGCCUCUAAAAUCAAGGGUGUGCCCCUAGUUUGCAUACUGCAUAUAGUACACCAAAAUAAUGUUAUCAUGCCCAUGGGCAUGCCAAUGCAACGAAGGGUGCACCCCUACUUUACUUUCUGCAUGUGGCAUAGUAAUAUAAUGUCAUUUACAGGCAUGCCUUUCAAAUGGAAGGUGCGCCCCUAGAUUGUCUUCUACACAUAACAUACCAAACUAAUGUUAUUGUACAAAGAAAAUUCCAUUGAAUCUAAGGGUACAAUGUAAAUGUUCGAAUGCCUUCCGAAGGUGUUAAUGGGCCAACCUCCCUUUUACUGACUUCUCACAUAAUAUGAAUCAAUCCCCACCUUAACAAUUUGGCACAUCCUUCACAAAAUUUGGUACACCCGAUCCUAUCGCUUCCGGGACCCCCAUUCGAACAUGGAUAGUACAAAAUUUCAUUUUGGAACCCAUAAGGAAGUGUUUGGGGGCCGAUCCUCACCUCAAAACACACUUUGGAACCCUUGGUACAUCAUUUACAAAAUUUGGUACAUCCUUCACAAAAUUUGGUAACAUCCUUCAUUAAAUUUGGUACAUCCGAUCCUAUCGCUUCCGGGAUCCCCAUCUGAACAUGAAUGGUCCACAAUUUCAUUUAGAAACCCAUAAGAAAGUGAUUUGGGGCCGAUCCCCACCUCGAAACACACUUUGGAACCCUUGGUACAUCAUUCACAAAAUUUGGUACAUCCUUCAUUAAAUUUGGUACAUCCUAUCCUGUCACUUCCAAAACCUCCAUCUGAACAUCGAUGGUCCAUAAUUUCAUUUAGAAACCCAUAAGAAAGUGAUUGAGGGCCGAUCCCCACCUCGGAACGCAAUUUGGAACCCUUGGUACAUCCUUCACAAAAUUUGGUACAUCCUUCAUUAAAUUUGGUACAUCCUUUAUUAAAUUUGGUACAUCCCAUCCUAUCACUUUCGGGACCCCCAUUCNAACAUGGAUGGUACAUAAUUUCAUUUUGGAACCCCUAACGAAAUAUUUGGGGGUCCAUCCCUACCUCGAAACAGCACUUUGGAACCCUUGGUANNNNNNNNNNNNNNNNNNNNNNNNNNNNNNNNNNNNNNNNNNNNNNNNNNNNNNNNNNNNNNNNNNNNNNNNNNNNNNNNNNNNNNNNNNNNNNNNNNNNUGGAACCUUUGGGACAUCCUUCACAAAAUUUGGGUACAUCCUUCAUUAAAUUUGGUACCAUCCUUUAUUAAAUUUGGUACAUCCGAUCCUAUCACUUUCAGGACCCCCAUUUGAACUAUGGAUGGUACAUAAUUUCAUUUUGGAACCCAUAAGGAAGUAUUUGGGGGUCGAUCCCUACCUCGAAACGCACUUUGGAACCCUUGGUACAUCAUUCACAAAAUUUGGUACAUCCGAUCCUAUCGCUUCUGGGACCACUAUCUGAACAUGGAUGGUUCAUAAUUUCAUUUAGAAACCCAUGAGAAAGCUAUUGGGGGUCGAUCCCCACCUUGACGCACACUUUAGAACCCUUGAUACAUUCUUCACAAAAUUUGGUAUAUCCUUCACAAAAUUUGGUACAUCCUUCAUUAAAUUUGGUACAUUCAAUCCUAUUGCUUCCGGGAUCCCCAUUUGAACAUGAAUGGUCCAUAAUUUCAUUUAGAAACCCAUAAGAAAGUGAUUUGGGGUCGAUCCCCAUCUCGGAACACACUUUGGAACCCUUGGUAUAUCAUUCACAAAAUUUGGUACAUCCUUCACAAAAUUUGGUACAUCCUUCAUUAAAUUUGGUACAUCUGAUCCUGUUACUUCCAGAACCCCCAUCUGAACAUUGAUGGUCCAUAAUUUCAUUUAGAAACCCAUAAGAAAGUGAUUGAGGGUCAAUCCCCACCUCGGAACGCAAUUUGGAACCCUUCGUACAUCCUUCACAAAAUUUGGUACAUCCUUCAUUAAAUUUGGUACAUCCAAUCCUAUCACUUUCGGGACCCCCAUUCGAACAUGGAUGGUCCAUAAUUUCAUUUUGGAACCCAUAAGGAAGUAUUUGGGGGUCCAUCCCUACCUCAAAACGCACUUUGGAACCCUUGGUACCUCAUUCACAAAAUUUGGUACAUCCGAUCUUAUUGCUUCUAGGACCACCAUCUGAAUAUGGAUGGUCCAUAAUUUCAUUUAGAAACCCAUGAGAAAGCUAUUGGGGGUCGAUCCCCACCUCGAAACACACUUUGGAACCCUUGGUACAUCCUUCACAAAAUUUGGUACAUCCUUAAUUAAAUUUGGUACAUUCGAUCAUAUCGCUUCCGGGAUCCCUAUCUGAAUAUGAAUGGUCCAUAAUUUCAUUUAGAAACCCAUAAGAAAGUGAUUGGGGGUCGAUCCCCACCUUGGAACGCAAUUUGGAAGCCUUCGUACAUCCUUCACAAAAUUUGGUACAUCCUUCAUUAAAUUUGGUACAUCCUUUAUUAAAUUUGGUACAUCCGAUUCUAUCACUUCCGGGACCCCCAUUCGAACAUGGAUGGUCCAUAAUUUCAUUUUGGAACCCAUAAGGAAGUAUUUGGGGGUCCAUCCCUACCUCGAAACGCACUUUGGAACUCUUGGUACCUCAUUCACAAAAUUUGGUACAUCUGAUCCUAUCGCUUCUGGGACCACCAUCUGAAUAUGGAUGGUCCAUAAUUUCAUUUAGAAACCCAUGAGAAAGCUACUGGGGGUCGAUCCCCACCUCGAAACACACUUUGGAACCCUUGGUACAUCCUUCACAAAAUUUGGUACAUCCUUAAUUAAAUUUGGUACAUUCGAUCCUAUCGCUUUCGGGAUCCCUAUCUGAAUAUGAAUGGUCCAUAAUUUCAUUUAGAAACCCAUAAGAAAGUGAUUGGGGGCCGAUCCCCACCUCGGAACGCAAUUUGGAAGCCUUCGUACAUCCUUCACAAAAUUUGGUACAUCCUUAAUUAAAUUUGGUACAUCCUUCAUUAAAUUUGGUACAUCCUUUAUUAAAUUUGGUACAUCCGAUCCUAUCGCUUUUGGGACCACCAUCUGAACAUGGAUGGUCCAUAAUUUCAUUUAGAAACCCAUGAGAAAGCUAUUGGGGGUCGAUCCCCACCUCGAAACGCACUUUGAAACCCUUGGUACAUCCUUCAUAAAAUUUGGUACAUCCUUAAUUAAAUUUGGUACAUCCUUAAUUAAAUUUGGUACAUCCUUCAUUAAAUUUGGUACAUCUGAUCCUAUCACUUCUGGGACCCCCAUCUGAAUAUGGAUAGUCCAUAAUUUCAUUUUGGAACCAAUAAGGAAGUGUUUGGGGGCCGAUCCCCACCUCGGAACGCAUUUUCGAACCCUUGGUACAUCCUUCACAAAAUUUGGUACAUCCGAUCCUAUCGCUUCCGAGACCCCCAUCUGAACAUGGAUGGUCCAUAAUUUCAUUUAGAAACCCAUAAGAAAGUGAUUGGGGGUUGAUCCCUACCUCAAAACGCACUUUGGAACCCUUGGUAUAUCCUUCACAAAAUUUGGUACAUUCGAUCCUAUUGCUUCUGGCUUCCCCAUCUGAACAUGAAUGAUCCAUGAUUUCAUUUUGGAACCCAUAAGGACGUGAUUGGGGGUUGAUCCCCACCUCGGAACGCAUUUUGGAACCGUUGGUACAUCCUUCACAAAAUUUGAUAUUAUUAAAUUUGGUAUAUCUGAUUCUAUUGUUUUCGGGACCCCCAUCUGAACAUGAAUGGUCCAUGAUUUCAUUUUGAAACCCAUAAGGAUGUGAUUGGGGGUUGAUCCCUACCUUGGAACGCUUGGUACAUCCUUCACAAAAUUUGGUACAUCAUUCAUUAAAUUUGGUACAUCCGAUCUCAUUGCUUUCGAGAACCCCAUCUGAACAUAGAUUGCCCAUAAUUUCAUUUAGAAACCCAUAAGAAAGUGAUUGGGGGUCGAUCCCCACCUCGGAACGCACUUUGGAACCCUUGGUACAUCAUGCCCAAAAUUUGGUACAUCCUUCAUAAUGUACCAAAUUUUGUGAAGGAUGUACCAAAUUUUAUAAAUGAUGUACCAAAUUUUGUAAAGGAUAUACCAAUGUUGCCAAAGUUCGUUAUGAGGUGGAGAACGACCUUCAAUAACUUCCUGAGGGUCUCCAAAGGAAAAAAUGGACUAUGGAAAUGGAGAUAAGUGUUUCGUUAGCUCAAGGAUUGGAUGUAUCAAAUUUUCUCAAUUAUGUACCUAGGGUUCCAAAGUCUAUUUCGGAGUAGGGAACGAUCUCCAAUCACUUCCCAAAGAUCCCUAAAGGAAUAAACGGAUCAUGGGUAAUAAGAUAGAGGUUUCAAUAGCUCAAGUAUGUACCAAAUAUUUUUAAGGAUGAACCAAAUUUUUUAAAGGAUGUACCAAAAGUGCCAAAGUUCAUUCCAAUGUGGGGAAUGACCUUCAAUCACUACCUAAGGGUCCUCAAAGGAUAAUAUGGACCAUGGGAAGAUAGAUAGGGGUCUCAAUAGCCCGAGGAUUGGAUGUACCAAAAUUUCUUAACGAUGCACCAAAUUUACUUAAGGAUGUACCUAGAGUUCCAAAGUUCGUUUUGGAGUAGGGAACGACCUCUAAUUACUUCCUAAAGAUCCCUAAAGAAAUAAAACGAACCACGGGUAAUAAUAUAGAGGUCUUGGUAGCUCAUGGAUUGGAUGUACAAAAUUGUUUUAAGGAUGUGCUAAAUUUUAUGAAAUAUAUACCAAAUUUUAUAAAUGAUAUACCAAAUUGUUUUUAGGAUGUACUUUGGGUUCCAAUGUCCGUUUUAGGGUGGGGAAUAACCUCUAAUUCUUUUUCAAGAGUCCCCAAAGGAAUAUAUGAACCAUGAAAAUGAAAAUAGAGGUCUUGGUUCUUCUAAAAAUGGAUAUACCUAGGAUCCCAAAGUUCUUUUUGGGGUGGGCAAAUACCUCCAAUUACUUAUCGAGGGUCCCAAAGGAAUAUAUACACCAUGAUACGUAUGAUAGUGUUUACGGUUCUCCUAAGCAUUAAUUUACCUUUUUUUUUUUUUUUUUAAGGAUGUACUUAUUUUUUAUGAGAUUAAUAUAAAAGGUUAAAUACAUUUUUUUUUUAUGAAAAAUAGAUUUUUUUUAUAUUUUAUUUUAAUUAAAAAUUAAAGAUUUUAACCCAAAAAAAGUUAGAUCCACAAUCAAUUUAAAAUCAUAAGAAAAAUGAUAAAAGCACCAUCACUUAUUGUGAUUUUUAUAUGAUAAAUUUAAAAUGAAAAUUAAAAGAAAAAUAAUGUAAAUAAUAAAAUAGUAUUGCAAUGAUAUUUUUACUUUUACAUGUGAUAGAAUUUACAAAAUAAAUAAAUCUUUUUUUUAGUAUUAAUAUAAAAAAUCUUAUAUCAUAAAGUUCUAAAUAAUAAAAUGGAAUUUUUAAAUUUAAACUUUAAUUUAUAAAAUGUAUUAUUAUAAUUAAUAUUUAAAAUCAUUAUUAUUUGUGGGACAAUAUUUUCAUUUUUGUCCAUUAUAUAUUUUGUUUUUAUUUAAUUUGUUAUAUUAAUUAUUUAUUAUAUAUUAUCAUUUUAAGUUUAAUAUGUUAAAAAAAUAAUUAAAAUCAAUAAAUAUAGAUAAAUUAGAGAGUAAAAAUAAAUUAAAAUUAAAGAAGUUUUAUGAGAAAAUGCACGAGCGUGUUAAAAAGAAUAUAAAGGAAAAAAGAAAAGAAAAAUAAUAAUAAAACCUAUAAUAGGUGACAAUGGAUUAUGGUGGCAGAAUAGGAAAAAAAGAAGAAAAAAGUAAAAAGUGGAAACGUGACAAAUGGUAAGGGAUAUUUAUUGAUUUGAGAAAAAUAAUAAAAAAUAAAUGACACAUGUACUUGUUAAUAGGUGGUAUUAAAUAGUUGUGUACUUUGUCCUUUACUUUUGAGGGUAAUUGUGGAAUAAAUUUGAAAGCACUAUUGGAGUGCAUGAAUAGACAAUAUUUUUUUUCCAUUUUACACCAAAAUUAAAAAGAAAAAAGUGAAGUUUCAAAUUCUCAUAUUUUUUGUAAUUGGUGUAUGGUUAGAUGAUUUUCCCUAUAAUUAAACGAGUGAAAAUUCUUUGUUUGUGAAUAGAAAUUGACUUAAUACUUUUUGAAUAAAAUUAUAGAACUCUAUUUUUAAUAAAAAUAAUCAAAAUCAAUUUCUUUGUAAAUAAAAUCAAAUUAGAAUAUUUUUUGUAAAUAAAUUUGUACAUUUAAAAAAAAAAAUUUCAAAAAAUUCAUUUUUUUUUAAAAUAAAAAUAAAUUUGAUUUGGAAUGUUUCUUGAAAAUAAAUUUGUAAAUAUUUUUUUAAUUUUGUAGUGAAUCACUUCUCUUAAAUAAAAUUUGAAAUAAAAUAUAUUCUUGAAAAUAAAAAUGGUAAAAAAUCAUUUUGGUAAAAGUAAAUAAAAUAAAUAAAAAUCAUCUCCUUGUAAAUAAAAUCAAAUUUACAUUUGUCUCUCUAAAUGAAAUUGUACUUAAUAACUUCUUUUAAUAAAAACAAGAAACAGUCUUUCAAAAUAAAUUUAAAUCUAAAUAAAAUAAAAUAUUUUGAUAAAUAAAUGGAAGCUUUGUGAAUAAUCAAGUUGGUUUUUAAUAUGAAAAAAAAUCUUUCAAAAUUUCUUAAAAUUGUAUUAUGAUAUUUGAAAUAAUAAAGUCUUUAUAAUAUAUUUGUGUAAUUCACUUUUAUCAUUGUUUUGAUGUACUUUUUUUUUAUUCUUCUGUGGUAUCCAUGAUUUACAAACUAAUUGCCAUACUCCACACUUGCUUACUAGAAAGGUCUUUUUCUUAGGGCUUAGAAGGGUGUUAUGACUUAUCAUCAUAACUUCUGGAUGGGUAACCUGAUCUCUAAAUCCGUUUUUGAUUUAUAGACUUGUCUUUUUUCCAAAUAAGAAAUCACAUAAAGUUUUCUUUCUUAUUUUGUUUUCUUUUUUUAAAAAUAAAGUAAAAUAAAUGACAACUCCAAUUUUUCAAAAAUCAUUUUUUCACAAUAAAAAUUGAGUCAUGACAUUGAGUGGGAACAUAUAUGAAAAAUACAAGUCCAUAAAUGCAUAAAAAAAUGAUAUUAAUUGAUUGACAUAACUUAAUAAUUUUUUCCAUAUAAAUCUUAGGAAAAAUAAUAAUAAUUUAUUUGUCACAAAAUAAUAAAAAAAAAGAACUAAGUUUUCAAAAAUGUCUUGCACCACAUAAUUCUAUUAUUGAUGUUUUUAAUAAUUUUUGUGCAAGAGUUGUUAGAUUUCUUUAUUUUCCAUUAUCACCCAAGACACAAAAAACAUGAUAUAUAUAUAUAUAUAUAUAUAUAUAUAUAUAUAUAUAUAUAUAUAUAUAUAUAUAUGUAUGUAUGUAUGUAUAUAUAUAAAGCAUUCAAAACAUUCUUUUGAUCUUUGAUCUCUGGAUAGGGAACCAACCUGAAUCCAUUUUAGAUUUUGUUGAAGAUGUAUGGAUCUUCUAAGGUUGUGGAGGGCACCAUCUUUCUUUGAAUUCUCUCUGAUGAUGGGAGCGGGAGAGAACAAGUUCCUUUUGUUUCAAAAUGUUGUUUUCAUACAAGGAACUAACACUUGAAUUUAUACCCUCCUGCCUUAGGGACCAUACCCUUUGGCUAUUGGGCCUCACAAGUCUUAGGCCCAUCAUCUAAGGCCUGUGAUGGCGUUGGGCUCUACACAUAGGUGGCCCAUACUCUUGAUCAAAUAGAAAUCAUAUAUAUAUGGAUAGCUAAAUCCCGACAAUGUUUAAUAUAAUGUAGGUCUAUAUUUAUUCUAUCAAUCUUCCACUUGGACCACAUAUAUUACAAAACAAUGUUCAUGAUAGUACUUUAUUGAGGUCAUCUUUGCUAUCCUAUUCAAAUAUCCUUAAACAAUCCGGUCUACUAAUUAUGCUAACAUAGGAUCAAAGUGGUCUUCGUUAAUCAUAAUUAUAACUAGACUCAUCAAUGAUCACAAUAUUAACAAAAUUAGCAACAUGGAUCAAGUAUGGAUGUGUAGCAUGGAAAUUACAUAGAAUGUGAUCUCUAAUAUGUCUAUUUCCAAUUGGUCCCACUUUAUGACUAAAAAAUAGUCAAAUUCCACUUUCAACACUUGAUGCUAAACUGCUUUUGAAAGUCAUCAUUUCAAUUCAGAAUAUUCAAACACAAUAGUCUUUUAAAAUCAAGGUCUGUACAGAUAACACAACAUAAUAUCACAUCAAGAAAACAAACACAAAAUCUAAAUACAAACUCCCACUAUACUAGCACAUCAUCAAUGGGUACAACACCCAUAUGUGUGACAUGCUCAUGAUAUACUUUGGGUGGCAAACCCUUAGUGAGCGGAUCCGCAAUCAUGGAGUUUGUGCUUAUGUGUUCAAUCGAUACUUGAAGACUCUGAACUCUUUCUUUCACAACCAAGAACUUGAUGUCAAUGUGUUUAGACUUUGAUGAAUUUCGGUUGUUCUUAGAAUACAAUUCUGCGGCCUUAUUAUCACAAUUGAUUCUCAAUGGUUUCUCAAUCCCACCAACAUUUAGCAACUGAGUGAUAAAAUUCCGCAACCAUAUCCCUUGGUUUGAUGCCUUGUAGCAAGCUAUGAAUUCUGCCUCCAUGGUGGAAGAAGCAAUAAGUGUUUGUUUAACACUUUUCCAUGAAAUUGCUCCUCCAACCAACAUGAAGAUGUAGCCUGAAGUGGAUCUCCUACUGUCAAGACAUCCCGCGAAAUCAGAGUCUGAAUAUCCCACGAUCUCUAAAUGACUAGAUCUACGGUAUGUGAGCAUAUAAUCUUUAGUUCUUUGUAAAUACCGCAAAACCCGUUUUGCCUUUUUCCAGUGAUCCAUACCUAGGUUUCUCAAAUAUCUGCCUAACAUUCCAACAAUGUACGCAAUAUCCGGGCGCGUACAAACUUGUGCAUACAUGAGACUUCCUAUUGCCGAGGCAUAGGGAAACCUCUCCAUAUCCUUCUUCUCAAGUUCAUUUUUCGGACAUUGGUGCAAACUAAAUUUAUCGCCUUUUGCCACAGGCGUGUCUCCUAGUGUACAAUUGCUCAUGCCAAAUCUUCUCAACACUUUAUCAAUGUAGGCCUUUUGUGAUAGCCCAAGUAUACCUCUUGAACGAUCCCUAUAGAUCUGUAUACCCAACAUAAAAGAUGCAUCACCAAGGUCCUUCAUAUCAAAUUUACUAGAUAGAAAUCGUUUGGUUUCAUGCAAAAGUCCUACAUCACUACUUGCAAGUAGAAUAUCAUUAACAUAUAGCACCAAUAUAAUGAAUUUUCUCCCACUAAACUUGAGGUAUAUGCAUUGAUCAACGGUGUUCUCCUUAAAACCAAAUGAAGUGAUCACCUGAUCAAACUUUCGGUACCAUUGUCGGGAUGCUUGCUUUAAACCAUAUAUGGACCUUUUUAAUCUGCAUACAAGUUGCUUUGAAUCAUUAGACUCAAAGUUCUCCGAUUGCACCAUGUAUAUUGUUUCAUCAAUGUUACCAUUAAGAAACACAGUUUUAACGUCCAUUUGAUGCAGCUCUAAAUCAUAAUGAGCUAGAAGUGCCAUGAUGAUUCUAAAGGAGUCCUUUGACAAAACCGGUGAAAAUGUCUCCUUAUAAUCAAUGUCUUCCUUUUGAGUGAAACCUUUUGCGACUAGGCGUGCCUUAUACAUAACAAUGUUGCCUUUUGAAUCCCGCUUGGUCUUAAAAAUCCAUUUACAACCAAUCGGUUUUACACCUUCAGGCAACUCUACUAAGUCCCAAACACCAUUGUCUUUUAUUGAUUUCAUCUCAUCCUUCAUGGCUUCUAUCCACUUUUCAGAGUCAAAACUUUGUUUGACUUGGCUACCUGAAAUUGGAUCGUCUUCCAUACCCAUGUCAAACUCAUGUUCUUGGAGAUAUACAACAUAAUCAUCUGAAAUUGUACUUCUUCUUUCUCUAGUGGAUCUCCUUAGUGGCACUUGUACUUGAGGUUCUUGAGUUACCUCUUCAUGAACUUGAAUCAGUUCUAUAACUUGAGUAGGAGGAAUCUCAGGUGUGUCUUGAAUUUCUGUUAUCGACUAUACAUUUUGAAUAGUGUCAUCAAACAUAAUAUAACGAUGUCCAGUCGUAAUAAUAAGAAUACUAACAUAUUCCUCUUCAAAAACCACCUUUCUUAACGGUUCUCUCCCACUUAACUCAACAUCCUCAAUGAACUUAGCAUUGCCCGUUUCAAAGAAGGAUCUACUUGAGGGGUCAUAAAAUUUGAAGCCUUUCGACCUUUCAGAAUACCCUACAAAGUAGUAGCUCACUGUUCUGGAGUCCAAUUUCUUUUCAUUUGGCUUAUAAGGUUUAGCUUCAGCUGGACAACCCUAAACAUGCAAGUGCCUAAUACUAGGUUUCUUGCUAGUCCAUAACUCAUAUGGGGUUUUGGCUACUGCUUUGCUUGGUACUCUAUUCAAAAUGUAAACUGCAGUUUUGAUAGCUUCGCCCCAAAGUGAUUCUGGUAAGGUGGAAUGACUGAUCAUACUUCUUACCAUAUCCUUAAGAGUACGGUUUCACCUUUAUGCUAUACCAUUUUGGCUUGGAGUCCCUGGUAUGGUGUACUGAGGAACGAUACCACACUCCAUCAAAUAUUUGGCGAAUGGCCCUGAACGUUGUUCAUCGGAUUCAUCAUAUCUACCAUAGUAUUCACCUCCACGGUCAGAUCCGACGACCUUUAUUUUCUUGCUUAAUUGGUUCUCAACUUCAGCUUUGAAAUUCUUGAACACAUCCAAUGACUGAGACUUCUCAUGAAUCAAAUAAAGAUAGCCAUAGCGUGAGUAAUCGUCAAUGAAAGUGAUAAAAUAUUGUUGUCCAUUCCAAGGUGUAGGAAAUGGACCACAAAGGUCCGUAUGUAUCAAUUCCAAGACGUCACUGCACCUAUUGGCAUCCUUUUUCCUCAUAUUUGUUUGUUUACCCUUAAUGCACUCUAUAUAGACUUGAAAGUUUGAGAAAUCAAGUGGAUCAAGAAUUCCUUCUAACACAAGCCUUUGAAUUCGUUGAUUUGAAAUAUGACCCAAACGCCUAUGCUAUAACAUUGAUGAAUUCUCAUUCAUUAAUUUUCGCUUAAUGCCAUAAUUACUUGAAUGCAAGGUUUCAUUUCCAUUAGUGACCUUUAUGUUCAAUUUGUAUAAUUUGUCUGUUAGACUACUUGUACCGAUAACGUUUGAAUUUAGAUAAAGACUAACCAUUCCAUUUCUAAAUGAACAACAAUAUCCAAAUUUGUCCAGACAUGAAAUAGAAAUUAAAUUCCGUCUAAACGACGAUACUACAAAAGUCUCUUCCAAAUCCAAAGUAUAUCCAAAGUCUAACUGUAAUAUAAAAAGACCAAUAGCCUUGACUGAAGCCUUGUUGCCAUUUCCCACAUAAAUGUAUCUUUCACCAUCAGUUGGUAUUCGGCUCAUUAGGCAACCUUGCAUAGUGACACUUAUGUGAGUAGUUGCACCCGUAUCUAUCCACCAAUUGUCAGUAGGCACUACAACUAAAUUAAUUUCUAAACAAACAAAGUUGAGAAGUGUACCUUUCUUUUCACGCCAAGCAGCGUAUUUGGUACAUGUCUUCUUCAUAUGACCAGCCCUUUUGUAAAAGAAACAAGUGAUUUCCUUAUCUUGUUUCUUCUGCACCUUUUGCUUUGAUGUCCUAGAAACUGUAGUUUGUUUUCCUUUAUUGUCCCUCUUUCUUUUCUUGUUAGUACCAAAUCCCUAAGAUGUGGAAGCCAAGUGAGCACUUUCUAUCUUCUCUUGUUUCAAUCUCUCUUCCUUUUGUACACACUAAGCAAUAAGCUCAUUCAAAGUCCAUUUUUCCUUUUAUGUGUUAUAACUGAUUUUGAAUGGACUAAAUUGUGUAGGCAGAGAGAUCAAGACCAAGUGCACGAGUAUGUCUUCCGAAAACUCUAACUUUAGUGCCUUGAGUCUAGUCACAAGAUUAGACAUUUCCAUAAUGUACUCCCUUAUAUUCUCUUUCCCUUUAUACCGUAUAGAGACAAGCUUACUAAGAAUAGUGUUUGUCUCAACCUUUUCGUUUGCAGCGAAUCGUUUUGCUAUUUGGUCCAAGAAUGCCUUGGCUCAGGUUUCCUCAGGUAUUCACCCCUUAUAACUUCUGGAAUUGAGUGCUUCAUUAUCAUUAGACUCAUAUGAUUGGAUUGCUCCCAUUUUUCCAUAGUAGACCUUUGCUCAGUAGUACUGGCACUAGUAAGAUCUGAAAGGCGAUCCUCUCUUAAUGAAUAGUCUAAAUCCAUGCACCCGAGCACAAUUAUAACAUGCUCCUUCCAUUUCUUGAAGUUUGUUCCAUUAAGCACAAGAAUGUUAUUGACAUUUGCAGAUAUAGAAGAUGCUAAAUUCAUAAUAAUAUAGCUCACAAUCAGUUAUAUAAUCAUCACACAUACAUGAAUAAAUAAAAAUUUAACAUAUAUAUGUAUAUGCAUGUGGACAUAUAACAAUAUACCUAACACAAACAUCAAUAUUCAGUCUUUGGACAUAAAUAUCAACUUGUAAUUGGCAUCAUUUUCAAUAUUAAUUUAUAAAUAUUGACAAUAAAACCAAAAACAAUAUGUUUGUCUUUGGACUAACAUACUGAAUACAAGAUAAACUUUAUAUGUCACAUAUUUAUGAUUACUUUAUUUAUUAUUAUAUUAAAAUAAUCUUCCUUUGGGUCGAUUAUUUUAAAUAAUAAUAAUAAUAAUAACAUGUUUAGAUAUUAUAAAAUAAAAAUAAACAAAUUAUAUAAUAUAAGUUACUUUGGCAACUGAUAUACAUAAUUUAUUUAUUUUAAAAUAUUAAACACAAACAUAACAAGAAAUAAUAAAUUUCCAAAAAGAAUACAGAAAUUCAUCAGAAUCAUAAUUUUUAUAUACAGAAUCAUUAACAAACAUAAUGGUUCUAUAGUUCAGUUGGUUGAGCACAAGGCUUUCAACCUUGUGGUCAUGGGUUCAAGCUUCCAUAGUGAGCGUUUUUUUUUUAUUCCUUUUUCACUGGGCUUGACAUUUAUGGUACAGAAUCAUCAAGAAACAUAAUGGUUCUGUAGCUCAGUUGGUUGAGCACAAGGCUUUCAACCAAUGUUUUAAAAACCAGACCGGACCGGUCGGUCCAACCGGUUCAAUCGUCGACCGCUCACCAAUCCGGUCCGGUUUGCCUUAUCAAACCGUUUAGACAUUGAACCGAUCAUGAACCACCUAAAUCAGCGGUCGGAUCGGUGAACCGAUGGAACCGGACAGUUCUAAAUGAACCGAUCGGUUCAAAUUGGCCCAUCAUUUUGCAAGCAGAAGACCCCAUCAUAUAAAAACUAAACAAAACACCAUACUGGACCAUGACAAAAAACCAUACUGGGCCUAGCUUAGUGACAAAGCCCACACCCACUCAAUUGUUUUAAGCAGGCUGAAUCUUUGAGCCCACAAGAUGGGAUAGUGUUGUUGCUUUCAACGAGGAUACCUUUUAUAGGCAUCCUUUGCACCCUUAUUUCUCUCAAAUUUCGAUGUGGGAUUGCAAACUAGUAUUAAUGAAAAAAAACUAACAACUUCAGCCAAGAGGAUUUGAAGCUGGGACCUUACGUUUGGAAGUAAACUUGACACCACUCGGCUACAAGCUAUUUGAUAUUUGAUUUUCCAAACAAAAUAAUAUAUAUUUGAUUUUAAAUUUUUUUAUAAUAUUAAAUAAAAAUAAUAUGAUAUUUUUAAAAAUUAUAAAAUUAGCUAAAAUUUUCAUUUUUAAUAUAUUCACAUUUAAAUAUUAUACACAUUUCAUUUAAUAAAAUUUAAAAUAUUAAUUUGAUAUAUUCAUAUAUAUUUUAAAAUUUUUAUAAUUAUUUUUAAUUUUAAUAAUAUAUAAAUUACAUAUUUAUGACGUCACCGGUUCGACCGCGGUUCGACCACCAGUUCGACCGGUGAACCGUGAACCAGUAACUUUUCUAGUUCAAUGACCGGUCUGGUUCUGAAAACAUUGCUUUCAACCUUGUGCUCAUGUGUUCGAGCUUCCUUAGUGGGCAUUUUUUUUUAUUCUUUUUUUUUUUACUGGGCUUGGACAAAUCACACGUAUUUGUGCUUUCCAUAUAUAUAUAUAUAUUAAAGCAUGAAUAGUGCACGAACGGCGCACCAGUGACGCUCGAAUUGCACACCAACGGAGCAUGAAUGAUGACUUGUAGCCCCAAAAAAUGGCGUUUCCAAUGGCGCCUCCAAAGGCGCCUUAAACGACGCCUGAAAUGACGCUUCUGGAGCACUUGAAAACGGUGCUUCUAGACCGCCUGAACGGCGUCGUUAAAGAACCUGAAUGGCGCUUAAAAAAUGGCGCCUUAACGACUUCGAAAUGACGCUUGAGAACAGCGCCUGCAACACAGUUUGGAACAGCCUCUAAAGGGCGCUUGGAGUGCGCCUGGAAUAGCCUUUGAAGGGUGCCUGGAUUGGCGUCUGAAGCGGUCUUGUUGCGUGCCUUGAAUGGCGCCUGAACGACGCCUCAAAUGGUGACUUUUGAAUGCCUAAAAAAGGCGCCAGAAUGACACCUAAACUGCAUCCAUUUUGAACGCCGUCUUAACGGCGCCUGAAAUGGUGCUGAAUGGCACCUAGAAUUAGCCUAGAUUUAUUUUCUGUUGUUUCUGUAUUAAUAAGUGUUUUGGUGAAAAUGGGAGGCUCUGAUACCAAUUGUUAGAUUUAUUUAUUUUCCAUUAUCACUCAAGACACAAAAAAACAUGAUAUAUAUAUAUAUAUAUAUAUAUAUAUAUAUAUAUAUAUAUAUAUAUAUAUAUGUAUAUCAAACAUUCAAAACAUUCUUUUGAUCUUUGAUCUUUGGAUAAGGAACCAACUUGAAUCCAUUUUAGAUUUUGUUGAAGAUGUAUGGAUCUUCUAAGGCUGUGGAGGGCACCACUUUUCUUUGAAUUCUCUCUGAUGAUGGGAGCGGGAGAGAACAAGUUUCUUUUGUUUCAAAACGUUGUUCUCAUAUAAGAAACUGACACUUGGAUUUAUACCCUCUUGCCUCAGGGACCAUACCCUUUGGCUAUUGGGCCUCACGAGUCUUAAGCCCAUCAUCUAAGGCCCGUGAUGGCAUUGGGCUCUACACAUAGAUGGCCCAUACUCUUGAUCAAAUAGAAAUCAUAUAUAUAUGGAUAGCUAAAUCCCGACAAUGUUUAAUAUAAUGUAGGUCUAUAUUUAUUCUAUCAAGAGUGUCAUAGAAAAUCAUUUUUACAAAGUUGCCCUAAUUUUUUUUUAUAUAAUUUUUCACGCCUCAAAAAUAAUUAUUACAAUAAUAAUUUGCUUAAAUAAAAUACAUGAAAAAUAAAUUAAAAAAUCAUAAAAUAAUCCCUAUUAUGAAUAUUCACUAAUAUUUUUAGGAAUAUUAAAAUAUAUAGAUAAUAAAUUUUACACUGAAUUUUUUUUAAUUAACUAAAUUGAAUAAUUAAUAAAUUAAUACAAAAUUAAAUACAAACAACUCAGAAAAAUAUAAGAGGUCAUGCAAAAAAUAAAAUAACUAUAAAAUAUUUUUUGUUUCCAAUAGAAAAAAUAGAAAAAAAAAAAAGCUAGAAAAUUAAGAAAAAUGAGAGGAGUUCUCACUCUUGGCUAAUUUUGUUUUCAUGCUCUCAAGAUUCCAUUAAACUAUUUGCUUUUCCGUUUUGACAUCUUGAAGUUUGUUAAUCAAAUCAUGCACACACGAAUAUAAAAUAAAGAAAAAAUGCAAAAGUUUUAAUGUGGUUCAACGAUUAAUGUGAUUCCUAUGCUUAUGGAGUGCACCAACACUUAAUAAUCCACUAAUCAUAAAAAAUAAGAAGAAUUAUAGUGGUAAAACUUUCAAAAAAACCCUCUUAAUUGUGGUCACACUUUCUAAAAAACAAAAUCCUAAACAUAGAAGGGUUAAAUAUAUAAUGGGGACAAACUUGUCAUCAUUAAAAAAAAAAAAAAAAAAUCUCCAAGAGGUGUUGCCCCCUUCAACUAGCUAACCAAAUAACUCGACUUUUGACAUUCUAAGCAAAAUGCAACAAAACUAAUUUAGGUUUCACAAUCUAAUAAAGUUCAUGUUUGAAAAUCACUUUCUACAUUGAGAUUGAAGUCGUAACUUUGAGGAAAAAAAAAUCAUAUUUUUUUAAUUGUUUUACAUGAAUGUUUUAAAAAAUCACAUCUUUUAUCAAUUUUUGUCAAUAAAAUUAUAAGGGAAUGUCGUUUUAAAUCACUUUUAAAUAUAUUUCAGAAGGGAUCUAAUGUGUAAUUAAAGUUGUUUCAUUUUUUAUAAAUAUAAAUAAAUAAAGUUUGCAUAAUAUGCAUAGUGAUGCAUGGUAAUAACAUCUGAGUAGUGUUUGUGCCCCGAAGCCAAUGUUGAAAAAAAAUAUAAUAAUUGAUUAAAAAUGAUGAAAUAAUCCUUAUAUUUGUGAAUUUAUCCCCUUCCAUGCUUUUGUCUAAAGAGUAACUCAUUUUUUUUUUUUAUAUAAAUGUCAUUCUAUAUUUUGAAAGAAAUGGUUAUUUUUACAAGAAAACAAAAAAUGUACUUUUGUCAAAAUAAGGUUGAAAAAGGAUGAAAUGUUAGAUUUCUAAAAUUGGAUUUCCAAUGAUCCUCUUAAUCAAAUUGCCCAAAAAAAAAAUAAUUAAAUUUUGUUUUUUUAAUGGGUGAAGAUAUAAAUCCAAAAAAAAAAAAUCAAUUCAAAAACACUUUUACACUAUUAGCAAUAAUAAUAAUAAUAAUAAUAAUAAUAAUAAUUAAUAAAUAUAGAACAAUAAAAAUAAUAGUGCAAGACGUAUAUCUCCUUUUAUCCUCACUCUUUUGUAUUUUUGUUAAUCAAACCAUGCAUACACAUGAAUAGAAAAAAAAAAAAAACAUAAAAUUUUCGAUGUGAUCCCUAUAUUUACAGAGUGCAUGAAUACUUAAUCAAAGAAAAGAGGAGUACAAUGAUGAAGUUCUAAAACAAACUUGUCAUACUACUUUUUGUGCUUUGAAGCCAAUUAUAUAUAUAUAUAUAUAUAUAUAUAUAAAUCAAAAAGUAUAAUUCAUAUAUAUUUUUUCAUUAUUAGAAAUAAUAAUAAUUAAUAAAUAUAGAACCACCUAGAUCUCCCUUCAUCCUCUCUUUUUUGUAUUUUUACUUCUUACUCUUCCUUUUUCUUUUUCAUUCUUUAUUCUUUAACCAAUCUCUAGAAAAAGCUUUAUCACUAGGGAGAGCUUUAUCUUUCCAAGCUUUUAGUGUAUCUGGAACAAAAGAAGAAAUCAUCUCUCUUUAGUCCUUAGUCUUGAAGUCAGCACAGGGCAAAGAAUAUGGGUGCCUUAUAAUCUUUUAUAAAGAACAAAGAAUAAUUGUUCUUUAUAAAUUAGAAAGAAAACUCUCACAGGUUUCAUCACUUUUACUCUCUCUCUCUCUCUCUCUCUCACCAGUUUCAUAUAUACUGAGAGAUCUCACCACUUUUUUUCCUGCACCAGUUUCUUAUCAGCUUCAGGUAAAUCCAUUUUUAUUUUCACUUCUUUCUUUAAUGUUGAAUUUUAGUUGAUAUUUACAUAAGAGCUAGCCAUGAUGGUCAAUUUUUUCAUGUUGAGUUAUCUAUAGAUGAGGUUCAAGCAUCAAUGCACCAACCUUAUCAUCUUUAAAAAGAUGUAAAAGAGAAACAAUUUUUUUUUUUUAAAGUAAAACAGUCUCAAAAAUCAAAGCAAAUAUUUUAACUAAAUAAUAAAAAAAAAUUAAUUAACAACAACAAGAAAAUGCCACAAAGAAUUGGCUUUGAUGAUCCAUUUAUGAUUGGAUUGGAUAGGAGUGGUGACAUUUUAGUUUUUUUUUUUUUUUUUUUUUAAACAGUACCAAAUAUAUGAUGCUCUAUUAACAUGCUUAUGUUCUAAUAAAAUUGCUUCAAGUGUCCAUUAUAUGCUUAAUUAUUUAAUUAGUAGUGACAUCAAAUUAAAAGUGCGUUUAACAAUAUUCUUACUUGAAGUAUUUUAUCCAAAGUGUUUUUAGGAGAAUCAUUUCCUAAAUUUUAUUAAACACCAAAUUGUUUUUCUUUAAAAAAACUUUUCAUGCUAAAACGUUUUUAAAAUCACUGUGAAAUAGACUCUAAAUCAAUCACUUUUGUCUAAUCUUGUGAGUAUGGAUGGUAGCUCUCAUGGCUGCAACCGACGUGGCAGUGCAUUUAUACUGGAAUGGAAGAGUGAAAACCAAAAAAUAUGAUGUUGUUUAUGAAGGUGGCGACAUGAAUGUGAUGCCUAUUAAGCUCAACCAUGGAACUACGUAUUUUGGAUUGUUGGAUAAAAUCUACGCAACUACAGGCAUAAAGAGGACGGAUUUUGAGUUGAACAUCAUAUGCAGAUACCCUAUAUCUUCAAGGGAAUAUAAGCCCAUCCCAAUAAAGAAUGACGAGGCCGUAGACCUCAUGUUGAAAGUGCCAUGCAGAUCAUUUCGAGUCUACUGUGUGGAGAUAUAUUUGGAGGCAACGCGUUGUGUGAAAUCUCUUCUCCGGGAAUCUGCUCAAAUGUGGGAAUCUGAGUGUUAGGAUAUAGUAAUUUUAUUGUGUUGAAUUGGCUUAUAUAUCAAAUCAGUCAGUGUUCAGGGAUUGAAUUAAGUUUGGUAUGGCAUGAUAAUAUGUGAUCUAGUUUGUAUAAUUCUAUUUUUUUUCUCUCAUUUUGUAUAUUAAUAACCAUAUUCAAGAAAAAAUUUAUAAUUUUUGUUUAUUUUCUCUUUUUGUCUAUAAUUUUUAUUUUAUUUUUUUCCAUCCCUCAAAUCAUCUAGAAACCAAACAUAGCCUUUAAAUGUCUCCAUUUUAAUUAAGGAUUUAAAAAUAUAUAGAAUUUAUAGUAGUGAAAAAAUUGAGAACAUAUUUAAUUUGUCUUCAAUGAAUAAAUCAUCUUGCACCUCAUAUAUAUAUAUAUAUAUAUAUAUAUAUAUAUAUAUAUAUAUAUAUAUAUAUAUAUAUAUCAUAUCCCAUAAUUACAUGUAAUCACAUUAGCCAAUAAUAAUGUGUAAUCCAGUGCAUUAAUAAGAAUAUUUAAACAUAUAUAAAUGUAAUAUAUGGAAAAGAUAUGCAAAUAAGUUCAAAAUUUUAUUAUUAAUUAAUUCCAUAAAGGUGUGGGGUAGAAUCCUUAGUCUAUCCUCUAAUUGUUCAUUAUACACAAGAAAAUAAUGUGAAUUAGAAAAUUCACAUUAUCAUAUUUGAGUAUUUGAAAAUUCUAAAAAGAAUAGCUGAUGAACUAACCAUUAUUAGUGCAUCCAUACAUGAGGAUCUUAAUAUUCAAGCACUUUGUGGGCUAGCCUCUAACUUCAAAGAUAUUUUCGUGCAUUCAUACAUGAGGAUGAUCACCCAAGUGUGCCCUCUUGGGUGAUCCUAAGGAGAUGUGAUCAUGAAAUCUAAGGCUAUAAUAAUUCCUCAAGUGGAAUUUGACAUAUGCUUUCGUGAACUAGGGUAUGUCAAUUGAUUACAUAGUAAGAAAAUUUGUAACUCAAGGAUUAAAGAAAUAAUCUUAAGAGGUUGACAACAUAUAUCUCUUUAAAUUACACAUCAGGUUAUAGGGAGUUUGCAAUAGUGGAUAGUAAGUCAUAAACCUAAGUUAUAUCUCGUUGUAAUUUUAUAGGAUAUUGGAGUGCAAUUGAUUUUUUAUAGUAGGAUGUUGAAUCAAAUUUAAAUUAGAUUAUGAGGGAGCUUGUAUUUUCUUGGGUCCCAAUGGUCCCUAUUCAAGCUCUUAAUUCAUGAUGACACGAUUUUGAGGGUAUUUUUAGGUUUUUAAUUCAUAUGUGUACAUAAGGGCGUUUUAUUAAAAAUAAAAAAUUACACUUGAUCAUAUGAAUGGUCCUUUUGGAAUAGGCUAAUUAAUUAGAGCCCAAUGGGGUUGGUUAAUUAAUUAGGACCUAAGUGGGCUAGAUAAGUAACCUAUGCCCAAGCUAGUCUCAAGUUCCUUAAACUCACAAGGAAGCCUACAUAAACCUUAUAAAGCUUCACUUUUGCACUUUUGUCUUUUAGAAUUCAGAUGGAAACCCUAACCUGCCCUCUCUAGAGAGAAGAUUACCUUUCUCGGAUGUCUAGAUAUGUGAGAGUGAUAGGGCAAAAGGCUGCUUAGUUGUCAAGGCUUGCAAUUCACUUUACACGACUUCAUUAAAUUAGAAUUGAUUUGGGAAUAUUUAGAUCACAGGUAUGAUCUCUCUUCCAUCUAGAUCUAUAUUAUUUAUGGUGUCAUUGCCAUGUUUUUUUUUUCUCCAAUUAGAUCUAGAGAAGCCUAAGACUAAUAGCAUGCACCCUAAAUGAUCUAAGGCUUGAAAUGGAGAGAUCUAAGGGUUCCUAACAACAAAUGUACAAUUUUCUACUAUUGUGUUGGAGCAUGAAACAAUGGGUUGUUUCUUGGAUUUUCAUGAUAUGUAGUUGGAACUAAAGAAUAUACAAUAUCAUGUUGUACUUAUUCUUGUGGUCGGACAACUAGCCUAGUCUAUAUCACAAAAACUAGGUAAUGUUAGUGCACUUUGAGCAAGAAAUUGCAAGAUAAAAGUCAAUGAGCCUUUGAGAUAAAUGAGUAUUCUUUUUACUAAGAUACUCCUUUGUUGCAUUCUAAAAAUAUUGGCACACGUGAUUUACAACAUGUGUGAUGUUAGGCGGAUGAACGUAAGGUAUUAUAAGACCCCAAUAAUGCUACGGUAUUUAGUGGUGUUAACAACUUCUUGAUUGUCAUGUGGACUUGCCGCUUUGACUACAACCGGAGUAUUACAACGGCAUUUAGGUAUAAUCCAUUAGUUAAUUGAGAUAUCCCUAAUAUCUAUUGUAGUAAGAACAAGUUGGUUAUAAUUUAUAAAUAUUUAUUUAAAAUUUUAAAUCAUCCGUUCACCUCCACUCUGGGUGUUUCCUGUUAGACUUUCGGUUGUUAUUCAAUUGAUAUUAAAACAAUACCCAUUUUUCACAAGGCUAACUAAAAGUGAUCAUCACCAUGAUUUGCAUGAUUUUUAGAAUUGUUUCCAUCAUCGUCUUUAUCACCACUUUUCUCAGUCAUGCUCUCACAAACCAAAAAUCACCUAACAACCCUACAUUUCUCGCAUAGUAGAUUAAGGGCCAAGGUAAGAUUCGUUGGUUUAUGUCCUCUUCGACGGGUAUUCCCUUCCUUUCCAAUGGGUUCAAGGCUUACACAGAGUGUUAGACUUCCUUUUAAUCAAUAGUGUGUUCGGCAAUAAUAUGCUUUAGUUUGUAUUUGGUUGCCAAUUUUUGGGAGAACAUAUAGCCAUUUCUACACCCAGUCACCUUUCUAUGUGCCAUUUGACAUAACAACGGAUAAGGGUACUAGUAUCUCUCACAUUUCAUGUCCUUAAUUGAUGAUUACUACUCAAAAAGGGCUAUUUGAUAGCUUGUAAUUAACUCUUUUAAACACUUUUGAGUAGUAAUUAUUGCCCUUUAACCCAAUUAACAUAUUAAGGACCUUUGCAAUCACUUCUAAUCACUUUGUGUAAGUUUUGGUGUUUUUGUUAGUAAUUUGAUCACCAAAGCAAUCCAAGAUGGAGGAGAGUUAUUUGGAAUCCAUGGUAAAGCAAUAGAAAGCUCAGGAACAUGAAGAAUCAGAGAUUUGAAGCCUUAAAGUCCUUUGCCAUAACCAAUCCGGAUUGCAAGGAGGAGAAGUAAAGAGAGAAUCCACCUUGAAGCAUUCUUGAUGACAGUCAUUUCAGCCACUUUUGGAGUACUUCCUGAAGUCCAAUUUAUGCAUACUUUAUGUCGUUUCGAAGAUCGGGAAGUCAACAAUCCAAUGCUUGAAACGGUUCGCAAAUCGGAGUUGAAAUGAAGAAGUUAGAGCCAAUGGAAGCAGAUCACUCCAAGCUGAAGGCCAAUUUCGCAGGGCUGCGAAAUCAGCCUUUGGCUGCGAAAUCAGCCUUCGGCUGCGAAAUGAUUUCGCAGCCAUCUUGUUCAUCUGCGAAAUUUCGCAGCCAUUUUGUGCGCCUGCGAAAUUCUCCCGAGUGCUUCCAGAUAUUUGCGACCAUCGUUUUUUGUUAUUUUGCCUCAGAUAUUUGUUGUCUAAAUGCCAAUUCUCUCCUUGUAAUCCACCAAUUAGAUGAUUCCUUAGUUGUUGAGCAAGGAUGCAGGGGUAAACAACCUGAUAUGUAUUGUUUUGUAAUUUUCACUUUAAAAACGUCGGGGAACUUUCCCCAGGAGACCAUCUUUUGUAAAAUUUUACACUUAGUGAAAUACGAAAUAUCUUUUGCUUUCUUUUUCUCUCUACUAUUUUCUAUUUUCUUAGUAGCCAAACAUCCUUGGAGGAUGAAAUCCCCAAGGAUGAGAGGCUAAAACCUUUUAGUUUCUUGAAGUAAUGGAUGCCAUGUGAAGCUCCCGUGUCAGGAUGGAGAUUUCCAAGCCAUGAAUGUAAGUAGCUGAGCAUCAUAAAUGUUUUCAUUCAAAGUAAAGCUUUUAAUCCCUCUGACUUGCUUUGAAUGGCCAAUACUUGAUAACCUUUUGGUCUCAGUGGAUUCUUAUUGUUAGAUCCACUGACGUUCAUUAGUUAUCUCCUACGAGCCAUUGUAUUGCAAGUCGAGGAGAUGACCUAUAUCAUUAAAAGAGCAUUUAUGAGGUUCAGCUACCCUUUUUGUAAGUUUUGAAGGACUAAAACUCAGUUGUUAAACACAUACCGGUUCGGGAAGUAAGCAUCACCUUAGUUGCUUCCCCAACUCGAGGUGAAAAGUUCCAAAAUCUCCAUUUUUACACAGUGAGUUAAGCAUGGCUAUCCAAAGCUUUGAGAAACUUCUUUUUCCAUCUUUUAACCUAUUUUCAUGUUAGUUUAGUUUACAACGCCUUCAUCUUUUUAUGUUUUCAUCUUAAACUAAUUUUUAUUAAGAAAAGUUCACUCCAUCCUCCGAACUUCACCAGUUAAAGUAAAAACCCUUCCCAGUGUUCGAUCCUAGAGCCACUAUGCUAUAGUAGCUUUGCUACUUUAGUGUAAGGACGUUAGGUAUAAAUUUUGUUGAUACCCUUACAUGCCAAGCUACCAAGAGUCGGGUUAUCAAAUGGCGCCGUUGCCGGGGAAGGUGCUACUUCACUAUGAAUAUAUCAGCCGGAGGUAACUUGUGAGACUUCUCAUGAGUAAGGUGAAUUCUAUCUCAUUUUUCAUUUAUUAACCUUUUAUUUUAGUUUUAGAACAUUUUUAACUUAGUUUAGAUAAGUUUCUUUUAGCUUUUAACUUUCAUUUUUAGUUUAUUUUUCAUACUCUGUUUUUCCUUCCGCGUGCUCUGUUUUUUCUUCUUUCUCUUUGUUUUGUUUGUUUACUUUGUUCCAGCUGAAUCCGUGCAUGCCCUAUUGGAUUAGAGACCAAGAGGGAAGGUUAGUGCNNNNNNNNNNNNNNNNNNNNNNNNNNNNNNNNNNNNNNNNNNNNNNNNNNNNNNNNNNNNNNNNNNNNNNNNNNNNNNNNNNNNNNNNNNNNNNNNNNNNNNNNNNNNNNNNNNNNNNNNNNNNNNNNNNNNNNNNNNNNNNNNNNNNNNNNNNNNNNNNNNNNNNNNNNNNNNNNNNNNNNNNNNNNNNNNNNNNNNNNNNNNNNNNNNNNNNNNNNNNNNNNNNNNNNNNNNNNNNNNNNNNNNNNNNNNNNNNNNNNNNNNNNNNNNNNNNNNNNNNNNNNNNNNNNNNNNNNNNNNNNNNNNNNNNNNNNNNNNNNNNNNNNNNNNNNNNNNNNNNNNNNNNNNNNNNNNNNNNNNNNNNNNNNNNNNNNNNNNNNNNNNNNNNNNNNNNNNNNNNNNNNNNNNNNNNNNNNNNNNNNNNNNNNNNNNNNNNNNNNNNNNNNNNNNNNNNNNNNNNNNNNNNNNNNNNNNNNNNNNNNNNNNNNNNNNNNNNNNNNNNNNNNNNNNNNNNNNNNNNNNNNNNNNNNNNNNNNNNNNNNNNNNNNNNNNNNNNNNNNNNNNNNNNNNNNNNNNNNNNNNNNNNNNNNNNNNNNNNNNNNNNNNNNNNNNNNNNNNNNNNNNNNNNNNNNNNNNNNNNNNNNNNNNNNNNNNNNNNNNNNNNNNNNNNNNNNNNNNNNNNNNNNNNNNNNNNNNNNNNNNNNNNNNNNNNNNNNNNNNNNNNNNNNNNNNNNNNNNNNNNNNNNNNNNNNNNNNNNNNNNNNNNNNNNNNNNNNNNNNNNNNNNNNNNNNNNNNNNNNNNNNNNNNNNNNNNNNNNNNNNNNNNNNNNNNNNNNNNNNNNNNNNNNNNNNNNNNNNNNNNNNNNNNNNNNNNNNNNNNNNNNNNNNNNNNNNNNNNNNNNNNNNNNNNNNNNNNNNNNNNNNNNNNNNNNNNNNNNNNNNNNNNNNNNNNNNNNNNNNNNNNNNNNNNNNNNNNNNNNNNNNNNNNNNNNNNNNNNNNNNNNNNNNNNNNNNNNNNNNNNNNNNNNNNNNNNNNNNNNNNNNNNNNNNNNNNNNNNNNNNNNNNNNNNNNNNNNNNNNNNNNNNNNNNNNNNNNNNNNNNNNNNNNNNNNNNNNNNNNNNNNNNNNNNNNNNNNNNNNNNNNNNNNNNNNNNNNNNNNNNNNNNNNNNNNNNNNNNNNNNNNNNNNNNNNNNNNNNNNNNNNNNNNNNNNNNNNNNNNNNNNNNNNNNNNNNNNNNNNNNNNNNNNNNNNNNNNNNNNNNNNNNNNNNNNNNNNNNNNNNNNNNNNNNNNNNNNNNNNNNNNNNNNNNNNNNNNNNNNNNNNNNNNNNNNNNNNNNNNNNNNNNNNNNNNNNNNNNNNNNNNNNNNNNNNNNNNNNNNNNNNNNNNNNNNNNNNNNNNNNNNNNNNNNNNNNNNNNNNNNNNNNNNNNNNNNNNNNNNNNNNNNNNNNNNNNNNNNNNNNNNNNNNNNNNNNNNNNNNNNNNNNNNNNNNNNNNNNNNNNNNNNNNNNNNNNNNNNNNNNNNNNNNNNNNNNNNNNNNNNNNNNNNNNNNNNNNNNNNNNNNNNNNNNNNNNNNNNNNNNNNNNNNNNNNNNNNNNNNNNNNNNNNNNNNNNNNNNNNNNNNNNNNNNNNNNNNNNNNNNNNNNNNNNNNNNNNNNNNNNNNNNNNNNNNNNNNNNNNNNNNNNNNNNNNNNNNNNNNNNNNNNNNNNNNNNNNNNNNNNNNNNNNNNNNNNNNNNNNNNNNNNNNNNNNNNNNNNNNNNNNNNNNNNNNNNNNNNNNNNNNNNNNNNNNNNNNNNNNNNNNNNNNNNNNNNNNNNNNNNNNNNNNNNNNNNNNNNNNNNNNNNNNNNNNNNNNNNNNNNNNNNNNNNNNNNNNNNNNNNNNNNNNNNNNNNNNNNNNNNNNNNNNNNNNNNNNNNNNNNNNNNNNNNNNNNNNNNNNNNNNNNNNNNNNNNNNNNNNNNNNNNNNNNNNNNNNNNNNNNNNNNNNNNNNNNNNNNNNNNNNNNNNNNNNNNNNNNNNNNNNNNNNNNNNNNNNNNNNNNNNNNNNNNNNNNNNNNNNNNNNNNNNNNNNNNNNNNNNNNNNNNNNNNNNNNNNNNNNNNNNNNNNNNNNNNNNNNNNNNNNNNNNNNNNNNNNNNNNNNNNNNNNNNNNNNNNNNNNNNNNNNNNNNNNNNNNNNNNNNNNNNNNNNNNNNNNNNNNNNNNNNNNNNNNNNNNNNNNNNNNNNNNNNNNNNNNNNNNNNNNNNNNNNNNNNNNNNNNNNNNNNNNNNNNNNNNNNNNNNNNNNNNNNNNNNNNNNNNNNNNNNNNNNNNNNNNNNNNNNNNNNNNNNNNNNNNNNNNNNNNNNNNNNNNNNNNNNNNNNNNNNNNNNNNNNNNNNNNNNNNNNNNNNNNNNNNNNNNNNNNNNNNNNNNNNNNNNNNNNNNNNNNNNNNNNNNNNNNNNNNNNNNNNNNNNNNNNNNNNNNNNNNNNNNNNNNNNNNNNNNNNNNNNNNNNNNNNNNNNNNNNNNNNNNNNNNNNNNNNNNNNNNNNNNNNNNNNNNNNNNNNNNNNNNNNNNNNNNNNNNNNNNNNNNNNNNNNNNNNNNNNNNNNNNNNNNNNNNNNNNNNNNNNNNNNNNNNNNNNNNNNNNNNNNNNNNNNNNNNNNNNNNNNNNNNNNNNNNNNNNNNNNNNNNNNNNNNNNNNNNNNNNNNNNNNNNNNNNNNNNNNNNNNNNNNNNNNNNNNNNNNNNNNNNNNNNNNNNNNNNNNNNNNNNNNNNNNNNNNNNNNNNNNNNNNNNNNNNNNNNNNNNNNNNNNNNNNNNNNNNNNNNNNNNNNNNNNNNNNNNNNNNNNNNNNNNNNNNNNNNNNNNNNNNNNNNNNNNNNNNNNNNNNNNNNNNNNNNNNNNNNNNNNNNNNNNNNNNNNNNNNNNNNNNNNNNNNNNNNNNNNNNNNNNNNNNNNNNNNNNNNNNNNNNNNNNNNNNNNNNNNNNNNNNNNNNNNNNNNNNNNNNNNNNNNNNNNNNNNNNNNNNNNNNNNNNNNNNNNNNNNNNNNNNNNNNNNNNNNNNNNNNNNNNNNNNNNNNNNNNNNNNNNNNNNNNNNNNNNNNNNNNNNNNNNNNNNNNNNNNNNNNNNNNNNNNNNNNNNNNNNNNNNNNNNNNNNNNNNNNNNNNNNNNNNNNNNNNNNNNNNNNNNNNNNNNNNNNNNNNNNNNNNNNNNNNNNNNNNNNNNNNNNNNNNNNNNNNNNNNNNNNNNNNNNNNNNNNNNNNNNNNNNNNNNNNNNNNNNNNNNNNNNNNNNNNNNNNNNNNNNNNNNNNNNNNNNNNNNNNNNNNNNNNNNNNNNNNNNNNNNNNNNNNNNNNNNNNNNNNNNNNNNNNNNNNNNNNNNNNNNNNNNNNNNNNNNNNNNNNNNNNNNNNNNNNNNNNNNNNNNNNNNNNNNNNNNNNNNNNNNNNNNNNNNNNNNNNNNNNNNNNNNNNNNNNNNNNNNNNNNNNNNNNNNNNNNNNNNNNNNNNNNNNNNNNNNNNNNNNNNNNNNNNNNNNNNNNNNNNNNNNNNNNNNNNNNNNNNNNNNNNNNNNNNNNNNNNNNNNNNNNNNNNNNNNNNNNNNNNNNNNNNNNNNNNNNNNNNNNNNNNNNNNNNNNNNNNNNNNNNNNNNNNNNNNGCUGCGAAAUGGGCUGCGAAAAGGGCCCUCCUCUGCGAAAAUGCCCUUUCUCUGCGAAAUCCGCCCUCGGCUGCGAAAAUUUAAGUGACCCUUGGUAUCCAAUUUUUAACGGUAUAAAUUCCAAAUUUCUAAUAUAACCGGUCAUUUGAACUUUAAAUAGUACCAGAGAAGACCCAAAAACAGAGCAACCUUCCAUCUUCUCCUUCUCGCCUGAACCUCGGCCGCGCGCACCUCCGCUCAUCUCCGCCGGCCCGCCAUGGCAAGAACCCGAGGAGCUAAGUCCUCCUCCCCGUCAAGCCGUACGAGGGUUUCAUCAAAGACCCCUGUCCAAGGCUCCACAUCUGAGCCUCCGCGACCACCGCGCGUCCCACCUCCAGUUGAGGGCGCACCAAUGAGCCCUCCGGUCAGGCGCUAUCAUACACGGGCGAGUAGCCAGCCACCCAAGAAGAAAGCUAAGGUAUCUGAGCCAACGUUAAUCGAUUUAUCAGAGCCAGAAGAGCCAGCUACCGAGCCUCAGCCGUCUCCGCCGUCUCGGCCGUCUCGGCCUUCUCGGCCAUCUCAGCCGUCUCAGCCAGCUUUAGAGUCUCCGCCAUCUCGGCCAGCUUCAGGGUCUCGGCCGUCUCAGCCGUCUCGGCCAUCUCAGCCGUCUCAGCCAGCUUCAGAGCCUCAGUCGUCUCAGCCGCCGCCUUCAGAUUCUCAGAUCCCCUCCGGCAUGACUCCUGAGAUGAUUAUCAAGCGCCCCAUGCUCACUCAGCCGCCCAUAGAGGGUAAUUUAGAUUGCAGGGCUAGGCCUUUCCACUCUGAGCUCUGUUUUGACGUGGCCACUUUCAGACUUCAGCCCCAGCUCAGGGACUCCUUCCAUCUGCUCCGGAGGUAUCAUAUGGAACAAUUGCUUACUCCAAGGGAUUUCUUUUAUCCCCGUGUGGCAAUGGAUUUUUACCAAUCCAUGACCACACACCAUGUCCGCGAUCCUACUGUCAUCCACUUCACCAUAGACGGACGUCAUGGUAUUCUGGGAGCUAGGCACAUAGCAGAGGCAUUGCGCAUUCCCUACGAGCCAGCUAGGCCAGAGGAUUAUCGAGUCUGGACUAAUCCUUCCCCGAGCGACAUAGUUCGUAUUCUGUCCAGAGGGGCAUCCACAGGCCAGUAUCUACAGAGGAAGGAGCUCCCUCCUAGCAUGUUUUUCAUAGAUGCUCUCCUCCGCCACAAUAUCUUUCCACUACAGCACUGGGUGCAGAGGCGAGGAGCUUUGCUGGAGGCAUUAUAUCGGAUAUCUGAGGGAUUCUUCUUUGGCCCUCAUCAUCUCAUUAUGGCCGCCCUUCUAUAUUUUGAAGAGAAGGUCCAUCAGAAGAAGCUGCUCAGAGCUGAUGCCAUUCCUCUGCUAUUCCCCAGAUUGUUAUGUCAGAUUUUGGAACACUUGGGCUACCCAACUGAGCCUCAAUUUGAGCGCAAACGGAUUUGUCGAGAGAUAUUCACUCUUGACAAAUGGACGAAUAUGACAGCCUAUAGUGCAGAGCCAGGGGCCCCAGUUGGAGUAGAGCAUCCAGAGAUUCCACAUGCAGAGCAGCCACAGGAGCUACAGCCCAUUGAGACACCAGCUGACACGAGAGCACCUGCCCCUGCAGUGCCCUCCGCAGAGCCCAUACCUGAGGUUGCUCCCUCUGCUUCUCCUGCCACACCACAGCCUUCCCCUGUUUUUUCAGCCACAUCACAGCCCUCCUCUUCAGCAGAGCCAAGGACUACCAUAUCCAUUUCCGAGUACAGAGCUCUAUGUCACACUUUGCAGACAUUGACCACUUCACAGAGCACUCUUACUCAGGAGAUGGCAGCUCUUCGUGCUCAUCAGGAGCAAAUUAUUGCUACUCAGACUCAGCAUACUGCCAUUCUGAGGCAAAUUCAGAGCCAUCUGGGUAUUCCAUCAGCCCCUCAGCACCAGAUGCCUGCCCCCUUAGAGCCCACAGAGCCGACUCCAGGAGACACACAGACAUCCACCUGAGCCAUUAUCUUCACAUCAUCAGCACCCAUCUACUUGAUCAUUUCCAUAGUUUACUUUAUGUAUUUUCUUUAUGCACUUUCUUAUUAUAGUAGCACUUGCAAUCCUAUGCUUUUGUUAUUAUAUAUUGUGGGAUUGGUUGUAUUACUUGUUAUCAUCUUUAAUGUACUUUCAUGAAGUAAUACAACUCUAUCAUUUUUUGCAUACUCUUGGUAUUAUUUUAUUUUUAUUCCUCUACUCAUAUCUAUUUUCUUUUUGAAACAUGUGGUUUCUCCUUGUCUACUCAAAUUACAUCCACUCAGGAGGCACCACUUCCUCCCUGUAAUUUCAAUCGCUCAUACCACAUUGAGGACAAUGCUCAGCUUGGUUGGGGGGAGACAGUUGAGGAAGGAAGUUUUUUUUAUUAUUAUUAGUGUUAAUACUAAAUUUUUUGGUAAUUUAGGUUACUUUUGUUUAAUUUUAAAAUUUUUCUCUAUGGUUGUUAAAGAUAAUUUCUCAAAAAUAAAAUAGGAUAAGUCGAGUUUUAACUUAAUUAUUUAAGUCUUUGAGUUUGUUUUAUGCUUUCAAAGUUGAUAAUCUAUUAAAGCUCUCUUUGUUUUCGAACUUAUUUCUUCCAUUUCAAGCUUUACACACACAGUGCACAUUAGAUCCCGGAUAUAUGAUGUAAAACUUUCUCACCUUCUAAGCUUAGGAAAAUUUUGACUUGGUUCAUUACUUAACCUCUUUUUUAAUAGUGUUGGGACACCUCAAAAAGACCAAUGAGUCUUAGAAAAAAAAAAAAAAAAAAAAAAAAAAAAAAAAAAAAAAAAGAGAAAAAGAAAAAGAAAAAGAGAAUAAGCUUCUAUUCUUUCCUUGAAGCCUAAGCAUGAUCCGAAGGGGUGGCGAAAGCCUUUAAAACCCGAUGCCCUAAACCUUGAUUGGUUGGGAGUCAUCGAUCCUCUGCUUGCUACAUAGGUGAAUUGGUUAAAGUUUAGUGAGUAAAAAGAAUUGUGAAUAAGAAGGUGCGUUCCUAACCUAUUAAGAGUUGGUUAAUUUUGCCUUUGUUCGAGAAAAGCUUAGGUUGGAGGGUGAGGAUAGUUGUAUAUACUAUAUCCGGAGCCUAAUCUCGUUAACACUUAGCUCAUUAUGGAAGAGUUUGAUUUGGAGCCUUGAGAGUAGAGAUUCUUUUGACACUUAAUUGCAUAAUCUCCACUCUUUGUACUUUUUGUUUAAGUUUUUAGCUUUGACAACUCCUAUUGCAUUUUGAAUCUUCAUAUCUUUAGUUCACCAUGUGAGAUGUGUUUUGAUAUCGGUCAUGCCACUCAAUUAUUUUUUUUUUGAAUGAUUUGCAUGACCUCUUUUUUGUUUACCACUUUGUUUGCUUAGUUUUUCUUUCCUUAUUUGCUAAGGGACUAGCAAUAUGUCGGUUGGGGGGAGUGAUUACUACUCAAAAAGGGCUAUUUGAUAGCUUGUAAUUAACUCUUUUAAACACUUUUGAGUAGUAAUUAUUGCCCUUUAACCCAAUUAACAUAUUAAGGACCUUUGCAAUCACUUCUAAUCACUUUGUGUAAGUUUUGGUGUUUUUGUUAGUAAUUUGAUCACCAAAGCAAUCCAAGAUGGAGGAGAGUUAUUUGGAAUCCAUGGUAAAGCAAUAGAAAGCUCAGGAACAUGAAGAAUCAGAGAUUUGAAGCCUUAAAGUCCUUUGCCAUAACCAAUCCGGAUUGCAAGGAGGAGAAGUAAAGAGAGAAUCCACCUUGAAGCAUUCUUGAUGACAGUCAUUUCAGCCACUUUUGGAGUACUUCCUGAAGUCCAAUUUAUGCAUACUUUAUGUCGUUUCGAAGAUCGGGAAGUCAACAAUCCAAUGCUUGAAACGGUUCGCAAAUCGGAGUUGAAAUGAAGAAGUUAGAGCCAAUGGAAGCAGAUCACUCCAAGCUGAAGGCCAAUUUCGCAGGGCUGCGAAAUCAGCCUUUGGCUGCGAAAUCAGCCUUCGGCUGCGAAAUGAUUUCGCAGCCAUCUUGUUCAUCUGCGAAAUUUCGCAGCCAUUUUGUGCGCCUGCGAAAUUCUCCCGAGUGCUUCCAGAUAUUUGCGACCAUCGUUUUUUGUUAUUUUGCCUCAGAUAUUUGUUGUCUAAAUGCCAAUUCUCUCCUUGUAAUCCACCAAUUAGAUGAUUCCUUAGUUGUUGAGCAAGGAUGCAGGGGUAAACAACCUGAUAUGUAUUGUUUUGUAAUUUUCACUUUAAAAACGUCGGGGAACUUUCCCCAGGAGACCAUCUUUUGUAAAAUUUUACACUUAGUGAAAUACGAAAUAUCUUUUGCUUUCUUUUUCUCUCUACUAUUUUCUAUUUUCUUAGUAGCCAAACAUCCUUGGAGGAUGAAAUCCCCAAGGAUGAGAGGCUAAAACCUUUUAGUUUCUUGAAGUAAUGGAUGCCAUGUGAAGCUCCCGUGUCAGGAUGGAGAUUUCCAAGCCAUGAAUGUAAGUAGCUGAGCAUCAUAAAUGUUUUCAUUCAAAGUAAAGCUUUUAAUCCCUCUGACUUGCUUUGAAUGGCCAAUACUUGAUAACCUUUUGGUCUCAGUGGAUUCUUAUUGUUAGAUCCACUGACGUUCAUUAGUUAUCUCCUACGAGCCAUUGUAUUGCAAGUCGAGGAGAUGACCUAUAUCAUUAAAAGAGCAUUUAUGAGGUUCAGCUACCCUUUUUGUAAGUUUUGAAGGACUAAAACUCAGUUGUUAAACACAUACCGGUUCGGGAAGUAAGCAUCACCUUAGUUGCUUCCCCAACUCGAGGUGAAAAGUUCCAAAAUCUCCAUUUUUACACAGUGAGUUAAGCAUGGCUAUCCAAAGCUUUGAGAAACUUCUUUUUCCAUCUUUUAACCUAUUUUCAUGUUAGUUUAGUUUACAACGCCUUCAUCUUUUUAUGUUUUCAUCUUAAACUAAUUUUUAUUAAGAAAAGUUCACUCCAUCCUCCGAACUUCACCAGUUAAAGUAAAAACCCUUCCCAGUGUUCGAUCCUAGAGCCACUAUGCUAUAGUAGCUUUGCUACUUUAGUGUAAGGACGUUAGGUAUAAAUUUUGUUGAUACCCUUACAUGCCAAGCUACCAAGAGUCGGGUUAUCAAUUGAUAUCAAUUAUACAAGCUAUGUGACCCUUAGGCUCAUUAUUAACUUUAGGACUGCCCAAAAGCAAAUUGUCCCUUAACAUUUUUCCUAUUCUUCAAUGUUGUUCAACAUUUCAGGAACCCGAGAAAAGGCGCACCGAAGUAGUCUUGAAGAUGAAGUGCUAAGCAGAGGCAACCCCAUCUCACUUAAGCAAUGAUUUGGGCGUAGGUCUCUUCCCAAUACAGGACUUUGGGGAUGAGCAUCCAUGCAGGUAAGUAUACGGACAAUGAUAGCAUUGACAAGAGCAUUCCAAGUUCACAAAGAAUACCUGAAAUAGGGCAGCCAUCCCCGAAUUUUCCUUUCCCCUCCACAUGAGAGCCAAACGCUAGUUAAUAAGCUAUGUAAACGACUCGGUGCCAAAUGAAAAAGGAAAAAGGUUGGAUCAGAUUUUUCUUAGGUUACAUUUGGUUGAUGAGAUAAGAUAGGAUAUGAUAUGUAUAUUUUAGGAUAUUAUAUCCCAUUGGAUAGGAUAUACAUACCUUAGGAUAUAAUUUCCAAUGGAUUAUGAUAUCAUUGGAUAUACAUAUUUUACAAACAUGAUAUUUUAAAGUAGCACAUCUUAUACCAUAUUAUAUUUUUAUUUAAUUUAUGAAAUAAAAUUCUAUUAUAUUUAAAUAUUUUCAAUUUAAAAAAAAUGAAAUUUUUGUUAUGUUUAACAAUAUUCAUGAUUAAAUUAUUUGAACUUUAUAAAUAAAUUUUUUAUAUUAUAUUAUUUAAUAUAUAAAAAUAAUUUAUAUAUCAUAUAUUAAUAUUAUUUUAUAAAUAUUUUUUUUAGUUUUUCCUUUUUAAUCAUAAAUUUAAUUUAUAAUAACAAAUUAUUUUGUUAAAUGAGUAUUUUAAAAAGUAAAAAAAUGAUAAAAAAUAAAUUUAUCAUACAUGGGAUAUAUAAUCUCAUAUUUUACCAUGUGAUUAACAUAUCCCAUGUAGAGGGGAUAAAAAAAAAAAAAAAAAAAAAAAAAAAGAGGUGAAUAAUAUUUUUCAUCACUUAUCUUAUCCCAUGUUUGGUUGAACAUAAGAUAAGAUAAAUGAUGAGAUAAUUUAUCAUCUCAUCACCAACCAAACAUGAUAUAGAAUAUAAUAUCUCCUCUCUUAUCUUAUUCCAUACUAUAUCUAUCCAACUAAACAUGAGUUUAGGGAAUUCUAACUUGAUCAUCAAUGGGGUUGGGAGCUGCCGUAUUUGACUCCCAAGAUUUAUUUUGGUCAUAUCAUAUGUGGAUUUUAGGUACAUUUUGUCAGUCUCUGGAUCCCUUUUUCCUUUCAAAAUGAUCUAAUGAUGCUCACUUACUGUAAGCUUUGUAUUCAAAGAGUUUAAUAUUCUAUUAUUGUCGUGCAAUCCAUGCUAAUUUACUAUAAGCUUUGUAUUGGAUUCUUUGUCUUCUCAAUAUCAGAUGGAACCCUUUUGAGAGUCUUGGUCUGACUACGUCACAAGAUGGGUAAUUUUUUAUUUGAGGAAAAUAAAUAUAAAAAUAUUCUUAAUUUCAAAAGCUGAUAAUUUUGGAUCAAACUGUACACAUAAAUUUCACAAGACUUUCGGUUGUUAUUGAAGUGGUAUUAAAGCAAUACCCGUUUUUCUCAAGGCUAUCUAAAAGUGAUCAUCACCAUAAUUUGCAUGAUUUUUGAAAUUGUUUCCAUCAUCAUCCUUAUCACCACUUUUCUCAGUUAUGCUCUCACAAACCAAAAAUCACCUAACAACCCUACAUUUCUCACAUCGGAGAUUAAGAGUCUUGAUAAGAUUCGUUGGUUUAUCUCCUCUACGGCUAUUCCCUUCCUGUUCAAUGGGUUCAAGGCUUAUGGAGAGCGUUAGACUUCCUUUUCAUCAAUGGUGUGUUUAGCAAUAAUAUGUUUUAGGUCGUAUUUGGCUGCCAUUUUUGGGAGAACAUAUAGCCAUUUCUGCACCCAGUCACCGUUUUAUGUGUCAUUUGACAUGACAAUGGAUAAGGGUAUUAAUAUCUCUCAUAUUUCAUGUCCUCAAUAUCAAUUAUACAAGUUAUGUCAACCUUAUGAGCAUUAUUAGCUUUAGGACUACCCAGAAGCAAAUCGUCUCUAACAUUUUUCCUACUCUUAGUGUUGGUCAAAAUUUCAGGAACCCGAAAAAAGGGGCAACCAAGGAGUAGUCUUGAAGAUGGAGUGCUAAGCAGAGGCAACCCCAUCUCACUUAAGUGAUUUGGACGUAGGUCUCUCCCCAAUACAGGACCUUGGGGAUGAGCAUCCAUGCAGGUAAGUAUACGGACAGUGAUAGCAUUGACGAGCAUUCCAAGUUCACAAAGAAUACCUGGAAUAGGGCAGCUGUCCCCGAAUUUUCCCUUCCUCUCCACAUGAGAGCCAAACGCUAGUUAUUAAGCUAUAUCAAUGACUCAGUACCAAAUGAAAAACAAAAAAGGUUGGAUCUUAUUUUCCUUAGGGAAUUCUAACUUGAUCAUCAGAUGGGAAUUCUAACUUGACUCCCAAGGUUUAUUUUGGUCAUAUCAUAUGUGGAUUUUAGGUACAUUUUGCCGGUCUCCGGAUCCCUUUGCCUUUCAAAACACCUGAUGAUGCUCACUUACUGUAAGCUUUGUAUUCAAAGAGUUUAAUAUUCUAUUAUUGCAGUGCAAUCCAUGCUAACUUACUAAAAGCUUUGUAUUGGAUUCUUUGUCUUCCCAAUAUCAGAUGGAACCCUUUUUAGAGCCUUGGUCUGACUACGUCACAAGAUGGUAAUUUUUUCUUAGAGGAAAAUAAAUAUAAAAAUAUUCUUAAUUUGAAAAGCUGUUAAUUUUGGAGCAAACUGUAUACACAAAUGUCACGAAAAUUUUAUCAAAUUGAGGAACCACAUCUUUUAAAAAAAUAAUUUAAUAAUAAUUUAUUCCACUAAAAAAUUUAAUGUCUAACAAACAUGUGAGAAAAUUACUCCACAAAUAUAUUAUUUAUUUGGGAUAUUAUUUAUAUAUAAUUCCUAUCAAGCAAUUGGUUCGCAUUUUUUCCUUAUCGUAAGGGAGUUGAAUUAGGCUUAUGUCCAAGCUAAUCUAAAUGCUCCAAUUGGAUUGCAUUGAAGGAUUUGUUAAUCAAACCCAGUUGAGUUUGCAAUAAAAGUAGUUUUUUUUAAUUCUUUUUUAAAAUCAAAAUCUCUUUUAAAAAUAUUUGUUUCUUACCGUAUCAAUAUUUAUGUAUUACCUUUUUCUUUUAUUUCUUUUGUCUUGUCAAAAUCACAUUUAUUGAUUAUAAUUUUAAUUUCAAGGUUAAAGCCAUAGCAGUCAAAUGUGGUUGUAAUCAUAAAAUUAAAUGUAAUAAUAAAGUUAAACUAUAGUUAGUAAGAGUCCUUUUUACAGGAUGGAUAUUGGUGUUGUUGGUUGUGAAACCUAAAUUAGUUUUGUUAUAUUUUAUUCGAGAUGUCGGGAUUGAAUGAUGAGUUUGCCCCUGUCAUAUAUUUAACACUAUAUUAUGAUUUAGGUUUUUUUUAGAGAAUGUGACCGUCAUUGAGAGGAGCUUUUGAGAAUUUCAUCAUUGUAACCCUUAUUUUCUUUUGAUUAAUGGAUUGUUGAGUACUGAUGCCCUUUAUGGAUGUAGGGGUCACAUAGAUGAUUAAACAACGUUAAAACUUUGUAUUUUUCUUUAGUUUUUUGCUUGUUGGUUUUGGUUAAUAGUUAUGAAAUGAGAAAUAAGAAGUGCAUGCUAAUGUUGAAUGAAACACUAAUAUUUUAAAAAGGAAGGUAGAUUUAGAUUUUUUUGGUCAAAAGAAGGAACAUGUUUAAUCAUGACGUGACCGGCUUUUAGUUCAUCAAGACAAUAGUUGGACAAUUUAUUCAUAAUACAACAAGUGCAUCUAUCCAAUGCUUCCCCUCACGUGGUCUUACUCUGCAGGAAAUGGAUUAUAAGGAAUGGGAAUUAAGUGCAGAUUUUGUUUCCUUCUAACUGAUAAGCUGAUUAUCUCAGUCAUGUCGAGAUCCUCUGGCUUGAUUCCAGUGGGGAGUUUCCAAUCAAAAUGGUAAAUAAAAUUUGCCAAUGAUAGCUCAACGCUAGGUAUAGCGAAGGACAUGUCCGGACACAUCCUCCUUCCAGCACCAAACGGGAUAAAUUCAAAGUCAGUACCCUUGUAAUCAAGCCAACUGUCAAGGAAUCUCUCUGGAUUAAAUCUCUCAGGUUCGGUCCAAGAAUCAGGAUCUCGGCCAAUGGCUCAGGCAUUAUCAAUGACUCUAGUCUUCACAGGUAUCUCAUAUCCAUUAAUCUCGCACCUCUCCCUACAUUCCCUUGGAAGCAACAAAGGAGCAGGAGGGUGUAGCCUCAAGGUUUCCUUGACUACUGCUUUUAUGAAUUUUAAUUCAUGAAUGCCGGAUUCUUCCACAGUCCCUUUUCCAGCAAAUUCCCGCCUUACUCUUGUGCCUUUUCCAUCACUCUGGGGUGUCUUAUCAGUUCAGUCAUUGCCCACUCUCCAACUGUUGAUGAAGUCUCGCCUGCAACCACUGAACAUGUCCUGAAAGAGGAUUAAUGAGCUUGAUUAUUCCACCAUUGAUGGUCUCUUUAGAGAAUCAGUUUUUGCUUUUUAAUUGCACUUGAAGUAAAUCUAUUCCUGAUUUUCAUUAUGAUCAGAAAUAUUUCUAUUUUAUUGCCUAAGUGGAUGAAGUAUUUUCUUCUUUCCUUAUGAUUUUUUAUAAUGGAUUAGAUUUUUGGGAUUAAAUGAUAUUGUGAUAGAACAAAAGUUAAAAGUACUAACCAAUAUGACUGCUUUGACGUUGUUUUCAGUUAAGGGAAAUUUAAGAUCACCAUCCUCUUGAAUCUUUAAGAAAGUAUCAACAAGAUCUUCUGCUUCUAACUUGCCCCUCUUGGUCGUCAUGCUCUCUUUGUGCUCCUUAACAAUAUUUUGAAGUAUUCUAUCAACCCUCUCAUGCAGCUUCUCAAGUUUACUCCUUAUUCCAGUGACUUGAUCAACUCAUUUUACAGAAGGGAAAACAUCUGCAGCGCAGAAACCUGUUGCCAGCUCUGCCAUCUCUGUCACAGCCCCUAUGAAUGAAUCUUGGUCUUUGCAUAUUUUCCCAAAAGCCGCUCUUGCUAUAAUGGCAACGUCACAGAAGAUAUCUCCUCGCUAAGAUUGAUUGUGGAUCCUGAAUGUGAAGCGAUCCUUUUGAUGACAUUUGACACUUCCUCUUCCCUGAUCAAUUGGAAGGACUUAACACGCUUGGCGCUUAGAAGCUCAGUGGCACAUAGUUUUCGUACUUGUCUCCAAUAGUCACUGUACGGGGCAAAGCCAAUGUUAGUAGAACCAUAUGAUACGAUGCUGGUCACCAAUAUAUUAGGCCUUUGGGCAAAACUGACGUCGUCUGUUUUCAUAAACUCUUUGGCAAUUUCUGGGGAUGAAACCACAAGGGUGGAAACUGUAAGCUGAAUACACGUUCACACGUUCUCACUUCAUGAUGUGGUCCAGCACUUUGACCACGUCCUCCACCAUCUCUCUUCCGCUACGGUUAAGGAGCACAUUCCAGCAACUGCUCAACGUGGUGGCAAGAACAACGUGGUAUGAUGGAAGCCACGGUUAUAAAGAUUUUAAAAAGAAAAAUGGUCCUAAACUCGUCUGUUGUUUUUAUCUUCAGAAACACCAUCUAAACAAAGGGAGAUCAGAGUUUGGAAAUCAAGUUUUUGAAACCGACUACAAUGGCUGGAGGUAAGUAGACUAUUCUUAGGCUUUUUCAGUUUUGAUUCAUGUUGCAAAUUCAUUGGAAUCAUAUAUAUAUAUAGCAUGUAAACAACUUACAUUUGGUAUCAGAGCACGUUAAAUCUUACCUCUGUUUUGUAUUAAUUCUGAAUGAAAAUUCUUGUUAUUAUGAUCUCUCUAAAUUAUUUAAACAAUGGUUGCUUGAGGCAAUCCAAAGGGUUGGCGUAAUUCUUUCAGAAAAAGCCAUUACAGGCGUUCAACAGGCAGCCAUUUUCGGGAGCUUCAGCGGCGCUGUUAAGGCGCCAUUGGAGACACCAUUGGGAGUGCAUUUUAGGGCUGCAACUAGCGCCAUUUCAGGCGCCAUACCAGCCCCGUUCAGGCACCACUUGCAGCACCAUUGAAAGUCCAUUUUUUGGGGUUGCAACAAGUCCAUUUCAAGCGCCAUACCAGCCCCGUUCAGGCACCACAUGUAGCACCAUUGAAAGUCCAUUUUUUGGGGCUGCAACCAGUCCAUUUUCAGGCGCCAUACCAGCCUCAUUCAGGCACCACAUGCAGCACCAUUGAAAGUCCAUUUUCUGGGGCUGUAACCAGUCCAUUUUAGGCGCCAUACCAGCACCGUUUCAGGCAUCUUUUCGCGCCGGCAAGAGGCGCCCUUUGGGAGUGCUGUUCAGGCGCUAUUCGCAGCGGCUGGAAGUCACCAAUGACGACUUACUUGCUGGUGAUGUUGGUAGCCGGAAGACACCCGUGAGGCUCUUUAUGCCUUUGAUGCAGGCGGCUCCAUGGUUAGCUGGUGAUGAAGCAAUCCACAAGGGUGGCGGUAAAUUAGAACCUAGAGAGAGAAUGGGUUCUAUUAAGUGUCGGGCCAUGUAUUAAAUGGGAAAUUUGGGCCUUGGUAUAAGAGGCUAUUGGGCUCAUUAAGCUCAAUGCAUGCCAAUAGCCCAUUUUACAAAAUUAUGGGCUUUAAGUUUUGGUUCAUUGAAUGAUGGUUAAAAUUGGGCCAGUUUAGGCCCUCUUUGGCCCGAUUUGAAUUUUUAUUUUAAUUUUAUUGGGCAUGGAAUUGAUUGUGUUUUAUUUGGAUUUAGGCAUUCAUUCAUAAUCUGAAACCUUUAAUUUAUUUUUUAAAUUAUCAUGUAAAUUUUAUACAUGCAAAAUAAAUAAUUAUAUAUUGUUUUAUAUGUUUGUAGCCUAAAUUAAAGUUGUAUCUCUUAAUGCAUGCAAUUAUUGCCUGAAUUUGAGUUAGAUAUAUUAAAAUUAUAUCAUAUAGUUUUAAUGUCUAGUGAAACCAUAUGAUUUUUUUAAAUAAUUAAGGAAUAGCCACAACAUCCUUAAUUAUAUAAAAAUUAUAUAUUAAGUAAAUAAGGAUCGCAUUAUGGAUAUUAAUUGUAAUUAAUUAUAUAAAUAUGAUGAUUUUACCCCACAGGGUUUUCAUUAUGUUUAUAUAAUUAAUUAGGAUAAAAUAUUAAAAUUAAUUUUUCCUAAUUUACCCAUAGGAGUUAGGAAGAAUUAAUUUAAUAGGUUUAUCAUAAAGAUUAUAGACAGAAAAUAUCAAACUAUAUUCGUAAUAAAUUUCAUAAUUUAAUAAUAUAGUUUGAUAAAGUCUAUCAUAAAGAUAAUUAAUUUGAUUGAAUUAAAGAUUUAGCCCACAUGCAAUUUUUAAUAAAAUUAGAUUAAAUUUUAAGCAUGUUCUACAUUGGUAAAACAUGAAUUUAUAUUAAAGCCUCAAAAUUUUUUAAUAAGCUUGUAAUCCUUUUGUGCAAUUUUACCUAGCAUAUCUGAUAUUCGUUGUGAGGUUCCCGAACUUAGAGGAGAUAAAUUUAAGAUAUGGAAGGAGAUAAUUCUUCUUCAAUUAGGGUGCAUGGACAUAGACUAUGCCAUAAGGAAAGAUAAACCACAUAAGAUCACUAAUACCAGCACACUUGAAGAAAUACUAUUGUACGAAUGCUGGGAGAAAUCUAAUCGGCUCAGAGUGAUGUACAUAAAGACAAAAAUUAGUGCUGGUAUACGUGGUUUGAUCGAGCAACAUGAGAAUGUCCGUGAAUUGCUCAAGGCUAUUGAUGAGCAAUUCGUCACUUCAGACAAAGCCUUGGCAAGCACCCUGAUUAUGAAGUUCACAUCCCUGAAGCUCACCGGUAUAAGAGGUGUAUGCGAACACAUCAUGGAAAUGAGGGACAUAGUGGCUCAAUUGAAGAAACUCGAGGUAGAAAUGUCUGAAUCCUUCUUGGUGCACUUUAUCUUUAACACUCUUCCGUCUCAAUAGGGACUUUUCAAAAUCUUUUACAACACACAUAAGGAUAAGUGGUCUAUCAAUGAAUUGAUGACCAUGUGUGUUCAAGAGGAAAGAAGGUUAUUGAUGGAACAGGGAGAAAGUGUCAUGCUGGUGACGCAAAGGAAAGAAAAGAAAGGAAAAUCUCAUGCUAGUUAGAAAGGGAAGCAACAAAUUCCUCCCAAAUAUGACAUUAAGAAAGACGAAAAAUGUUUUUUCUGUAAAAAGAAAGGACACGUGAAGAAGAAAUUUCUGAAUUUCAAAAAUGGCUUGAGAAGAAAGGUAACCCUACCUCAUUUGUUUGUUAUGAAUCUAAUAUGGUUAAUGUAAAUACCAACACAUGGUGGAUUGAUUCUGGAUCUACAAUCCACAUUUCAAAUUCCUUGCAGGGUAUGCAAAACCUAAGGAAGCCAAUGACAAGUGAGCAAUUCAUCUUAUCCGGAAACAAGAUGGGCUCGCAUGUGGAAGCAAUAGGGACAUGUUAUUUAACUUUAAAUAGUGGUUUUGUUUUAGAAUUGCAAAAGACCUUUUAUGUACCAAGUUUUUCAUGAAACUUGAUUUCAGUUUCUAGACUUGUACCGUUUGGAUAUUCCUUUCAUUUUUCAGAAACAUCUUUCAGUUUGAUUUAUAAAUCUGAUUGUGUUGGGAAUGGUAUUUUGUCUGAUGGUCUUUAUUGCAUAUUCUUACAAAAUGAUACCACUCAUAAUUCAUUACAUGUCCAAACUGGCAUUAAAAGAUGUGUUGUUAAUGAGGAUUCCUCUACAUUGUGGCAUCGGAGAUUAGGUCAUAUCUCUAUAGAUAGAAUCAAAAGAUUGGUGAAUGAUGGGGUACUUAGUACUCUAGAUUUUAUUGACUUUGAGACUUGUGUGGACUGCAUUAAGGGAAAGCAGACCAACAAGUCAAAGAGAGGUGCUACUAGGAGUUCUACCAUACUAGAGAUCAUACAUACUGAUAUAUGUAGUCUUGACAUGGACUCUCAUGGUCAGAAAUACUUAAUCUCUUUAAUAGAUGAUCUCUCACGAUACAUGUAUCUCUACAUACUUCAUAAUAAAAAUGAAACUUUAGAAGCCUUUAAAGUUUUCAAGGCAGAAGUAGAAAAACAAUAUGGUAAACAAAUUAAGAUCGUGAGAUCAGAUAGAGGUGGAGAAUAUUAUGGUAGAUACUUGGAAGAUGGACAAUCACCUGGGCCAUUCGCAAAGUUUCUUCAAGAACAUGGGAUUGUUGCCCAAUACACCAUGCCUGGUUCUCCAGACCAAAAUGGUGUAGCAGAAAGAAGAAACAGAACUUUAUUAGACAUGGUGAGGAGUAUGCUUAACAGCUCAAAACUUCCUAAAUUCUUGUGGACUGAAGCACUUAAGAUAGCAAUGUAUAUAUUAAACCGAGUUCCAACCAAGGUUGUCCCAAAGAUGCCAUUUGAGUUAUUGAAAGGUUGGAAACCGAGUUUGCGACAUAUGCGCAUUUGGGGAUGCUCGUCUGAAGUGAGAAUUUAUAAUCCACAGGAGAAGAAACUGAACCCAAGGACUAUUAGUGGGUAUUUCAUUGGAUAUGCUGAAAAGUCUAAGGAGUACAGAUUUUACUGUCCAUCUCACAACACUAGGAUUGUGGAAUCGAGAAAUGCUAAAUUUCUUGAAUAUGACUUGGUCAGUGGGAGCGAUCAAUUCAGAAACAUAGUUUCUGAUAUUGAUCAUACAAAGUCUCAACCUUCCACUUCAAGUGAUAGAUUGUUUAUUGUUCAUAACACCCCUCAAGUACAAUCGGGUGUAGAACGAACAAUCACUGAAGUUCAACCAGUCGUUGAAGUUCCACAAGCUGUUGACAAUAUUCCAGUAGAUCAAGUUGAUCAGGAGUUUCCUGACACUUCUGAACAACAAAUUGAACCUCAUAUUUCCUUAGAAGAUAUUGGUGCAACCUUAAGAAGGUCUACUCGAACUAAGAGGUCAGCAAUUCCUAAUGAUUAUGUAGUGUAUCUACAGGAAUGUGACUACAAUAUAGGAGCCGAAAAUGAUCCCUAAUUUUUUUCACAAGCCAUGAGUUGUAAAGAAUCAGAAUUGUGGUACAAUGCCAUGAAGAAUGAGAUGAGUUCCAUGAAGUGCAACGAUGUUUGGGACCUUGUUGAGUUGCCUAAUGGUGUAAAAACCAUUGGUUGUAAAUGGGUUUUUAAGACAAAGAAAGACUCAUUAGGCAACAUUGAGAGAUACAAGGCCAGACUUGUUGCAAAGGGGUUCACUCAGAAAGAAGGAAUCGAUUACACGAAAACGUUUUCUCCUGUAUCUAAGAAAGAUUCCUUACGCAUUAUAUUGGCAUUAGUAGCCCACUUUGAUUUGGAAUUGCAACAAAUGGAUGUGAAAACAACAUUUCUUAAUGGAGAGCUAGAGGAGGAGGUUUACAUGAAACAACCUGAAGGAUUCCCCUCUAGUGAUGGUGAGAAAUUGGUUUGUAAACUUAAUAAAUCCAUAUACGGUUUAAAACAAGCAUCCCGCCAAUGGUAUUUAAAAUUCCAUAACAUAAUUUCUUCAUUUGGUUUUGAAGAAAAUGUUAUGGAUCAAUGCAUAUACCUUAAGGUCAGUGGGAGUAAAGUUUGUUUUCUUGUUUUAUACGUGGAUGACAUCUUACUUGCAACCAAUGAUAAGGGUUUACUUCAUGAGAUGAAACAAUUAUUCUCUAAAAAUUUCGACAUGAAGGAUAUGGGUGAGACAUCUUAUGUCAUUGGCAUUAAGAUCCAUAGAGACAGAUUUCAAGGUAUCUUAGGUUUGUCUCAAGAGACCUAUAUCAAUAAAGUUUUAAAGAGAUUUCGGAUGAAGAAUUGUUCACCUAGUGUUUCUCCUAUAGUGCAGGGUGAUAGGUUCAAUCUGGACCAAUGCCCGAAAAACGAUCUUGAGAGGGAACAAAUGAAGAACAUUCCAUAUGCUUCUGCAGUUGGAAGUCUGAUGUAUGCUCAGGUCUGCACAAGGCCUGACAUUACAUUUGCUGUUGGAAUGUUAGGACGAUAUUAGAGUAACCCGGGUAAGGACCACUGGAAAGCUGCAAAGAAAGUGAUGAGAUAUCUUCAAGGAACCAAAGAUUACAAGCUUAUGUUCAGACAGACAAGUAAUUUAGAGGUUGUUGGCUACUCAGAUUCAGACUUUGCUGGUUGUGUCGAUUCACGUAAAUCAACAUCUGGAUACAUUUUUAUAUUGGUCGAUGGAGCUAUAUCUUGGAAGAGCGUUAAGCAGACCAUGACUGCUACUUCUACUAUGGAAGCUGAGUUCAUAUCUUGUUUUGAGGCUACUUCACAUGGUGUAUGGCUUAAGAGUUUCAUUUCCGGGCUUAGAGUUAUGGAUUCAAUAUCUAGGCCAUUGAGUAUAUAUUGCGACAAUUUAGCUGCAGUCUUUAUGGCGAAGAACAAUAAAAGUGGAAGUCGAAGCAAACACAUCGACAUUAAGUAUCUAGCCAUAAGAGAACGUGUUAAAGAAAAGAAAGUAGUUAUUGAGCACAUUAGCACUGAAUUGAUGAUCGCUGAUCCUUUUACUAAGGGCAUGCCACCAUUGAAAUUCAAGGAUCAUGUAGUGAACAUAGGACUUAGUUCCCUUAUGUAGUUUCUAUUGUACAAACUCUUAUUAUGAUGUUUUCUCAUAUUGAUGUGCACUUUUAUUUAAUUUUGAGAAAAUUCAACUUCAUUGGACCAAGAAUGAACAUAGGGUUUAUUCAUUAAAUAAUAUUGCCACAUAAAAUAUGAUGUUAAGAAAUGAGUACACUGUAAUACAUGGAAGGUAAUACUCGUUAAAUAGAGGACUUAUCGCCAUGAUUCAUGUAUUUGUUACUUAAUGGGACAAUUGAUGGACUGAAUUAGGACAUUAGGUUAAAGAUGUGGACCAAGUGGGAGAAUGUAAGCUGAAUACACGUUCACACAUUCUCACUUCAUGAUGUGGUCCAGCACUUUGACCACGUCCUCCACCAUUUCUUUUCUGUUGCGGUUAAGGAGCACAUUCCAGCAACUGCUCAACGUGGUGGCAAGAACAAUGUGGUAUGAUGCAACCCACGGUUAUAAAGAUUUUAAAAAGAAAAAUGGUCCUGAACUCGUCUGCUGUUUUUAUCUUCAGAAACACCAUCUAAACAAAGGGAGAUCAGAGUUUGGAAAUCAAGUUUUUGAAACCGAUGGCUGGAGGUAAGUAGACUAUUCUUAGUCUUUUUCAGUUUUGAUUCAUGUUGCAAAUUCAUUGGAAUCAUAUAUAUAUAUAUAUAUAUAUAUAUAGCAUGUAAACAACUUACAGAAACCUCACCAAGCUGUAGAUGCAUUAGAGGCCCAUAUUUCUUGGCCAUUUCUCUCAGCAGGCGAUGAGGUAGGGUGCUGACCAGGUUGUGCAUGUGGCAACAACAUGAUUGAGUCGUUGGCGUUGGACCUCCUCACUUUCUUGAACAACAUGAUUGAAAAGAGAAGAAAGGCAAAGAGGGUAGAAGAGGAGGGAAACUCCAUGAGUAGGAUGAAGAGAAUGUAGCAGUGAGGGUAAUGCUUGUGGUUUAAUUUCUUCCCAGAAAUGUAUUCAACUUAUACCAGUUUCAAGCUAAUUUAAGUUGCCAUCUUUGACUUGCAGCAGUGCAAAUCACCAAUAUAUUUUCUCCGGAUGGGCUUGUAAGUUUUUUGAAUGGCAGCCAACAUAUUUUAUGAACUCCAAUCUUUAACAUCGUCCUUGGUGUGUAUUGAUCUGGAAAUGGAUAGCGAAAAUGAAUGGAUUUGCCUUUGAAUUGAAUCACAUUUUUCUCAUUUUAAUACAACAUUCUAGACUAGUCAAAUGGAUUUGUCAACUUUGCUUAAUCAUGCAGAUAUGCAAUUAUUUCAUAGACUUCUUUUCGUUAAUAGCUAGCUUUGAAGUUAUUAAUCAUGCAUUCAAAUUUGUCCUAAAUUAUAUAUAUAGCCCAUGACAUUGUGUUGCAUACUAGAACUGCAUGGUUCAAACCCUCCUGAUGUAGGCAAUCUAGAAACCAUUUUUAAAAUCCAAAUGAGUUGCUGCCAUCCUCGGCGUUGGUGAUUAUACUUGAAACAAUAGUCCAAGAAGAGUGAUAACAUGUCAUUUUCACAGGUGAAUGUGGUGGCAGAAAGUCAGUAUUCUACUUGGUAUACGACUGAAAAUCCAUCAUAAUAAUCAAGUGUGGCAGCCCAAAUACAAAUAAAAAAAAAGACACCAAUGCAUUAGACUAAACCCCACCAGAAAAAAACUAAUGAAAACAAAGACUUUCCUCAGAUUUUUAGGGGGAUAAAAAAGGGGAAAUUGUCAGUUUCUUUGUCUGUAUAUCCUGCACUGGGGCGCCGACAACCAUCAACAUCAUUUGAUUUCAUAUAGUUUUAACAUAUUUAAAGAAAUCCUAGCUGAUUUGUUUUUGGGUGAAAAGCUUACGGCCGCGAACUUGAGCCCUUGUGCAGGGUGGAGCAUAAAAUAUGCCUCCGAGAGGCGGUUUUAAUCGGGACAAAUUUAAAAAAUGUAACUAUGAAAUUUUAAAUAUUGAUAAAUCAAUGGUUUGUAAUGCCCGAAACUCAAUUUCAGGGAUAAAAGCACAAUUUAAAAAUAAAGAAAAAAAUUAGAAGAUGGUAGAAAAGUUUUUCAUAUUUAAGAGUUUUAGGUAUAAAAUAGAUUUCAUGACUUUUCUAUAAAGCAAUCUUUUUUCACAUAGAUUAGAGUGAUCAAAGAAUGUAGAGUUGAAAAUUUGAAACCUUUAAGAGUUUUAAGAUCUAUUUUUAUAGAUACAAAAUGAGCCUUUUUUGAGUCAUUUCCACUUUAAGUCUCUGAACUUGAGGUUUGAAAUGGUUGUCAUACCCUUAGAUUACCUUAAAGUGGGGGGUUUUGGGGAAUAAUAAAAUGGUUUAAAAGCCAAUUUUCAACUCUAAUGCAGGAGUUUAUUUGGUUCCGCAAGAGGUGUCUAUUUGUUUCGUACAUCCAGUGAUUGUAACAUCUUAUACCAGAUAGGGAAAAAAGUUCUUAAAAAACGACAAUAAAGAAUAAUAAUAGGAAGAAAAAAAUAAAAGGAUGAAAAUAAAAUACAUAACAAUUUAUUUAGUUCAGUCUCAAGCCUACAUUGACAAGUGAAGAUGAAAAAGAACUUCCAUUAUUAUUGAAAGAGAUUAUAACCUUAGAGUUCUCAAAUCCCAAAGUCCCAAUUUAUAUCCAAAAAGAGACUCGCUAUUUUGGUAAAAAUCUCUUCCCAUAUUUUUUUCCUAAUUACAAAGAAAGAUUCCACAUGGGAAACUAAGUGUAUAAUUGUCAAAGAUGUCUUUUCCUAAAAAAAGAUCUCAUAAUAGGAUAUUUCGUUUAUAAUAAUAGGAAACCCACUUAUAAGAAUAGCUUUUAUUAGGAAACUAUCAAUAACUUUUCAAUUGACUCAAAAAAAAAGAAUUUGAAACACUUUCCAACAAUCUUCACCUUGGCUUAAAUUUCCAAGAUUCAAACAAACUCAAAAUUCUUCCAUGUUACUUUAUUUCCACACCCCAAAAGGGCCUUUAGAUAUUACUAACACCAAUUAAGUCCAAGUAAUGUUUAAUUUAAUUGUAGAAACAAACUUAGAAGGUGUUUGUUUUUUUAGCUUUUUGUUAAAAACAAUUUGCUUUCAGACUUUCAGUUGUUUGUUUUUCUACAUUUUUAUGACUUAUUAUAAAAUUUUUGCUGAAUAGAAAAAGCCAAAAUAUUUGGCUUUUUUAAAAUAGAAAAAACAACAUGUUGAUUUUUCUUUACUUUUGAAUGCUUAAUAGAAAUAAAAUAUUACAAAAACAACAAUAUAAUACUUAACACUAUUAAGCAUUAAAGUUCUAUUUAGAAUUAAGUAAAAAAAAAAAAAUCAAACACCACCUUAAUCAUCAUAUCUAUAGGAUUGUCCAUUGUAGGGAUUUUUUUCAUUGCAAUAGCACCUUAUGCAAUCACAUCCCUAAUACAAUGCAUUAUGACAUCAAUAUGUUUGGUCCUCUCAUGGAACAUUUGAUUUUUAGUCAAAUGUACGACACUUUGUCGAUCACAAUACACAAUAGUCAACUCCUAUUGUAAGCCCACACUACAAGGAAAAUGUAAAAAGAUGACGUUUUUUAAGCAUCAAGAUAGAUAUAAGAUGACGCUUUCCAAAAGCAUCAUAUCUUAGACUGACAUCCUAUGAAUUUCCAAUUGUUGAUGCUUUUCAAAAGCGCCAUAUUCUUUGGCGGUUAACCAUGACGCUCAUAGAAAACGUCAUUAUUCUAAACCUUGGCGCUCUAUAAGUGUCAUUGUAGGUCUGCAAUUUCAUUCAUCUCAAUAUUGACACUCGAUAAAGCGUCAUUGUAUAGGUAGGAGCAACAUCGAGACUCAUGAUAAGUGUCAUCUUAUAGCAUUUUUCAACCUUGACGCUCAAAAAAAGCAUCAUGUUCUUAAAUCCUCAACCUUGAUGCUUAUGAUAAGUGUCAUCUUAUAGCAAUUUUCAACCUUGACGCUCAAGAAAAGCAUCAUGUUCUUAAAUCCUCAACCUUGAUGCUUAUGAAAAACGUCAUUGUAUAUUUUAAAGUGACGUUGACACUCAUAAUAAGUGUCAUCUUCUGCCUUUAUUAUCCUAUGAGAACAAAGCAUGACACGCUUUAAAAAAGUGUCAUCUUAUCUCAUUCGAAAUUUUAAUAACCCAUAAAAGUCCUAAUUAUGCCCUGUUUUAUAAUUUUUCACAAACAAUGAAUGAGUAAUAAAAAGUUAAUUUAAGAAAGUCCUAAGAGAAAAAGUACUAAUUGUGGUGUUUCUCUUUCACUAUUAAAAUUUACUAAUAAACAGACAUAAUUAAAUAUGAAUUUGCUUAACAUUAAAUUUAGUUGCAAUUGUUCAAAAAACUAAAAAAUUUACAACUUCUUUUUCAACUUUGAGUUGUUCAUAGUCUUUUGUUGCAUCUAGUUCUACAUCAUCUUUCUUCAAAAUGCAUAAGGAUGGUUACAAGUCACGUUCUAGAUGCUCAACCUGCAAAAAUAAUUGAGAGGUUACAUAUAAUUAAUAUUGACAAAUAGUAAAAUAAAAAAAACAACUCUAUAAAUGAAAUGUGUAUAUAUCAAUUUUUUAAAUUUCCAAGAUAUAUUUCUUCCACUGCAAUAAAUUUUAACAUGUUGGAAGAACUAAACAAACCCUAAUAAUUUUGUUACACCAAAUUUCUAAAUAUUCCUUGAACUCUUGUUAUGUGUUUAAGAAAGCAAUCAAUAAACCACUUUCUAGUGUUUUCCCAAAUGUAAUAUUUGAUUUUGUCUAACUUGGGUUGAAUGCAAUAAUUAAUUUUGUCGAACUCAUAUUAUCAUUCAUAUUGUAAUCAUGAGUGAAUGAUGACUUGCACCCAUGGUUAUCAAAAUAUGUUCUAAGUAUAUCUAACUUGGGUUGAAUGUAAUAAUUAAUUUUUUUCAACUGAUGUUAUCAUUCAUGUUGUAACCAUGAAUGGAUGAUGACUUCCACCUAUGAUUAUCAAAAUACGCUAUCAACAUAUUGGGUCUUGCCAUAAGUCCAAGUAGGUCUUAAAUUUAAAGCAUGUAUACACUUAAUCAUUUUCAUAGACUAACUUAUUAUGGAUAGAAUUAAACCAAUUAAAUAACUAGGUUAGGUGGUUUCCCUUCAUCAAUGAAGAUGGUAUAUCCAUGUGGUUGCCUUCUUCCCUAAUUAGGCAUUACUAUGAAUUACAAUUAGCUAAAUGACCCAUUGUUCAUCAACUAUCUCCAUUAUAUAAUGGUCUUUUAGCCCUUCUACCCAAUUGGCCUUUACAAGUCAUCAAUUAUAUGUAUAAACAAAUGUCUGUAACUCUUAAAAAACUCAAAAAAAAGAAAAGUCUUGAUCUUAGUGACUAUUUUGGUAUGAUUUAUAUCUUAUAUAUGAAACUUCAACCAUUAACAUCUUUUCAUCCUUCUUAUAGGUCUUACAAGACACUGGAUGUUUUGCAAAGGAAGUAAGUAAGGAAUUAAAAGGAAAAAACUAUAAGUCUGAAAUUUUUUGAAAUUAUAGGUUAAAAUAUCUAUGUUCUUCCUACUGUUAAUAUCUAUUAUACAUGAAAUUUACAAUUUAUUGGUUCUAUCUAUUUAACCAAUUAAUGUAGUUGGUAUGAAGUAUAAUGUCAAGAGAAGAGCUAGCUUGCAUGGGUACAUUAACAUCUAAUCAUGUGAGGAUAUCUAUUAUCCUAAGUAUACAUCUUAAAUAUGAAACUUACAUGAAAUGAUUUUGUAAACAUGGAAUUUAUUCAUAAAACUAACAAUAACCUAAGCAUCUUACCUCAAUAUUCUUUUAUGAAAAUUUUCAACUAUUCCAGGGAGUCCUUCAUGUCAUUGAACAUGUUUAGGUCUGGAUAAGCAAGAGUAGUAGUGACGUACUUAAGAGAAUGACCUAUUUCUUUCAGUACAACUUGAAGAAUAUACAAUAAACAAUUUAGCAACAAAAUUAGAUUCUUAAAAGUUUUAACACAUUAAAUUCAAUAAGCUCAUUAAUUUCAAAGAAGGUUGGUAGCCAAAGGUAGUAGAAUAAUUGAGAUAAAGAAACUAGGAAUGAAGAAAAAUUAAUUUUAGGUAAAACAUUAUAAUUAAAUUGAUAUUUUGACUUGACAUGUUAUGAAUCCAUGAAAAAUAAUACAUUGGCAAUACUUAAUUGAUUAAAAGAGUAAAAUAACACCAAAUAUAGCAAAAAACUACAUGAUAUGGACAAAUGGUUUAUUUUUGUAACAGUCAUCAACAGACUAAACUUAAAAGGGCCUUGGUGGAGGAAAAAACUAUUAUGUCAAAAUGACUAGUUUCUUUCCUUAGAAUUGCAUUUAGAUUGAGGAGCUAUUAUUCAAGUUGAUACCCUAUUUUAGACAACGAGGCUUUGGAGGCCUAUUUAGGAAAAAGGAGGUGCUUUUUUUUUUUUUUUUUUUCUUUUUCCUUAGGCUUAUUUGUAAGAAGUCUUAAUCUAAUUUCCUAUUUUUUUAAUGUCAAAGAAAAUAUAAGUAUAAGAUAUUUUAAACUUUAAGCCCAUUAGUUUAGGAGGAUGCCUCUACAAAUUUAGAUUAAAAAAAGUUAUAUAGCAAGUGAUCUUAAGGAUCUAAAAUGGUUUUUUUUAGGAUAGACAUAUUCCUAAUGCAUGCACAUGUAAUGAGACUAAAGACUUUACUAAAAAGAGUAUGAAAAUGCAUGAAUUUUCGUACCAUUACAACACUAGGAUUUCUACAAAUCCAACUAAUAAGGAUGUAUACAGGAAAUACACAAAGGGUGUGACACCUACCAUGUCUACUAGGCUUCACCUCUCAAUUUGCCAAUUACACAUCCAUCAAAAUAGAGCAACCAUUGGAUGAUCCAUAUUGAAGACACUUCCAACUAGGAGUACCAAGAUAUAUAUUAACAAAUCAUGACUAAGAAUAAAUUAUAAAAUUAACAUUAACAAAAUAUUCACUAGAUCUUUAGAAUAAUAUGAAGUUAUAUUAGAAUAUAGGUCAUAUAAGGUACCUUCAAGCAAGAGUAAUGAUUAAUUGAGUCAUUAACAUAACCCAAUUUGAGCGAACUUCAUUAAUUUCCAUUUCACUAUAUGUUUUUCUCCCAUUAAACUGAAAUGGAAUAACAUACAUCUUCACUAAGUUGAAUUGGAAAAUCAAGUGCUAUAGUAAAAUGACCAACCAUAUGAAUUGCAUUGCAUACAAACCUUUGAUGUUAGUUGGUUUGGAUUAGCAAUGAUUUCUUUCAUGUAUCUCAUCACGUAAUACCCACAUUCCACACUACCUCGUUGUCUAGGACACUAUGACAAAAGUAUCAACAAUUACAACAAACAUAACAUGAUGUUCUUACUUCUUUAGUAUCUAAAUGAUCAUCAUAUUAAUCACCGUCCAUUUCAUAAUUUUGUGUAGUGAAUUAAGUGGUCAAACAAUAUAUUUUAAUCUAAAGGAAUAAGUACUUACAACCACUUUCACCCAAGUCGACUCUCUCUUUGAUGUUUUCUGUUUUUCUGGUGGGUUGAUUCUAAUUGCCCUAUAAAAAAGAAAUGAUGUUCUAUAGAUAAUAUGCAUUGUACUAAAAUAUGAGAAGUACACACUUACAUGUUAACUAUCUCCCUAAGAUCAUCACAUGGUUGACAAGCCAUUGGAUUAAGGUAAUAUGCAAUCAUUCUCUUCAUCUCUAGUGCCACUAAGACCUAGUGGAAACUAAAGAAAAAAGAAAAAAAUUGUAAUAUAAUAUCCACAAAUUAAUACAUCACAAACUAACUUAUAUACACUAUAUCGAGAUUUGGGAUAAAAGGUUACUCUGGAUUGUAUGGAAUAAACACAUAUUCAACAUGUUUUGCAUUCCUUAGUCGAUCCACAAUGACCUUUGACCUGUUUUCUUUACUUCCCUCUCCCAUUCCAGCUUUUGAAACCAAUGCUGGAUUGACAAAAACAUAUUGUUCAACCUGCUUUCCAUCAAUCAACUUUCUAUGCAGGUGCCUAAUUAAAUCCCGCAUAAUAAGUUAUCAACAAUCAUUAUAGGUCAUUAGCAAAUAACCUUUUACCUAAAAAAAAUGUGAAGAGUAAUUAAAAAAAUUAUAAAAUCCCUCACUAGAUGUAGUAUAAGAUACAAUUGGAUGACACUUCUUUUGAUGAUAUAAUCAUGUCCAUAUCUUCUUUCAUUAGGAAGGUCUUGAAACUCUCACCAAAAACAUCAUCUGGGAAGUCAAUAGGAUGUACUCUUGAGGUACUCAGCAUGAGGCCAACCAAUGCCUAAAAAUUCUUGAUAUCUUGUGCUUUCUCACCCUUAGAUUUGACUUCAACUUCAUUUUAUUUUUGUUUCUUUCCUUUCUUGGAUGUCUAUACAAUUAAGAACCAUGAUACAAAUCAAAUCAACUAGUUGAAUAUACAAAAAAAUGAAAAAUAAAAUAAAAUUUAAGGUUAUCAUAAAGCUUGGUAAUUAAAUUUACUCACCGAGAUAAGAGUAUGAAUGAUUACUAAAUGAGCUGGCCACAAAACUUGGUAACCAAUUGCAUCCCCAACAGUAGUAGUUUGUCCAGGAAUAGGAAUGGGAAGGGGUGCACUUGAAUCAUAAGAAGCAUCAACAACUACUAGAUAGUUGGGACCACAUUCAAGUGUAAUUGUGCCAUCGGCCACUAUAUUUUCCUUGGUCUCCAUAGCCAACUCACAUUUUCUAACCUACAAAAUGAAGUUAUAUUAUUAGAUAUGAGUCAAUAUUCUCUAUUUCAUUCUUUCAAGUCUACAUAUUCAAAUUAACAUUGGUGAAUAUUGAAAGCCAUCUAUAAGGUACAAGCAAAAAUGUGAGAUAUGAAGUAAUUUUAGAUCACAUUGGAAAAAUUGAAUGGAGGCAUGCGAAUUAUUAUGUGUUUAUAUAAAGAAUAGCUAUUCUUAAAAUAAAAGAGGUUAGUAAUGCAUAUCUAUCAAAAUAAUUAUUGAAUAUUAAAAAGUUUCAUAAUAUAUGAAAUAAAAAUCCCAUAUGAUCUAAUUAUGUAGACAACAAAAUUAUAUUAUCUAUUUUGUAAAUGCCCAAAAUGCUAAAAAAAAAAUUUUACAACUUUUUUAUUUUCUUAUAUUGCACUACAUAAAAAAAAACCAUAUAUUUUCCGCCAACAAUUAAAUUAAAUUCAAACAACAAAAUUUACCUAAAUUAUGUCUCCUAUUACAACAAACAUUAUCACCAAAUUAACUAGAUAAAUACCUUGUUCUUUGGUUCUAUUGGCACUAGUGGACCUGCAUUUUCACCUCUACGGAUUGGCUUAUCCACUACUUCUGGUAGGAGAAACUGUUUUUGUUUCAUGAUCGAAUUGCUAACAUCAGAUUGGGGAGUGACUGCUCCCACUUGAAACAGUUUUGCUAGCACUUUUGCCUAAAAGUUUCUUUGUUUUUCUUUAGAUGCUGCUAUAAAAUCCCUAACAGCAUGAUCUAUAGCACUAUUAAAAUAUUGACAAGGUGUGUGGUGCUUCCCUUUGGCUCUAACUCGACCACUAUACUUAGGAGUACCCAAUGCUUCUACAAGUAUAUCAUUACUCCCAUUGACACUCCUACCAUUCUCUUGAGACUCUUUCAACAGCUUAUCCUUAAAAAAAAUGUUAAUUAUGAAGUUUAAUUAUAAAUUUGUUAUCAUAAAUUAGCUAUUAUAAAUAAAUGAAAUUGAGGUUGAAAAUAUCCACUUACUAUUUUUUCAAUCACUGGUAUGACCACUUCAUCAAAGGUGCCAUUUUUUUUUUCUCUUGCUUUCUUCCAUAAUAUGCUUCGAUCAAUACUUUCAGUUGACCCACUUGCAACCAUCUUUUAAAAGGAGACAAUGUAUAAUGUAAUAAGCAUAUAACACUAUUAUGUAUUAUGUAUAAAAUAAAUAAAAAAACUAUAAAUUAGUAUAAACUUACCAUCCCUUCCUCAAGACCAGCAUAUCCUUUCCUACUUAAAUGGUGAUUAUAAAUGUGUUUCUUUCUUAUUUCUUUUUUAACUUCUCGAUAUUCCUAUAAAUUAAAAAUGUAUAAUUAAUUAAUGUGAAUACAAGAUAUGUAAAGAGUUGUAAUUAUACCUUAAAUCUAUCAGACAAUCGAUCUUUAACAAACAUUGUCCAAUCUUCAUCCUCAAUAAAAAUAUAUUGAAUUAGCGGUUUUUUGAGGAGCUCCGGUUGGUCUUUGAAAGGAAGAAUGUACUUCAUUGUUAGCAUGUUCUUAAAUGAUCAAAAACAUUUUCCAAUUGUUAGCAUACAAUUCCUCCUACUUUUGGGAUUUAAUGAAAAAACACCCUACACAUUAAUAGUAUACGUGUUAGUGACUUAAUGUGGUUAGGAAUGAUUGAUGUUUUGCAUAAAGGUGAUGUAGGUAAGAAUGUGUUACCUCAAUGCUAUCCCAUAACUUAUCCUUCAACUGUUUAGGUACAACAUGCCACGUUUGAUAUCUUAUUGGCACUAUAGUGCAUGCUAAUAUGCCUAAAUAGCUUGUUAGAUGAACUGUUGAUUCUCCUAUGAAAAUGCCAUCAAGAUUGUACUUAACCUGCAACUUGAUCCCUUUGCUUUUGUUCUUGGUAAUCAUGGACUUUCGUGUCAUUCCUCUGUACUUCCUUUUUGUGGUUUUUUCUCCUUUAUUUGGAUCCAUUCUGGUAACAAAAAAAAAAAAAAACAAAACAAAACAAAACUAAUAAAGAUUAGUUAACAUUAUAUUAGAUAUAAUCGUGUGAGAAGAGUUGUAAAAAGAAAAUUUUAGACAAAACAAUCCCUCAUCAUUGCAUUAUGAAAUGGCACCAAUGAAAUGGCCUUAUCUAUUCUCAGUUUCUUAUUCACUUGUGCCAUAAAAGUGAGACAAAGAUAGUCUUUAAUUAAGUUCAUUUAGUUGUGUGCUUCAGUUAUUUAGACCUUUUGUUGUUUCAAAUACUUUUUUUUAGUGAAUUGUAUGUAUUCAGAUCAUACAUUUCAUAGACCUUUUUUUUGGAAUGGUUCAUCACAUAACGAAGUUGACAUUUCAGUUUAGCUAUUUUUUCUCCCUCUUUCUUGCUCAUUUGAUUUAUUUUAAUUUUAAUUUUUUUUUAUUUUAUGAACUUUUAUAUUCUAGUAUGUGUUUCUCUUAUUAUUUUUGCUAAUCCAUUGUCAUUUUCUUUUUCAUUUUCCUAUGAGAGCCUUUUAGAAUUGCAUAUUUGACUUACUGAAUUGUUAACUAGUUCAUAUCAAAACUAAAAAUUACAUAUAACCGAAUGAUUACAUUUUAUUUUGUACAAACAAGAAUUUUACAAGAAUCAUACUUGAUAUUUGCUUUAGUAUAUCAAAUUUUAAUAACAAGAAAUUUCAAAUGUAGAAACAAAAUAAUAAUAAUAAUAAUAAUAAUAAUAUCAAAAUGGCAUCAACUUAGGCAAUCAACUUGAUGUUCUCUGGAAACAAAAAGAAUUAAAAUUACCUGUUUUGUGGGAUUUGCAACCCACUCGACAUCCUUUAUUUGUACAUCAUUAUUAUAGGUUUACAAUUCAGCUACACAGAGGAUUUGUUCUGAAUCCAAAUCCCCUCACAAUCACCUCUUAUACAUAUUGCAUCUGAGUCAUCCAUUGCAUCGAAUGCUUCAACUUCUGGCAAUGUCCCUAUAAAGGGAUGGUGUUCAAUAGAAUUGUCCACAAGGUCAUCACCUCCCUCCUUAUCCAAGAAAUCUUUUUGAGGAGUUGACAAAACAACUGACCAUCUUGGAUCAAGUUGGUCUUACACAUGAAAUACUUGCUUAGCUUGAGAUGCCAAAAUGAAAGGAUCUUAUUUAUGAGCAACUUUGUUAAAGUCAACUAAUGUAAAGCCAAGAUCGUCAACUUUUAUGUCAUUCUUAUUAUCAACCCAAUCACACUUGAAAACUGGUAUCCUAAACAUGGUAUAAUUAAGGUCCCAGAACUCGUUAAUAAUCCUGUAGAAACAAAGCUCACCAAACACUGGUUUUUGAUCAUUGGCACUUGCAAUUUGCAUUGUUGAAGCUACAAUACUAACUCCGCUAUUUUGGGUAGCUCAUAAGUCAUCACACUCCUUACUAUGGUAUCGACAUCCAUUAAUGACAUAUCCAUGAUAUUUCGAGACAUAGUGGCUAGGACCAUGAGCUAUCCACUUAAGGGUCUCAGAUAUAGGUUCAUUGUUACCAAUUGCAACUUCAAUCUGCAAUUAUAAAUAAUAGUUACUAUGUAUGUUCAACAUUAGUAAAAAGAAUAGUUCAAAUUUGAGCACCAAUUCAAUACCUUUUUUCGAAACCAAUAAGUAAAUGUUCGCAUGUGUUCAUUUUGGAGCCACUUUUGUCUUUUAGAUUGACGAGGAUUUUUCAAUUUCAACCAUUCCAUGUGCUCUCUAUGCAAUUAUUUAUAAAAAGUUCAAAGUUAUUGUCUUAUAGUUAAUUUAAGUAUAACAAAUAAAUAUUAAGUGUUAGUAGUUCUUACUCGAUAUAAGGUUGGACAAUAGUUGUAUUCUCUAAAACAUAAUGAUGUGCAUGCAACCACAAAUAUGAAUCAACGAUCACAACUUGACCUACAGGUAUCGAUGCCCCAACUUUUUGGUUAAUGUUUACACUAAUAGGAAUCCCAAUUGCAUCUACAUUUGAUAAGUACUCUGUACAAAAUUCAAUAGCUUCCUCCGCAAUAUAGCAUUUGACGAUGCAACCUUCAGGCCGGUUACGAUUUCGUACAUACCCUUUCAAAACUUUCAUGAAUCUUUCAAAAGGGUACAUCCACCUUUGGUAAACUAGUCCACAAAGUCUGACCUCUCUUACAAGAUGCACAGUAAGAUGGAGCAUGAUAUCAAAAAAGGAAGGUGGGAAGUACUUCUCAAGUUAGCAUAAUGUCACCACUACAUCAUUUUGUAACUUAUCCAAUGCAGGUACAUCAACCACUUUGCUACAAAGAGCAUUGAAAAAAAAAACUCAAUCUACAAAUAGCAUGUCUUACAUGCUUUGGCAAAACUGAUCAUAAUGACACUGGCAAUAACUGUUUCAUUAAUGCAUGAUAGUCAUGGGAUUUAAGACCAUAAAGCUUCAAGUCUUCCAUUGACACAAGGUUUCUCAUGUUAGAGCAAUAACCUUCAAGAACCUUUAAUUGUGAUAAAGUUUGGCAAAAAAGCUUCUUCUCCACUUUAGAUAGUGUGUAACAUGCAGGUGGGAGAUAAGUUCGAUUUGAUUCAAACCUUGGCCUUAAUUCACACCUUAAGCCCAUCUCCAGAAGGUCUAAACGAGAAUUAAGUCCAUUAUUUGUCUUACUUGGAAUGUUAAGUAAGGUACUGAUGAUGCUUUCACAAACAUUUUUCUCUAUGUGCAUUACAUCCAAGUUAUGACGAACAUGUAGGUAUUUCCAAUACUCAAGAUCAAAGAAUAUAGACUUUUUCUUCCAACAAUUUCUAGUUUUGACAUUCAACUUACCUCGAGUCAUCUUAUUUUUUCCCCAUGAAUUACAAAUGACAUCAAUUUUCCUUAGAAUUUCCUCUCCACUCAAUGGUUGUAGAGGUGACCGAAACUCUUGUUCCUCAUUAAAUGUUUUUUUUUGUUUCCUAAAAGGAUGAUUGCAAGGAAGAAAUUGUUUAUGACCUGUAUAUGAGUUCCCAAGAAAGAGAAUUGCUACAUUGAGCUGCACAUUUUCAACUUGGAUCAGCCUUCGGUAACCAAAAGGGCCUCAUACAUUGGUUUUUUUAAAAAGAGCACCAUAAGAAGAAAAGGAAAGUGAGACCAGUCAUCACCAAACGCACAAACAAAAAUCUCCAGCAGCCAUUAUGAGUCACUUUUGCUUGAAAUUGCUUUCAAAUGCAACCAACAAUACUAUACAUAAAUUCAAAAUAUACUUCCUAAAAGCAUAACCUAAAUAGGUGUCACAUAGAUGGACAUUUGACCCUUUAUCCUCUAUAUGAUCCACCAACCCACUCCAUCAUUUCAUAGAAACAUGCUUGAUUGCUAUUUAAAAAAUUUCUUAGUAACUAAAUAUCUCUGUUGCAGCUAGCAUGGAUUCAUCAUACUCCUUGGCCCCACUAGCUACUGUUAGGUCAAGAUGUGUUUCAUUACCAAAGCAUGCCUUCUUAUAAGAACUAUAGUGGAAACUAGACCCUGGCAUAGAUUCUCUGUCCAUAACCAUCCAAUAUAAACAUUAAACUAAGUAAAUGAGAAUGACUAGCUUGUAACUUGACAAAGAAUAAAUCAAAAGGUAAUUUAAAAGGACAUGACAGAAUAUCAAUUAGCAUUAUAAAAGGUGGAGGGUUUAGAAGAAUUAUCAGAAAAAUAAAGACACGUCUUCAUUAUAAGGCAACAAUAGAUAUGGCUUACACUGAUAAACCUAGAUUACCAUUCCAUGUGAAUGGUUGAUAACAAAUGGGACAAGCUAAAAUGCUCUUGCUGAUGCUAACCUCCUUUUCAACUAAAAUAGGAUCCUGAACAUAAGAAAUAAGAUACAAUAUAUUAUGUCAUGAUAGGAAAAAUUAAUUAAUUCGUAAUUCCUCAUGUGAACUGACUGUAGUUGAAAAAAUAAAAAGACAUCAUCUCAUCAGCACUGUAUGAUAAUUUUCCUCACAUUUUCCUUUAAAAUUUCCAAAAACCAAACAUAGGGAAAAAGAAAAAGAAAUUAAAGCACAAAAGAUGAAUUUGGUUGUACAGAAUUUGCAGCCUUGGAAUUGAUAAUUUUCCCCUUUUGUGGUGGAUGCCCUAAUGUCAAGUCCACCAUUUGGUUGUUUUCUAUACCAAUUGGAUUUCCAAUUGAAUUUAAAAGCCAUAAACCCAAAUUCCCCAAGAACAAGUAAGCAACUCCAAGAUAAAAGCCAAGUUCUCCAGUUCCGUAAAAAUUGAACUUUAAACCAAAUCCAAUUCUACCCAACCAAAUGCAGCCUAAUUCUUCAAGAACCAUAAAAGAACAAUGAAUGAAUCAAGAAUGGACAAAUACAUUAAAAAAAAAUCAGGAGCAAUACAAAUUCUCAAAAACACUAAUCAUAAAGAAUCACAUAUGAAUUAAAACAAUUCCUAUGAAUUCAUUUUAUGCUCGAUUGACGACUGAGACAAUUCCUAGAGAAUGCUCGAUUGACUAAAAAAAUAUAACAGUAGAACUUGAUUUGUCUCCCACAUACGUUCAUUGUACAUGCGCACAAGGUUACCAAUUGACACAACCACCAAUUGCAAUGGAAAAUGGGGGCUGGUUGUUUUGGAGAAUGGAGGAAUUUAUUUUAAAAGAGACUUUCAACACGCACAGAAGGAGGGGUGAAUAAAAAAAAAAAUUAAAGAUAAGGGGUGAGAAGACACAACCGAGAAGGAGGAUGUCUUUUAGGGUGGAGAAAACACACAACGGGAACUCUCCACUACCAGCCACAAGAAUAGUAAAAAAAUGUGACCAGAACAGGGCACAAAUGGGUAAAUCAAAAUGAACAAAACCCACAUUUCAUGCCUAAUCAAAAAAUCAAGAAUAGAGCAGAACAGAGCAUGUAUCCGUGAACCGUGUUUCUUCUCCACUACAACCCAUAAAAUUAGGGCACGAUUUGCAAAGAGAAACUCGACCAACAUUAGAACACUUGCAAUAAAUGAUGAAUAUGGAGUUGAAAGAGUGGAGAAUCACCUGAUUUGUCGCUCGUUGGUGGAAUUUGUAAGAGAAGAAUGGAGUUUCAGUGCUUAUUCUCUGUUAUGAGAGUCACAAAAUGGAGAUUCAAAAAUGAUCUCCAGUUUUUAAUACUCAAGAUCUCACACUAGGGCUUGGAAACACACCUUCUAGCUAGAUCUCCAAUGUCAAGAGCCUCAUCUGAAGUUAACUGGGGUCCUAGGGUUUGUCGGGCUUUUGCGAAAAUGGAAGGAAUGUUUAGCAUUAUGAGGUCGUGGGUAAGAAUGGGAAAUUUUUGAGCCAUAUAUAAAGGUGUUAUUUUAAUGUCACUUUUAUAGAGCACCAAGGUAAAAAUUGAUAAAUGAAGAUGCUUAUAUAAAACGUCAUGCUAUAGGAAGCGCCAUCAUCCUUCAGCAUAAAGCGCCAUGGUCUAAAAUUUUCCUUUUAAGCGCCAACUUCAACCACUUAUUUACUCAACUGCCACUCUAAAAGCCAAGUAAUGACACUUAUUUGAAAGCGACAAGGAAUCAAGCGCCAUAAAUUGUGUUUUUUGUAGUAGUGCUAAAUUGCCAACCAAAGCCUUAAAUCAAAUAGCUUCUUUCACUACUUCUAUGGUCACCAUGUAUUAUGUUUUUGUGAUCGCCAUGUAUUCUACUUUAAUGGUUGACAAGGUAACUGUAGAUUGCAAAGUUUCUUUCCAACUAAUAACACUACCACAUAAAAUGAAUACAUAUCCUAUUAGAGAUCUUCUUCUAUCCAAAUCUCCAACAUAAUCAAAAUCAACAUAACCAACAAUUUCUGUAGAGAUGUCACUACUUUUAUCAAUAAACCCAAUAUUUAUCAAAUAAUCAAACCAUUGCUAUCCUAUAAUAACCAAAUUAUCAAAGAGUUGUUAACUUAACACAUUGUCCAUAAUAGAUAAUACAAAUGUCAACCACAAGGUCCACAACACUUAAAUAGUUACUCAAAAUAUAACAUGUCAAUGUUUGAAUAUUCACGAAGAUUUUUGCGUACUAAUAAAUAUAAAACUCCUGUCUUCAUUCAUUUUGGAAAUUGGAAAAUGGAAAUUGAAAAUGAGCAUCUAGAAAACCAAAGUUCUCCACAUCAAGCCCUUCUAUAGCCACGCCACCACCAUCCUCAUCAUCUACAAAAAUAUUGAAUAUAUAUCAAUAAGAAAUAAUUUUUGAAGAAAAAAAUGUAAUUAUUGAACUUUUAUAAGUUUAAAUAUUCUACUAACCAAUGUGAGGACUUGAACCUUCCACUUAAUUUAUUGGAAUUGAUCCUUCUUCAUAUAGAAGAUUUUCCAAUUCUUCAACAUCUAGCUCUGUUGGCUGAUCCUCAUCAACUAUCCAAAAAUCGGUCUCAUCAAUGCAUGCAUAAUCAAUGGGAUCAUAGAUUCUUUUCUUGUUAUAGAGCCUAAAAAAGAAAAACAUAUAAUUAUUCACAAUUGUGAAUAAAAGAAUUUAAAUUCAAAACAACUAAGAAAACAUUUAUACCGAUUUUUUAGCCAUAAAUUGUAAUGAAUAUAUACAAGAUCAUUAAGCCUUUGAUGUUCCAAUCUAUUCCUUCUUUUGGUAUGUAUAUGUUCAAAGACAUUCCAAUUCCUCUCACAUCCAGAAGACGAUGCAGUUUGGCUCAAUAUUUGAAUGGCCAACUUUUGCAAAUGUGGUGCACUAUAUCCAUGUAGCCUCCACCAUUCAUCUAGUUACCAUUUCACAUUAAAAAUAAGAAAAGAAAAACAUUAGCAAGUUUAAAUUAUUAAAUAGUAAGUAGGUAACUAAUGAAAAAGAACAAAGACACUAAUAAAUGAAAAUAAUCUUUUACCAAGUUCAAGUACUUCACGUGAAGAAUAAGCAAGGUCUCUUCCAAAACUUUCCAAUCGAUCACGAAACAACUUCAUUUCAUUCAUUGUAUCAAGCUUGCCUUUCAGAACUUUUUGAUCAAUAACAUCCAUGACACCUCCAAUAACAGUUGGCAUAUUACAAAAGUUUUCCUGAUCAUAUUGGAAACAUGGAUUCAACUAAUAAGCUACUGAAUGAAUGCUUUUAUUUAGUUGUUGAUCCCAACAUUGCUUUAUGAUCUCUAUAUAAGGCUUGUAUAGUCUUUUGUUGUAGUUAAACAAUUUCUUGAUGCCCAAAUGAACCUUAUACAUGCCUUCAUACACAUAUCCCAUUGAAGGCCUCUCAUCACAAUCAAUAAUACGCAAUAAGUGCAUUAGUGGAGACAUAAGAUUCACAACAAUCAAACAAUCAUUCCAAAAUCUAUUAUCCAAUAUGAUGGAAACUACAACUUUGCUUUUAUUAUCCUUUGAAUAUCUAGAGUUCACAAAGAACUUACUAGUCACCAAAGCUUACAAGUCAUGUUUAUGAUCAUGAAGACUCUUGAGUGCAAUGAAUGUAGUAGCAAAGCGAGUUGCACCAGGUCGGAGAAUCUCCCUCCAUCCGUCUCUUUUUCUCAACCAACUUAACAAAGCAACAUGAUUAUACACAAAAAUUGUCACCUUUGAUGCAUGUCUUACAAGUUCAGCAACAUGGUCCAUCUUACCAAUAUCCUUAAAGAUCAAGUUAAGACAAUGAGUUGCACAAGGUGACCAAUUGAUGUGUUUAUACUUCUGAGAAAUCAAUCUCCUCGUGGCCACAUAAUUUGCUGCAUUAUCAGUCACUAUAUGAACUACAUUGAGUGGACCCACCCAUUUAAUUACCUCAUCAAAUAACAAAAACAAAUUAGUUGCAUCCUUGACAAUGUCUGAAACAUCCAUAGAUUUCACAAACGAUAUUCCUUUAGGACAAUACACAAGGAAGUUGAUGAGUGUUCUUUGUUUAUUAUCUGUCCAACCGUUACCCAUUAUUAUAUGCCCAACUUUUACCCAAAUUGCAUGAUAAGAGUUCACAAGUAACUAAACUUCCUUCUUAGCAUCCUUUAAAAGAUUAAGCUGCAGCUGAUGGUAAUUUGGACCCUUAUAUCCAGGACCAAUUGUAGAUAUAACAUCCAACAUUGGCUUAAAGUAAAAGGAAUUCAAAACAUUAGUAGGAAUGCAUGCAUCAUAAAAGAAUCUCCUAAUCGCCAUGUUUUCCCUCCAAAUAGUUUCUUUCCUAAUUAAUACACUCCUCAGGGAAGGUUGAGCUCCUUGAGUAUUUCUUGGUACAAAAUACUUAUCCACUGUUGAUUUUUUUUUCUUUUUCCACUACUAACUGCCAUAGGACUUUGCAUUUCUUGAACUUCUUCUUCACCUUCUGUCAUAUCCCCUUCAAAUUGUGACACAUUAGGACCAUAAAGAUUUUUGUAUUCAUAUGCUUCUUGAGUUGCUUUCUUGGAAUUCAAAAACUCUUGCAAACAAUUUUCCAUUCGAAAUCUGACAUCAGGAGGAACCAAUUUACAUAUACCAAUAUCUCCUUUCACUCCAGCAAGAUGUUGUUUCAUUUUAUGAAUAUCCUUACCUUUCUCAAUCUUUUUACAAUACAAACAAAUAAGAGCUUUCAUUCCAUUUGCAUAUCUUUCUUUAGAAACAUGCUUUCAUGCAAGAUCGAUUUUACUUCUAGUUGUUUGUGAAUUGGUAGUUCAACCUUGACCAAAUGAUGGAGUCAAGUUUGAUUCCAUUUUUUAUUUCUCUAUCAAAUUAGAAACAAAAAUCUCACAUUAAUCUAGAGAAUGAAAGUCAUCAACAAUUUAUUAAAAUCAAUAUUAAUCUAGAGAAUAAAAGUCAUCAACAAUUGAAAAAAAUGAUAAAUUUACUUUCAAACCAAACAUUUAUCUAAAAUUUAUAAUUAUUAAAUAUUAUAAAAUGUAAUUCUUGAAAUUCAUAAUAUAAUUAUUAAAUAUUAUAAAUGCUACUUUCACAUAUUAACCAAAUAAAUUCUUGAAUUUAUUUUUUAGGUUUAAUAAUGUAAUUGACAAAAUUUGAAUAUUAAUUAUUAAACCUAAAAAAUAAAUUUCAAGAAUCAAAGCAUUAAAUAAUAAAUAAUUAAAUAUUGUGCCUUGAUUUCCAGGUUGCGGGCUUGUAGCUACUAGUUGGACUCGGAGUGGGGGCUUACAACAUAGGGGAUGGGAGGUUACAACCAGUUGGAGGGGGCUUACAGCCAAGGUUCCAACCAUAGGGGGUGGCUUGCCGGCUUGCAAAACCACGACGGGAAAGAGGCGACUCAAGCGACGGUGAUCUUGUAACGAUCGAUGGAGAGAGAUUUUGCACGAUGAAACGACCGACUAUGGGAGCUUGUUGCGGCGUGUUGGGGGCGAGCUAAGAGGUAGGCGACAACUGCAGUUUGGAGAUGGAGGGUUUGGAAAUGAAGGUUUUAUAUCCUCUAAAACGACAUCAUUUUGAUGCUGAAAAAAAAAUUAAAUUGAAUUGAACAGGACAAUUCGGAGUAAACCAGUUGGUUCGUCCGAUUCACCGAUCGGACCGUCAGUUCAGCCAAUCCAAUCCCUAUUCAACCUGUUUUCGAUCUAAUUGAUCGGACUGGACCGAAACCUUGAUUAGCUGGCGGUCAGACCGGUCAGACCGUUAAUCCAGUCUGAUUUUUAAAACCAUGAAUAAAACACUUGAAAAUUUGAAGUGAGCUGCUAAUGGAGUACUCACUGAUUUUAACCCUUGCAUUCUAAAGCAUUCCAACACUUUCUCAAUGUACUUUUUCUGUGAUAAAUAUAAUUUCCUCGCUUCUCGGUUUUUAUGAAUCUCCAUACCCAAUAUUUUCUUUGCUGCUCCAAGGUCUUUCAUUUCGAACUCUCCUUGAAGUUGAGUUUUCAACCUGUUAUCUUAGAGAUAUUCUUGCAUGCAAUUAAGAUGUCAUCAACAUAUAACAAUAAAUAAAUAAAUAAAAGAAUCAUCAAACAAUUCCUUGUGAUAAACACAAUUAUCAUACUCACUCCUAUGGUAGCCAUUACAAAUCAUAAAAGUGUCAAACCUUUUAUACCACUACCUAAGAGAUUGCUUCAAACCAUAAAGAGAUUUCUUCAACAAAUAAACAUGGUCUUCCUUUCCUAAAGUAACGAAUUCCUUAGGUUGAUGCAUAUAAAUCCGUUCUUCCAACUCACCAUGUGAAAAAAACAAUCUUGACAUCAAACUGUUUUAACUCUAAAUCAAAUAAAGUAACCAUAACAAGUAACACCCUAAUUGAGUUAUGCUUCACAGCUAGAGAAAACACUUCAUUGAAGUCUACACCUUUCUUUUGUGUGUAGCCUUUUAUCCACUAAGCGUUCUUUGAACCUAGCAUCUUCUACUCCUGUAAUUCCUUCAUUUCUUUUGAAUGCCCAUUUGCAACCAACAAUCUUUGAUUUUUCGAUUUCUCAACUAGUUGCUAGAUAUGGUUUUUUUUAAAGAGAUUCAAUCUCCUCAUUCAUAGCAACAAUCCAUUGUUUAGACUCUUUACUAGUGAUGGCUUUAUGAUAAGUAUGGGGUUAUUCUUUUUCAAUGCUCUCUACCACACUAAGUGCAUAAGCAACCAAAUCUACAUAAGCAUACCUUUGUGGUGGUUUAAUAUGCCUCCUUGUUCUAUCUUUGGCCAAACAAUAUUGUUGCUCUUGUGGUGCAUUUUCUUUAUCAUCAAGAUGUUGUACUUCUUCCUCCUUUGGCUUUAUUGAAAUCAUUUUUUCUAUAGUUUUUGAAGCUUUAGAACAAACUACACAUUUUCUCUCACACUAGGGUCAUUUCCAUACAUGAAGUUGCUUCUUCCUAGGACUUCACAUUGUUAACUCAUUAAAAGUCACAUUCCUACUAAUAAAAUUUUUUGAGAAUUUUGAAUCUGGGCACCAUAAUCUAUACCUUUUCACCCUAUUUGCAUAUCCUAAUAAUAUGCACUUCUUUGCCCUUGGUUCCAACUCACCUUCAUUCACAUGAGUAUAAACUAGACAACAAAAAAAUUCUUAAAUUAACAUAAUUAGAAGGGGAACCAAACCAUACCUCUUUAGGAGUCUUACAACUAAUAAUAAUUGAAGGAGAUAUAUUCGCAAGAUAAUAAGCUAAAUUUACCAUUUCAACCCAAAAUUCCUUUAACAACUUUGCAUUUGAAAGCAUGCACCGCACUUUCUCUAAAAUAGUUCUAUUUAUUCGUUUUGCAACACCCUUUUGCUAUGGAGUAUGCCUAAUUGUGUGAUGUCUCAUAAUACCUUCAUUUUUGCAAAACUUAUUGAACUAUUUAUCAUAGAAUUCCAUGUCAUUGCCAGUUCUCAAGCUCUUGAUCUUUUUUCUAAUAUGCCUCUUAAUUAUAUUUUUCCAUUGCUUGAACUUCCCAAAGACAUCACUCUUAUGUUUCAAGAUAUAUACCUAAACCUUUCUAAAGUAAUCAUUAAUAAAGGUUAACAUAUAUUUUCCACCACCAUGUGAUACAACUUGAGAAGGGCCUCAAAGAUCCGAAUGGAUACAAUCCAAAGUACCUUUAGUUCUAUGAGUACCUACACUGAAUUUCACUUUGUGUUGUUUCCUGAACACACAAUGCUCACAAAAAGCUUAUUCUCCCAAUUCUUUAACCAUCAAGCAAACCUUUGCUCAAAAUCAUCAACCCUCUCUCACUCAUAUGUCCAUAUCACAUAUGCCAUAAUCUAGUAGUCUUUGAAAUUGAUUUUAAGGUUGAAAAUACAGUUGCACUUGUAACUGUGCUACCUUAUAAUGUAUAAAGACCAUUAAUUUUCUUUCAUUUCAUCACAACAAGAGCACCAUUUAAAAUUCUCAAAACUCCACCUUCAGACUUAUAUGUGCAUCCAUUAGAGUCAGGUGUCCCUAAAGAAAUCAAAAUUGUCUUCAACUCUAGAACAUGCCUUGCAUCAAUUAAUGUCCUUACAAUGCCAUCAUGCAUCUUAAUUUGAAUUGUGUUUAUCUCAACAACCUUAUAGACUACAUCAUUUCCCAUGAGAAUAUUCCCACCAUCUAUAGGUUGAUAGAUAUUGAACCAAUCCCUAUUGGAAGAUAGAUGAUAGGAACACUUUGAAUUAGUAAUCCAUUCAUCACCUGAGUUAUUAACAGUAACUAAAAGAGCAUCUGCAAUAUUUGAAUUUUCUUCUGCAACUGCUAUAUCACCAAAAUUAGAAGUUUUCUUCUUCUUUUUUUCUUUAUGGUCUGGAUAAUUUUUUACAAAGUUUCCUUCUUUAUUGCACUUUAAACACUUGUUAUUUCCCAUAGACUUUGAUUUAGAUCUAGAUCAACCUUUUCUACCACUAUUUUUCUUUCUUAUUCUCCCUCUAGCCACUAAAACUUUCAUCAAGUCAUCUUUUCUACUCUUAGACACCCUAUUCUUCAACUCAUUUAAGUUCAAGGCUAUUUUAACAUCCUUUAUGGAGAGAGUAUCUCUACCAUACAUCAAUUCUAACAUCAAUAUUCCUCAAAUCCAUAAUAGUUUUAUUAAAUUCAUUAAGGUGGUUUUUACUGGACGUACUUUUUUUCAUCUAGAGAGUAAACAACUGAUUCUUUAAAUACAAGUGAUUUGUAAGAGACUUUGUCAUUUAGACUUUCUAACUUCGAUCAUAACUUACCAGUCGUAUCUUCUUCUACAACCUCAUGAAGCACCUCAUUACCCAAGUACAAUAGAAUAACAUUGUGCACUUUCUCCAUAAGUUCAUUCUUCUCUUAUCAGACAUUGUUGUUGGUAGAACUUCUUUACCUUUCAAUGCUUUGGAUAACCACUAUUAAACCAAUAAGGCAUGCAUCGUAACACACCACAAAUUGAAAUUGUAUCUUCCAUCAAACUUCUCAACCUUAAACUUUGCCGUCAUUCUAGGUCUAACAACCUAAGCUCUAAUACCAAUUUGUUGUGAAAAACAACAACAAAAUAUAAUAAUAGGGAAAAAUAAUAAAAUGAUGAAAACAAAACACACAAUGAUUUAUGUGGUUUGACCUCAAACCUACAUCUAUGGGCGAAAACAAAGAAGAGCCUCCAUUAUUAUUGAAGGAGAUUACAACCUUAGAGCCCUCAAAUCUCAAAGCCUCAAUUUAUAUUCAAAAAGAAACUCUCACUAUUUUGUUCAAAAUCUUUUUCUUUUUUUUUCUAAUUACAAAGGAAGAUUCCAUAUAGGAAACUAAGUGUAUAAUUGUCAAAGAUGCCUUUUCCUAAAAGAAGUUCUUAUAAUAAGAUAUUUCCUUUAUAAUAAUAGGAAACCUACUUACAAGAAUAUCUUUUAUUAGGAAACUAUCAAUAACUUUCCAAUUGACUCAAAAAUAAAAUUUGAGACACUUUCCAACAUACAUGUAUGAACUUUUAAUAUGUAGGUUUUUUUAAAUGUCGUGAGGACCCUUGGACCCAAAGUGGAUAACAUUUGUACAGGUAGGAGAAGGCCAUUACAUGUUUGAAAUCUAUUAGGAUGAAUAAUUUGAAAGAAUUAAAUUCAUAUUCCUUGCAAAAAAUUAAGUGUUGACAAGGUUUUCAAAAAUAAAUUUUAAAAUAUAGGAAAUCACUUGAAAUGAUGAUUCUUUUGUUAGCACUUACUAGAUGCUUCCUGCAAUAAUCACUUCUUUAUUAUUGUUGUUGUUGUUGUUGUUAUAAUAUAAACAUUGUUAAAAACAUUAUAUAAAAUAUAUUUUUAUUCAUAUCUAAUACUAACAAAUAUAUUUUUGAAAAACAUUUUUCAAUAAAAGUGUUACUAUAACAACAACAUCACAUGCUAUUUAAACAAGACCACAAAUACAAAUCAUUCAUCCAAAAUCAUUAACCAAUUUUCCAUUUUUACCAUAAGUAAACAAUCAAAAAAUUAUUCCUCUCAUGUAUAAAUGUUUGAACUUACCUCUAUUGUGUGUCUUUUUCUCUACAACAAUCUUAGCUACAAAAUUUGGUUAAGCUACAAGAUCUUUUAAUGAAAAAUGGUGAGGUUGAUGAAAUUCACGUAACCUUUGCUUUCUCCUUUUUUUUUUUUUUUUGGCUUUUCAUGUUCUAUAUACCACCACUUAACAUAGAAGUAUUUUAUAGAAAUUCACAUAAAAUCCUUCUUUGAUUCUUAAGUGGCUAAUAAUAAUUUUAUACACAAUCCAAUGACACAACUUAUCUUCUUGUCUAUCGCAACUCCAUUGGUUGCCAUCAAUGAUAAAAUCAAAAUAAAAUAUUAAAAAUACAUUAAAAUAAAAACAAAUUAAUAAUUAAUAAUGUAAAAAUAAAAUAUUCUUGAUAAAAAACAUCUAGGAAAAAAUGAUAAAUGUAUAUUAAUGAAUAUAUAUAUAUAAGGUAUUGAAUUGCAAUUGACUCUCUAUAACAAGAUAUUGAGUCAAUUUUAGAAUUUGAUUAUGAGGGAGCCAAAAGUCUUAUGGGUUCCAAUGGUCCUUGUUUAGAGCUCAUAUUCCUUGAUGACACAAUUUAUGAGGGUUGGAUGAGUUUUUAAUUCACUUUUGUAUAUAAGGACAUUUUGAUAAUUAUGCAAUGUUGCAAAGGGAUAAGUGAGUGGUAUCUCAGACUAUGCUAAUUGAUUAAUUAGGGUCAUGUAUAGUUAAUUAAUUAAUUAGCAACCUUUUUGGGCUAUAUUAAAUGACCUAAGCCGAUGAUGGGCUUAAGUCACUUAUGCCUAGCAGGAAGCUUAUAAAUACCCCUUUAGGGGUUGAAGUUUCUAUUUCUUGCCAUUUUCUCCCUAUAGUCUAGAGAAAACCCUAAUCUCCACCAUCUCAAUGUCUAAACACGAGAAAGAGUCAUUAGGUGAAAGAUCAUGGUGUUUACGAGAUCCAUUAUGACUUUGGAGUUAUCUAUAUCAAUUGAAAUCGAUCCGUGAACAUAUGGAUAAAAGGUAUGUGACUUUAUUUUCUAAAUUCGUGAUUUAUGUGGUAUCAAUAUUGAUUUUUAAAUAUCUAGUUCUCCGUUGCGCUAGAUUUAGAGAGCCUAGGAUAGAUUUUCAUACACCCUAUGAGAUCCAAGGCAUGGGAAUGGAGUGAUCUAGGGUUCCCUACAAUAAUUAUUCCGAUAGAAACUUCAUAAUAACUUAUCCUAUUAAAUACUAUAAAAAUCCCUAACUUUUUAGUAAUUCCUUAAUGAAUAAAAUAUUUUAUAUGAAAAAGCUUUCAAAAAUGUUUAUUUCCUUAAAAGAAAUUAAACGAUCCAUUUUAGAAAGUAUUUUCAAAAUAUUUUAUAUCUUUAUUAAAUUACUAAAAGUUUCCAAAAAUAUUUUGACUAUUUUAAGUACUCUAAGGUGGCUUCAACAUGACUAUUUUUAUCUUUAUUAGAUAACAAAGUUUUGAGCAAUUGAGUUAUUUGGGCUGAUAUUAAAUCAGUUGUCCAAAAGUUGCUGGUGAUAUAUACAUGGACUUGAUCAUUUAAUUGUUUGUUUGUUUAUGUGAGAAUAAACAAUUAAGGUUGAACUUCCUCUAAAUUGGCUUCUACAUGACUAUUUAUCAUGUUUAACAGUUUGAUAUAUAUAUAUAUAUAUAUAUAUAUAUACGGGGACUUCAUCAACAUGUUUGAUGGUUGGAUUGUUUGUUUGAUCAUGUGAGAACAAACAAUUAAGGUUGAAAUUCCUAUAAGGUGGGUUUUGAACAAUUGGGCAGUUUGGGCAAUUGAGUUGUUGGGCCAAUAUUAAAUCAAUCGUCCAAACAUUGUUGGUGCUAACAAUUGAGCUCUUUGGGCAAUUCAGUUGCUUGGGCCAAUAUUAAAUCAAUUGUCAAAAAGUUUGUUUGGGCCAAUAUUAAAUCAACUGUCCAAAAGUUGUUGGUGCUAACAAUUGAGCUGCUUGGGCAAUUGAGUUGCUUGGCCCAAAAAUAAAUCAAUUGUCCAAAAGUUGUUGGUGCUAUAAUACUAUAAAUAUACCAACUAGGUGUAAUUUGAGCAAUUGUUUAUCAACUCAAGACUAUCAAGGAUACUCUUGAUAUUUGUUCUUCCCAUGAAGGAAGUAUAGGUAAAACAAUGUCAGAUUAGUUUUUGUGCUAGGAUAUGUUACUAGUAGUUUAUGAGGGGUUCUAUCCUAAAAUAAUAAGGCUUUCAUUUAUAGUACUUUCUUGGUUGCUAAAAUUUUUUAGUACAAACACCUUCACUCAUUUGACUAAACCCGAAAGAGAUAUGUUGUCACGAAUUUUAUUUUAUGAAAAUAUUAUUUAUUUUCGUUUUAAAAUUAAAUUUUAUUGUUAAAAAUAAAUUCCUCGAUAACAACAAAUUCACAACAAAUAAUUUUCUAUAUAUAGAAAAAAAUCUUCUACCACAAAAUACUUUUUUUAAAUCAGAAAUUAAUUUAUGGCAAAAACCCCCAUAUUUGUUGUAGUGUUAGAAUAAAACUAAAUCAAAAUUUGAAAGUUUGUGUUUUAUUUUUAAUUAAAAUAAAUCAAUUAAAAUUAAAAUUUUACCAUUAAAAACAGUCUCAUAGUUUCAUAAUUAUAGGGGGUAAUUUUAUCUAUAUAUGUCUAUCAACUUUAUAAUAUAUUGGGUCAAUUAUCAAUUUUUACUGGCACUAAAACACAAUUGUCAAAAAUGUGAGCAGCCAAAAAAGGUGAUUCAACUAUGUUGAAAAGUUGGUAGUGCAAAUGAGUAGUCAAAAAUGCUGAUUUGAAAUUCAUUUUCAAUUGUAUUGGACCGUCCUAGAUGGUGACAAAUGUGGAUAAUGAUCACAAUACAGUAGACAAAAUAAAUGUCACGUCAUCAAGCAAUCUUGAAAGUUAAGAAAAAAAAUUUCCAAAGAUAUUUUACCACUCAUUCCAUCUCAAACCGUAAAUUAAUUUAUUUAAGAAGUUGUGAAAAUUAGUUAAACUAUUUACAAUUCCUCCAAGAAUAAUUCUAGUUAAAGGGUAUUUGAUCUUCAACAUUUUUUAUUGGAACAACUUUAACAAAAAUAUUUUUAAGAAAAUUUAGCGUAGUAGCAUGGUUGAUAGUAAUUUCAAGAAGUAUUUAUUAUUUUUUUAAUAUUUAAACUUUUUUAUUUUUUAAGUAUUAAAAGGGAUAAAAACAUUUUUUAAAAUCAUUGUCAAAUAAAUUCUAAAUUGCAUUUGAUAGUAAUUUUAGGAAGUAUUUUUAAUCUUUUUAACACUUAAAAUUUUUAUCUUUCAAAUACCAAAAAAACUAGAAACACUUCCUAAAAUUAUCGCAAAAUACACUCUUAAAAUACGUUUGACAAUGAUUCUAGGAAGUGUUUAUAACACUUGAAAAUUUUUAUCUUUCAAGUAUUAAAAAUGUUAAAAACGCUUUCUAGAAUCACUCUCAAAUGUACUUUUAGAGUGUAUUUAACAGUGAUUCUUGAAAGUAUUUAUAAUAUUUUUAAUACUUGUAAGAUAAAGUGUGGUUAACAGUAAUUCUUAAGUUUGAAAGCAUUUCUAGUAUUUUUAAUACUUACAAUAUAAAAUUUUUCAAGCAUUAGAAGGUGAGAAGCGCUUUCUUAAAUCAUUAUCAAACAGACUCUUAAAGUCCGUUUGAUAGUAAUUUUAAAAAGGACUUAUAAUAUUUU
rnacentral:lncRNA from 1 species